UGCAUCCCUGGUUUGGAGAGACCAUGGCAGCAGCAACCAUUACCACCACAACAGACAUUUCCACAACAACCACUAUUUUCACAACAACAACAACAACAACUAUUUCCUCAACAACCAUCAUUUUCGCAGCAACAACCACCAUUUUGGCAGCAACAACCACCAUUUUCUCAGCAACAACCAAUUCUACCACAGCAACCACCAUUUUCGCAGCAACAACAACUAGUUCUACCGCAACAACCACCAUUUUCACAGCAACAACAACCAGUUUUACCUCCACAACAAUCACCUUUUCCACAACAACAACAACAACACCAACAGCUGGUGCAACAACAAAUCCCUGUUGUUCAGCCAUCCAUUUUGCAGCAGCUAAACCCAUGCAAGGUAUUCCUCCAGCAGCAGUGCAGCCCUGUGGCAAUGCCACAACGUCUUGCUAGGUCGCAAAUGUUGCAGCAGAGCAGUUGCCAUGUGAUGCAACAACAAUGUUGCCAGCAGUUGCCGCAAAUCCCCCAGCAAUCCCGCUAUGAGGCAAUCCGUGCUAUCAUCUACUCCAUCAUCCUGCAAGAACAACAACAGGUUCAGGGUUCCAUCCAAUCUCAGCAGCAGCAACCCCAACAGUUGGGCCAAUGUGUUUCCCAACCCCAACAGCAGUCGCAGCAGCAACUCGGGCAACAACCUCAACAACAACAAUUGGCACAGGGUACCUUUUUGCAGCCACACCAGAUAGCUCAGCUUGAGGUGAUGACUUCCAUUGCGCUCCGUAUCCUGCCAACGAUGUGCAGUGUUAAUGUGCCGUUGUACAGAACCACCACUAGUGUGCCAUUCGGCGUUGGCACCGGAGUUGGUGCCUACUGAUAAGGAAAGAUCUCUAGUAAUAUAUAAUUGGGUCACCGUUGUUUAGUCGAUGGAUAUGUCGAUGCAGCGGUGACAAAUAAAGUGUCACACAAUGUCAUGUGUGACCCGCCCAAACUAGUUGUUUAAAUUCUGAAAUAAAAUAAAAAUAAAGUUGUAUCAAGACAAUGUUCAUAUUGGCAUUGUGUGGAUGUCAAUCUGAUUGCCAUGCUUGCAAGUUCAUAAGUUUGUCUUUCCUUGUCACAAGCGCAACCUGGUGCCUUAAUUAAUUAUCAAUGUACUGGAAUAAUCACUAUUUAAAUAUAAUAGUGUCACUGUAAAAUUUGGGUUGAACUCUUUAUUGGUUGGAGAUUUGAGAUCUUGUUUUUUAUUGGUUUGUAUCUAGUACCAACUAGUACCACUGUCUACAGUGACAAUCACAACCAGUUUUGUUGCUAAUUAUGUUUGCUUUCUUGCAAAUACAUUCAUUGAUUCUUUGCAUGUCAAAUUAUUUGCCGAGAAAAAUACCAGCUUUUUCUUGAACUUCACAAACACCACUAGCUAGUUAAUUUGAAAUAAGCUGCCAAUUUAUUUCCUUGUAUUUAUGCCCUUUACAUCGAACCAGUACAAUCAUUGUGCUAGCUAGAGAAAAGGAGUUGCUGGCACGUUCAUGUCUAGAACUAAAUCAGACUGAAUUGAACUUGUUCUUUACAACUAGCUAGGAGCAGAAAACUUACUGUGAAUUGCACUUGAUUAUAUUUGAUUUUGUUUAAGAGCUACAGGGAAAAAUCAUCAAAAAAUGCCCUAAAAUAUCUUAUCGUAAAAUAGGUUCACCAGGAGAUACAGUCGCAAGAAAAAAAAGGCUCACCAGGAGAUAGAUGCUGCACAUUAUCAUUUAGAAAUUAGACCAAGAGAAAUGUGGAUUUGGCGGCUCAUAAUUCUAUAAGACUAUAACAGGUUGUCCAAUCAUUUAGAAAUUAGAUCAAGAAAAUGUGGAACUAAACAUAUUAAUGGCUAGGAUCAUAUUUGCACUGUGGGAACUUGGUAUGCGCGCUCCAACAUGCCCGUUGAAAGCAUUUUUUCCUCUGAUGCACAUAUGAAAUAUGACUGGUCGAAAACAGAAGAAACAGUGAGAUAAUAUGGAUGCUUGGAUGUUGUAACAAACAUAAACUUAUUAUAUAUAUAUCCAAUCCACCGAGCGGACGAACAUCCUAGGAGCUUUUCUCUCGGAGAUCGAAAAGAAACGAAAUGUCCACGCCAACUGCUUCUUCUCCAUCUGUAUAACGCGUGUAGGAGAAUUAUUUUGAUGAUUAUUUGAAGUGGCAUCCACAUAGAGUACAAAGCUAUUCAGCUAGAAAAGCCACAAAUGUACAUCACUUUUAGCCUACAUGACUGAACUCUGCUCCAUGACCUUCUUGAUUCAUGCGGCUCCUGAAUUCAUGUGAAUCGAAUCGCGGAAGAGAUAGGCUUUCAGGGUCAAUACCUCAUGUUCAUGGGAAGGCCGGAGAGGCUGCGUCGAUGUGCAGCCUGAACCCGAGGAGGAGCUCCGUGUCGGUGUCAAAACCGGCGGAUCUCGGGUAGGGGUCCCGAAUUGUGCGUCUAGGAUCGAUGGUAACAGGAGACGGGGGACACGAUGUUUACCCAGGUUCGGGCCCUCUCUAUGGAGGUAAUACCCUACUUCCUGCUUGAUUGAUCUUGAUGAAUAUGGGUGUUACAAGAGUUGAUCUACCAUGAGAUCGUAAUGGCUAAACCCUAGAAGUCUAGCCUAUGUGUAUACGGUAAUGAAUGUCCCCUAUCCGGACUAUGCUCUCCGGUUUAUAUAAACACCGGAGAGAUCUAGGGUUACAUGGAGUCGGUUACAUAAGAAGGAAUCUUCACAGCUGGUCACCUAGCUUGCGUUCCACGCCAAGGGAAGUCCAAUCCGUACACGGGUGUAGUCUUCGGCCUUCGUAUCUUCACAGCCCAUCAGUCCGGCCCAAUGAAUAAUAGGCCGGACGCCCGAGGACCCCUUAGUCCAGGACUCCCUCAGUAGCCCCUGAACCUGGCUUCAAUGACGAGGAGUCUGGCGCGCAGAUUGUCUUCGGCAUUGCAAGGUGGGUUCCCUCCUUCCGAAUUCCGGAAUAGUCUUCGGAUGCAGUAGAUAUAUUUGGACCUGUGUAUAUAAUUGCAAAAAAUACAAUAUUCCACGAGUCUAAUUUGUUGAUAACUGUUUACAACAUCGCAUCACGCCUGCCCGGUUACUAUUUCCAACCGUUGGCUGGCACGUCGCCCCACGUCUCGGGACGCGGUUUUACUGGCACGUCUUGCCAAGGCAGAGAUCGUGUUCCCUUAUUCACGGGACUUUCAUUAAUGCAAGCGUGGGUAACCCAACCGUCCCCUGGGUACAACUCUCUGGGGAUAGGUAAGUUUCGAGACCCAGGUGGAUACCCUUAGUAUUUGGGGUCUUUAUAUAGGGCCCCAGACUCGUCUUCUUCCUUUGCGCUUGCUUCUUCCUCAACCCUAGCCACCCCAAGUUCCAACCCUCGGGUUCCCAUCGCCACCAGCCCUAAUCAUGUCCGAAUCCAGCCGUCAAGGCCGGUGGGUGGCUUCUUCUAUCACAGAGGAGGAUAUUGCAAAGCUCUGCGCAGUGAGGUAUCUGACCCCGGAAAUCCUUCAUCAGCUUCCUGCACAGGGGCAGGUCGUUCCUACCCCCAAAUCCGGCGAGAGGGUAGUGUUUGUGUCCCACUUCCUCCAUGGGUUAGGUUUCGCGCUUAACCCCUUCGUCCGGGGGCUCAUGUUCUACUAUGGGCUAGACUUUCACGAUCUAGCCCCGGACUCUAUUCUUCUCAUCUCGACAUUUAUCGUCACGUGUGAGGCCUUCCUUCGGACUCCUCCGCACUUUGGUUUGUGGCUCAAGACCUUUGAUGUGAGGCCGCAGGUGACAGAGGAGGAGCAGGCAGAGUGUGGCAGCGUCACAAUAGGCAAGCUUGCCAGCGCGGUUUGGUUUGAAGGAUCUUUCACCAAGUCUUCCGACCUAUGGCAGCACGGGUGGUUUUAUAUCAACGAGCCGCGGGGCUCCAAGUGGGAGGCUACGCCUGCGUUCCGACCCGGCCCUCCAAUUCAGCUCGCUUCAUGGAUCAAUAAGGGACUGGACUGGGGAUCCGUCAAUGAAAUGCAGACUCUGCAAGGUCGCAUCCGAAGCCUUACCAAGAAGGGCAUCGGUCUUGUGAACGUCGUUCAAGUAAUGCUAGUCCGCCGGACCCUGCCAUGUCAGCGGCGGCCUCUCCGUAUGUGGGAGUUUAAUUCAGAAGGGCAGCGGCCUCUUCAGCACUUCUUCGGCACCACGCACGAAGGAAUGUGGAAAUUAUAUUUCGGGGAACGAGAGCAAUGGCCGGACACCACCGAAGAUGUCGGCCUUGACUGCAAUCAUCCAGACACCGCGGUAAGUACUCAAACGCUGAACACAUUCAAGCAUCUCUUGACAACAUACUGAACAAUCCGUCCCUAUACAGGACUGGAUAAAGAAAGCAGUGUUAAUCUGGUGUCCGGCGCCCCUUCCCGAAGACUCUGCGACCGCCCUGCUGACGAGAAUGCUGAUUCCCACACCGUACCAGGUUUCUGCGGAGGAGGGCGAGAGCGGGGAACCCGAAGGUGAUACCCGCCCUGAGGACGAAUUAGACAUUGUGUUCGGGGAAACCGAAACUCUUUUGCCCAAGGGCAAAGGUGCGGAGGAAGCUCUCCAUGGCAAAAAGAGGGCUGCUUCCGAAGAUCAGGAGGGGAAGCCUUCCAAGAGAGGAAAAAUGCCAUCGUCGGGCAGUUUGGGCCGGCCAAGCGAUGCUGCCGUAAGGCUUUCUGGCGAGGACGAACCUCUGGCCAAACCGUAAGUGAGGCUGGGGCACUUUAAACAUACCUCAUUCUUUUCCUAUUAGUGAAGUAAUCAUCCGACAUAUGCACAUCCACGUAGGUUAACGCCUGGUGUUUCUCAAUCAUCCUCCUCCUCGGGAGACCUUCUUCCGGAGAUGAUGGAGAGUGACACGCCAUCUCCGGCUUCUUCGCGCAACAGGGGGGAUGAUACCGAGGUAUCGUCCCGAAGGGCUCCUCCCCAUCGUCAAGCGGUGCAGGAAACGGAGAAGGCGUUACCCGAAGGUGGUGCCUCUGUCACCCAGGGUUCGGGAAUCAAGAAUGACGGCCCCGAACCAUCCGGUUUACAGCCGGAGAUGAUUCUGGGGGAGAAUAAGCAGAUUAAUUCAAAGGAAUGCCGUACUCCGGCGGCGGUUUCCGAAGACCCCGGAGCGCCGGAAAUGUUGACGGACAUGCUGCGGCGAGCGUCCAUUUCAGAGAAGCACCAUGCCUUGAUGGUUACGGUGGUCGAAAAGGUUCUAUCCGCGAAAAGCGGAUUGAACGAGGCCUUCUGGAGCCUUCUAAGAGGUUUUGAGGUUUGUGAUGUAGUUUUGCCAAUUGAAUGAUUUUGACAGAAUGCACUUGUUGUAUAUGCAGUAGCCCCUGAGACUCGGAUUGCCUUCCGAAGGAAGCGAUCGGAGGAUAAAAAAGAUAUGCUCAGUUACUAACCUUGAAUCAACUUGGAAUACAGGCUGCCUCGCCUCCUGCGGCUACCCGAAAUACGGAAGUGGCCGAACUGCAGCGAAAGCUGAAUAUUGCAGAAGAUGACAUUGCAUUGAUCAACAAGCGUCUUGACGACUCGCAAGGUAUAUAGUUCGAGCAUUCCUUACACGAAUGUUCUUGUAAUGUAGGCCUGACGCCGAAAAGGGUUUAAUGUGCAUGAUUGCAGAUGGUGUUCCCUCCGUUGAAGCUCCUUGUGAGGAGCUAGCCCGGCCCAAGGAGCAGGCCCGGUGUAGUGAUGCGGCUGCCGAGAAGGCAUCGGCUGAUCUAAGAGCCGAAUAAGCAGCUCGGCGCCGAAGUGAGGAGAAAAUAUCCGCACUGGCGCUUGAAUUGAAGAAUACUGCCAGCCACUGUGAAUUCCUUGAGAAGGAGAAUAAAGCCAAAAUGGCUGAACUUGAUAAGGCCGUUCGAGAGGCGAGUGAAGCUCGGUCUGAAUCUAGGGCAGCUUGGGAAGAGAUUCGGCAGGCUAAGGAGAUAGCGGCCGGUAAGCCCUUUUUGCUUCAGACUAAGUUUGGCGAUCCGGACUAUGCUCAGCUAAACCAGGUCUGGAGUUCUCCGACUGAAUUUUUGGACUUGCCGAAGAGUUCUUCCAAUGCAGCGCAAUUUUACCAAGCGCAAGAGGGGUAUGCGAUGGAGAAGCUUUUCUGGUCACAAUUUGGCGCCUCAAAGCGCCCUCUGUUGCUAAAUGAACAGAUGUCCCAGUGGGCCGAGCUUCAUAGGAUAUCCGGCGACGCCAUGAAGAACGUCAUAAUCCGGUUGUGGCCGAGUGAGCCUGUUCCCAAGAGCUAUUUUGGCCUGGUGCGGCGUCUUGUUGAUGCUGUGCCGCGUAUCGAUGCUGCGAAGCGGUCGGCAUGCACUGAGGGUGCACGGAUGGCCUUUGCCCGAGUCAAGACGUUCUGGGGGAAGAUGAAGGCCAUCGAUGUUGCGGCGAAGGGUCCGCCCAAGGGCAAGGACCGUAAUGAGCCGGAGCAUUAUUUUGAAGACGUCCUAGAAGCCGCCCGCCUGAUAGAGGGUCAAUGCUCGAAGAACAUAAUGUUCGAGUGAGGUGUAUUAGAAUUGUAAAAGACAAUUUUAUGAUUGAUCUAUUUUAUAUUUUUGCUCCAAAGCUUGAAUUCCUCCUCUGCGGCCGUUUUAAUAUAAUAUGAAAGUUUUCCAGUCGUCGGCUUCAGCCCCCUCGUAGGAAGUACGGGGGUGUUCGAAAAAACAUUUAAUCACUCUUUGUCCAAUGUCUUGGUCCGUAAAGGAGGUGAUAAUGCAGCGAACCAGGCAAUCGGACUAUAAGGCGUUAACACUUUCACUUAGCCAUAGGAGUUUUAUGGUGGGGCUACGACAUUGCCCCUGGUGUGUAUGCGGCGUAUAAUGCCUUGCAUAUUUGAUCUGAAAAAGAUCCCUCGUAUGACACGGAGAAUCGCUAAGGAUUCCAAGAAGUCGUCAAGUGGUUAAUCAGCUCUCGCCGCAUCAUGACAGUCAGUUUUCGGCUUUCUCUACUGAGGUGCUCGUCCGGUUUAGAACAGGGCACAAUCGCAGUAGUUCUCCCUUUACUACCCUAGCCGAUAGAGCGGAACGUAGGGUAGCAAGCACAGGAGCCGGGCAACCCAACUAUUGACCCAAGACAAUGAUUCGGAGCUGAUGCAUAUAAGGCCAAACUUGCGACGCCCAAGUACGCUAUAGAGUUGUUGGGACUUUUGCUGGCAACUCUUUCGUUCCCAUACCGAGCCCCUGGCAGGGUAUGCCGAGGUGUAUCUGUAACGCAGCCAUUGAGGCCGUACUCAUUGUUGCAAGAGUAUGAAAGAUUAGUUCGGACGAGGUUUACUGGGAACGGAGCAAUAUGCCAAUGACGAAUUUAAAAAUAAUAAAAAAGAAACCACAAGCCCGGCUAUUUGACAUGCUCGGGGUCGGGUACAGAGGAAAAAAAGGCUUAAUACAGGCUCGGAAUAAAGAGUGUGGUCUACAAAAAGUUAUUUUGGACCUCCUGUCGCACGUCUGCGCCGCCCGUCCUCGGGGAGGGGAAUCCUUAAGGGAAGUAGCCCCUUAGGUGAGUGUACGGAUCCGAACUCCGAUAGAGUCCGUUGUAGAUGCUGUCAUGUUGGUCACCUGUUCUUAAGAAAUGAUACAGAAAAAUAAGAAAAACGGAUAAGAACGUUACAGGGAUUCUUGCAGGCUUGUCCAUAUUGUGCUUCCGCCGAUGCCCAUGGUAUCUUGAGUGCGUAGUGAUGUAUGCGUGGUGUGAAUCUCGCCGGUAUGGUAGGUGGGUGGCGGAUGCCGAACUGCUAUUUCUGUUCCGAGAGUGGUCGAACUUCGGAGGGAAACUGCUUCUGGCCCCUGAUAUUCGGCUGGCGAAACGCUCCGUUGUCUUUAUCGCCUGGUGGCCUCCUCCCCUUGCUAUCGGCGUUGAGCUUGCCUGCCUGCUUGAGGACCCAACAAUUUCUGUUAGUAUGGUUAGCUGGCUUAUCAGGAUGACCAUGAAUCUGACAAGGUCGGUCCAAUAUUCUGUCAAGGGUGGAUGAUCCAUCCUGGUUUGCCUUUAGUGGCUUCUUCCAUUGACCGGGUUUCGAAUUGUGAAAUUCGGCGUUGACCGCUGUGUCGCGUAAUCCUUCAGUAUUAUUGCGACUGUUGUGUUCGGUUCGUCGAGGCUUACCGUUGCCGUCUUGAAUUUCGGAAGUGCCCGGGUCACUGGCGUUGUUGCUCUUACGAGCGAGCCAGGUGUCUUCUCCCGCACAAAAGCGAGUCAUCAGAGCGGUAAGGGCUAUCAUGGAUUUGGGUCCUUCCUGGCCGAGGUGACGCGCUAGCCAUUCAUCCCGGAUGCCAUGUUUGAAGGCUGCGAGGGCUUCUGCGUCCGGACAGUCGACAAUAUGUUUUUUUUUUUGACUAAGAACCUAGUCCAGAGCUCCCUGGCGGACUCGCCGGGCUUCUGGACAAUAUGACCAAAGUCAUCAGCAUCUAGUGGCCGGACAUAUGUUCCCUGGAAGUUGUCUCGAAAGGCGUCUUCCAAGUCUUCCCAGCUACCAAUAGAAUUUUCUGGUAAACUGUUUAGCCAGUACCGGGCUAGCCCUUUAAGCUUGAGAGGUAUGUAUUUAAUGGCAUGAAGGUCGUCUCCGCGAGCCAUGUGGAUAUAUAUGGAGGAGGUAAUCCUCAAUCCAUACCGCGGGAUCUGUUGUUCCAUCGUAUGAUUCGAUAUUAAUGGGUUUAAACCCGUCUGGAAAUUCAUGCUCCAUUACCUCGUCGGUGAAGCAAAGAGGGUGUGCGGCUCCUCUAUGUUGAGCCACACUAUGAAGCACCUCCGGCGGACUCUGUUUACGGAGUUCGGAUCGAGCGUGGUCGGCUCUGUUGUGUCCGAAUAGGUGACCAUCAUUACGGUCGGGGCAUGUCCCCGCGAUCUGUGUAUUGACUUCGUGUGUCAUGUUCUACCCUCCAGGUCCUUGGAUGUCGCGAGUGUUCCCCCGAGCUGUGUUGUUCUUGUUUUGAUGGCCGGAUGGGUUGGUAUGAUGCUCUGCUUGGGCUACUGCUUUGUCCGGACCGAACUGUGGUCGGCCUACAUCCUUAUUCGAUGGUGGUGUGGGCUUCAACGCCCUGCCAUCGUAUUGAGGGGGCCACCUGCUGUUGGGGUGGCUCUUGUCUGGGCCAAUAAGGCCGUAUUGUUCGGCGGCCAAGACCUCGGUCCAUCUAUCAUUGAGCAAAUCUUGGCUCGCUUUAAGCUGCAGCUGCUUCUUUCUUAGGCUCCUUGCAGUGGCUAUGAGCUGGCGUUUAAAGUGCUCCUGCUCGAGAGGUUCCUUAGGCACGAUAAAAUCCUUGUUGUCGAGGAUCUCCUCUUCCUCGGAGAGUGGGAGAUAAUUGCUAUCCUCUGAGUCUCCAUAUGUUACCUGUUCAUCAGGGUUGUCUUGCCCGCCUUCCUGUUCCUCCUGUUCGGAUCCUACCUCAACAGGGUCUUCAUCGUCCGGAGUGUUGUCUUCUCCGGUGCAAGUGUUAUUUUCUCUUGAGCGUCGUGACUUGGAGCGGCGCAAGGCGCGCCGGUGUUCGGACUAUGCACCAGGAGGCUUAUCCUCAAUUGGAUCCUCCUUGUCAUCGUCGAAAGCAUCGUUGGGUGUGUCUAUCAUACACACGUCAUACCAUGAAGUGGUCAUCCCGCGUCUAGCGGGUAGUGAGUUCUGGCCUUGCCCCUCAUCGUCGUCCGUACCGUCGAUGUCUUCAGGGCCGAGGUCAAGCGUGUUGGUUGGGUCUUCGACAGUGGCUAUGAAGUGGGUGGUGGGUGGGAAGCAAAAUUCUCCAUCAUCAGCCGUAAGUUCGAGCCGAACAUAGUUCAGUGGCGAGUCGCCUACCAGAGAUAGGUUUUUUAGUGAGUUUAGUACAUCGCCCAUGGGCGAGUGUUGGAAGACGUCUGCGGCGCUGAACUUGAAGAUCGAUAACCGAUCGAGUUCGGCAUCUGCAGACUCGCAAGGUUCGGAACCUGUCGCCGGGGACGAAUCCGGGGUUCCGCUGAUGCGGAUAUCAUACGCAGUAGAAUCUGUGUGCGGCUCGAACGCCGCCGAAUCGGUAGCCCUCGUGAUGGGGUUGAGCUUCCCAUCCCGGGACGACUUGAUCUGCUCCGGAUCUAAGGCCAGAGUUGCUGUAGGAGCUAUCUCCUCGAUGCGGCCCAAUGACAGGUUUAAGCCAUGUCCAUCGAGGCGGCGGGAGCGAUUGCCGCGGUCUUGAAUCCGUCGAAGAUCAAGUCUCCACGGACGUCCCCAACGUAGUUCAAGCUUCCGAAUCUGACCUGAUGGCCAGGGGCGUAGCUGUCGAUCUGCUCCAGAUGGCCAAGCGAGUUGGCCCGCAGUACGAUGCCACCGAACACGAAGAUCUGUCCGGGGAAAAAGGUUUCUCCCUGGACAACGUCACCAUCGACGAUUGAAGGGGCCAUCGAACCUUUUGUCGACGGCACAGUGGAACUCUCAAUGAAAGCACCAAUGUCGGUGUCAAAACCGGCGGAUCUCGGGUAGGGGGUCCCGAACUGUGCUUCUAGGAUCGAUGGUAACAGGAGACGGGGGACACGAUGUUUACCCAGGUUCCGGCCCUCUCUAUGGAGGUAAUACCCUACUUCCUGCUCUAUUGAUCUUGAUGAAUAUGAGUGUUACAAGAGUUGAUCUACCACGAGAUCGUAAUGGCUAAACCCUAGAAGUCUAGCCUAUGUGUAUAUGGUAAUGAAUGUCCCCUAUCCGGACUAUGCUCUCCGGUUUAUAUAGACACCGGAGAGAUCUAGAGUUACAUGGAGUCGGUUACAUAAGAAGGAAUCUUCACAGCUGGUCGCCUAGCUUGCCUUCCACGCCAAGGAAAGUCCAAUCCGGACACGGGUGUAGUCUUCGGCCUUCGUAUCUUCACAGCCCAUCAGUCCGGCCCAAUGAAUAACAGGCCGGACGCCCGAGGACCCCUUAGUCCAGGACUCCCUCACUCGGAGACCUUCUUGUGGGGACCAUCUACGAGAGGAAGUAAAGAGGGAGAUCAGAAGAGGAUACAUGAGAGGUUAGGGUGGGGAGGAGGCUGCGCCGGCGAGCGGCCACGGCUCAAGGCGGUCCGGCCGACGAGGAGGACGAACAAGGGAGAGGAAGAUGCAGAUCGGCAAACUGUGGGUUGGGCUUAUGACGUUGGGUUCUCACAAAACUAUAGCCCAUUUCGAAUUUGGUGCCCGUGACGACACACACACAACGCUUAUGUUGGGCCUAAUCACUCACUUCCAGCCCCCAACUCUGAUUUCCCCCUCAAAGAAAAACAAAACUUCAACCCUUCUCACUCCCCAUGAUCACAACAACAACAACAGAAAUAUCUAUAUGCAAGAUCAGGAAAUAUCUAUAAGGGGCAUUCAGAACACAUGUGACCUAAUCGCUAUAACAGCUUGAUAUUAUGGUGGGAUAGACAUAAACUGGUUCACGAAGGAAAGUUUCAUGAUGCAAACCAAAAUUCAAGGGGAGCACGUGCUAUAAUGGCAAACUAUGUUAAUGCCUACUCCCCUAAAGCAACUAGUAAAACAGGGGGAUGGAGUAUCCCUUCUAGGGUUUUUGUGAAGCUGAAUAUUGAUGUAUCUUUUCAUCAUGGUCUGCUUCAGGGUACAUCGGGGGUUAUUCUUAGACAUUACAAAGGCAGGCUCAUUGUCGGUGGAAACUGGAGGAUAGAUUGUCGUGCGGAUGUAUUAGCAGCAGAAGUUGUGGUGCUAAAGUUUGGGUUAUUCCUUGCACAGAAGGCGGAUUGCAAUCGUCUUGUUGUUAACUCGUACAGUACAUAAGUGAUUGACACAAUAAAGAAUGGAUGACACUCGACCGGAGCGGCGGUUGUAGUUUUCUAUGAUUGUUAAUUUUUGGGCUUGUGAUUUUUCUUUUAUUAGAUUUGAACUUUGUAAUAGGGAAGUAAAUAAGAUGGCAAAUGAAAUUGCUAGGCCAGCGAAAUUUUUUGUCACUAGUGAUUGGUUUGAGGAGUGAAUGAGAUUGUGCCUUUUUUAUUGACAAUGUAACAGUUGUUUCUAAUAAAUAAAGUUGAAGUUUUAUUGAAAAGGACAACAACAAGAAAAAAUAUCCUCAUCUUGUCCCAAGGGAUCUGAAACCCCAGUAUCCUUGCAUCUUUCUUUUGCAUGGCAUGUACAUAAGAUUUUCUUUGUUAGUAGCAUGUGUUGUUGGCGGUGGCGGCAUGAUGUUAGAGGUGACAUGUGUGGACGGAUGAUUGUUUCGACUCCAUUUAUUCUUAGGGCCUGUACAAUGCUAGGUGUUCAGCGAAGUGCUUAGAAAAAUAAACUGAGUUUUUAAAGCAUUUUUUAAGCACCGAUGUCUAUUUCUAAUGAUGAGAGACACCUAAUUAGACGUUUACCCUAUACAAAUAAACGUCGAUGCUUUAAGAAAUACUGAUUUAUUUAUCUAACAACCUUUCUUACGCACCUUACAUGGUAAGGUUCGAGAGCUAGUGGCGUCUUGGUUUCUCUUGUUUCUGUCACAUCAAUAUCAUGCUUUGGAUAUAUUCCAGUGCCCUUUUAUUGAUCACUGCCUAUGGCCAUUGAAAUGAGAUCUGGGACUCGGCCAGCUGCAAGAUACCUCUAGAAAGCGAAUUUCCUCUGACGCACAUAUGAAAUAUGACAGUACAAAAUAGAACAAACACUAAGAUUAGACAGAUGAUUGGAUGAUGUAACUAACUUAGACAUCGCUGCACCCAGGACGGACUUUCUUCUCAGACAUCAGAGAGAAACUGAGUGUCCAUGCUGUCAGAGACGCUGGCCAUUGGGCGUUGUCAGUGACUUUAGUCUCGCCUCGGAUAUGGGAGGGGCUAGAACCACCUUAUAAGGAGGAGUGCCACACUCCCUUCAGGCUAGUCUUUUGCGAUGUGGUGGACUCUUUGCUUAUAGUGGUGUGUCUGAUGCACACCGGAAACGUCCGAACAUAUGCCGAAGGUUGGGAGCCGGGCCUGGGACGCUAACAAUUGGUAUCAUAGCUGGGCCCCAGUCUGCCCUGUUUUAGGGGGAUGAGGUGUCAGAGACGCUGGCCAUUGGGCGUUGCCAGUGACUUUAGUCCCACCUCGAAUAUGGGAGGGGGCUAGGACCACCUUAUAAGGAGGAGUGCCACACUUCCUUCAGGCUAGUCUUUUGGGAUGUGAUGGACUCUUUGCUUAUAGUGGUGUGUCCGAUGCGCACCGAAAAUGUUCGAACAUAUGCCAGAGGUUGGGAGCUGGGCCUGGAACGCUAACACAUGCCAACUGCUUCUCCUCCACUCCACCUGCAUAGCACGCAUAGGAGGAAAUUUGAUGAUUAUUUGAAGUGAUAUCCACAUAAAGCACAGAGUUACUCAGCUAGCAAAGCACCUAUGUACAUCACUGUAUGGCUACCCAACUGAAAAUUCUGCUUCCUGACCCUCCUGAUUCAUGCGGGUGGCAUGGAGAUGGGUACGCCUCUCGAAUCCAUGUGAAUCGAAUCGUUGGAACAGAUGGACGGACAGGGUCGAUACCUUGUGUAGAUGGGGAGGGGAGGCCGGAGUGGCUGCCGUCGACCGACGUACGGCCCGCAGCCGACGGAGGAGCUUCAAAAGUGACCUUUUUGUCGAGCGAUGGCGGUGGUGGUGGGGUGCCGGAUGCGGAGGGUGGUGGGAAGCCGGAUGCGGAGGGUGGAAGGAAGGCUGACGCCUCCGUCGCCGCGGACGUACGAGGAGCGGCCGCGAGCGGUGGGGUCCGGGAGAGGCUGCGCCGGCGAGCGGUCCGGCCGGCGAGGAGGACGGGGAAGGGGAGACGAAGACGACGCAGAUCGGCGGAGUGUGGGCUGGGCUUGUGACGUUGGGGCCUCCGAAAACUAUAUCCCAGUUCGAAUUUGGUGCCCUAACACACAACUCUUACGUUGGGCCUAAUCACUCCCUCCUGGCUCCAUCUAUCAUUCCCCAAAAAAAAUCCUUCACACAUAGAUGGAACUGAUGAUUCUCAAAAGAAAAAGAGAUGGAACUGAUUGUGUCAUGUCUUAAAAAAAAGAUCGAACUGAUUGUCUAAAAAAAACAUAGAUGGAACUGAUGAUUUAUCUCCGAAAAAAAGAUGGAACUGAUGAUGACGUGUCUAGAGUUAGGACCGGAUAUAUGUUAGUAGGAGUAGCUUGUAAGAAAUUACCAUCCUUUACAUAUAACGGGAAUUCGAUGAGUCAUGUCAUGCUCUAGAGGCGUCAGUUCAUCUUAUCAUCUUAGAGGAAACUACAAAGUUAUUUUUAUGAAAAGCAACCAACUCUAGAAGAACCCUCCACACGCAAGGCUUUAAUAAUCGAGCAUAUCUUAACAGCCCACACACGAUUGCAAACUUAGUCCUACACAAGCUUUGCCUUUCUUCUUUACGGCUGACAGCCUAUACAAGGUUUCAAACUCGGUUGCAAAAGUGAUACUAUCCUGAUAAGUGUGUGACAUGUAAAGUGAAUAAGGUGAGUCAUAUAUAGCAAACAUCGGGGUUUCUGUACUUUGUGUGUGAUCAUAUGCACAAUUAAAAAGCAACUUUGAUGAUCAAUCCAAAAGUACGCGUGUAGCUAGUGCAACCUAACGCAUUGUACCAAAAAUCAUUUCAGAUGCAUCCAAACGGAAUAAUUAAAGCUAAUGCAAAGAAGAAAAGAGGUGGUGCCCAGGCUACUAUAAAUAGGCAUGAAGUAUAAAGAUCAUCACAAGCACAAGCAUCAAAACCAAGCAACACUAGUUAACACUAAUCCACCAUGAAGACCUUCCUCAUCUUUGCCCUCCUCGCCGUUGCGGCAACAAGUGCCAUUGCACAAAUGGAGAAUAGCCACAUCCCUGGUUUGGAGAAACCAUCGCAGCAACAACCAUUACCACUGCAACAAACAUUAUCGCACCAACAACAACAACAACCUGUCCAACAACAACCACAACCAUUUCCACAACAGCAACCAUGUUCACAGCAACAACAACCACCAUUAUCGCAGCAACAACAACCACCAUUUUCACAACAACAACCACCAUUUUCGCAGCAACAACAACCAUCAUUUUCGCAGCAACAACAACCACCAUUUUCACAGCAACAACCACCAUUUUCGCAGCAACAACAACCAGUUCUACCGCAACAACCAUCAUUUUCGCAGCAACAACUACCACCAUUUUCACAGCAACAACCACCGUUUUCGCAACAACAACAACCAGUACUACCGCAACAACCACCAUUUUCGCAACAACAACAACCAAUUCUACCGCAACAACCACCAUUUUCGCAACAACAACAACAACCAGUUCUACCGCAACAACAAAUACUAUUUGUUCAUCCAUCUAUCUUGCAGCAGCUAAACCCAUGCAAGGUAUUCCUCCAGCAGCAAUGCAGCCCUGUGGCAAUGCCACAAAGUCUUGCUAGGUCGCAAAUGUUGCAGCAGAGCAGUUGCCAUGUGAUGCAACAACAAUGUUGCCAGCAGUUGCUGCAAAUCCCCCAGCAAUCCCGCUAUGAGGCAAUCCGUGCUAUCAUCUACUCCAUCAUCCUGCAAGAACAACAACAGGUUCAGGGUUCCAUCCAAACUCAGCAGCAGCAACCCCAAGAGUUGGGCCAAUGUGUUUCCCAACCCCAACAGCAGUCGCAGCAGCAACUCGGGCAACAACCUCAACAACAACAAUUGGCACAGGGUACCUUUUUGCAGCCACACCAGAUAGCUCAGCUUGAGGUGAUGACUUCCAUUGCGCUCCGUACCCUACCAACGAUGUGCCGUGUCAAUGUGCCGUUGUAUAGAACCACCACUAGUGUGCCAUUCGGCGUUGGCGCCGGAGUUGGUGCCUACUGAUAAGGAAAGGUCUCUAGUAAUAUAUAGUUGGAUCACCGUUGUUUAGUCGAUGGAUAUGUCGAUGCAGCGGUGACAAAUAAAGUGUCACACAACGUCGUGUGUGACCCGCCCAAACUAGUUGUUUAAAUUCUGAAAUAAAAUACAAAUAAAGUUGUAUCAAGACAAUGUUCAUAUUGGCAUUGUGUGGAUGUCCAUAUGAUUGCCAUGCUUGCAAGUUCAUAAGUUUGUCUUUCCUGGUCACAAGCGCAACCUGGUGCCUUAAUUAAUUAUGCAUGUAUUGGAAUAAUUACUAUUUAAAUAUAAUAGUGUUACUGUAAAAUUUGGGUUGAACUCUUUAUCGGUUGGAGAUUUGAGAUCUUGUUUUUUAUUGGUUUGUAUCUAGUUCCAACUACUACCAUUGUCUAUAGUGACAAUCACAACCAGUUUUAUCGUUAAUCAUGUUUGCUUUCUUGCAAAUACAUUCAUUCAUUCUUUGCAUCUUAACUUAUUUGUCGAGAAAAGACCAGCUUUUUCUUGAACUUCACAAACACCACUAGCUAGUUAAUUUGAAAUAAGCUUCCAAUUUAUUUCCUUGUAUUUAUGUCCUUUACAUCAAACCAGUACAAUUAUUGUGCUACCUAGAGAAAAGGAGUUGCUGGCAGCACGGUCAUGUCAAGAACUAAAUCAGAUUGAAUUGAACUUGUUCUUUACAACUAGCUAGGAGCAGAAAACUUACUGUGAAUUGCACUUGAUUAUAUUUAAUUUUAUUUAGGGCUACAGGAAAAAAAUCAUCAAAGAAUGCCCUAAAAAAAUCUUAUCGUAAAAUAGGUUCAUCAGGAGAUACAGUCGCAAGAAAAAAAGGUUCACCAGGAGAUAGAUGCUGCACAUUAUCAUUUACUCCCUCCAUUCCAAAAUAGAUGACUCAAUUUUAUACUAACUUUAGUCAACUUUGUACUAACUUUAUACUAAAGUUAGUACAAAGUUGAGUCAUCUAUUUUGGAACGGAGGGAGUAGAAAUUAGACCAAGAGAAAUGUGGAUUUGGCGGCUCAUAAUUCUAUAAGACUAUAGCAGGCUGUCCAAUCAUUUACAAAUUAGAUCAAGAAAAUGUGGAAUUAAACAUAUUAAUGGCUAGGAUCAUAUUUGCAAUGUGCGAUUGGUAUGCACGCUCCAACAUGACCGCUGAAAGCAUUUUUCCUCUGAUGCACAUAUGAAAUAUGACUGGUAGAAAACAGAAGAAACACAGAGAUUAUAUGGAUGAUUGGAUGUUUUAACAAACUUAAACUUAUAAUCCACCGAGCGGACGAACUUCCUAGGAGCCUUUCUCUCGGACAUCGAUAAGAAACGAAAUGUUCCACGCGAACUUCUUCUUCUCCAUCUGUAUAACGCAUGCAGAAGAAUUAUUUUGAUGAUUAUUUCAAGUGGCAUCCAUAUAGUGUACAAAGCUAUUUAGCUAGAAAAGCCACAAAUGUACAUCACUGUCAGGCUACACGACUGAAUUCUGCUCCAUGACCUUCCUGAUUCAUGCGGCUCCUGAAUUUAUCUGAAUCGAAUCAUGGAAGAGACAGGCUUUCAGGGUCGAUAGCUCAUGUUCAUGGGGAGGCCAAAGAGGCUGCGUCGACGUACGGCCUGAAACCGACGAGGAGCUCGAAGACCUUCUUGUAGAGACCAUCUGGUAGAGAAGUAAGGAGGGAGAUCGGAAGAGGAUACAGGAGAGGUUGGGGGUGGGGUGGAAGGGGAGGAGGCUGUGCCAGCGAGCGGCCGCGGCUCGAGGCGGUCUGGCCGAUGAGGAGGGUGAACAAGGGAGAGGAAGAUGCAGAUUGGCAUACUGUGGGUUGGGUUUGUGACGUUGGGUUCUCAGAAAACUAUAGCCCAGUUCGAAUUUGGUGCCCGUGACGACACACACUGAGCGUUUAUGUUGGGCCUAAUCACUCACUUCCAGCCCCCCACUCUGAUUUCCCCCUCAAAGAAAACAAAAGCUUCAACCCUUCUCACCCCCCCCCUUGAUGACAACAACAACAACAAAAAUAUCUAUAUGCAAGAUCAAGAAAUAUCUAUAAGGAGCAUUCAGAAUGCACGUGAAUUAAUCGCUAUAACAGCUUGGUAUUUAUGGUGGGAUAGACAUAAACUGGUACACGAAGGAAAGUUUCAAGAUACAAAUCAAACUUCGAUAGGAGCUCGUGCCAUAAUGGCAAACUAUUUUAAUGCCUACUCCCCUAAGGCAACUAAUAAAAGAGGGGAUGAUGGAGCAUCCCUCCUAGGGUUUUUGGGAAGCUGAAUGUUGAUGCCUUUUUUGAUCAUGAUCUGCUUCAGGGUACAGUGGGGGUGACUCUUAGACAUGACAAAGGCAGGUUCAUUGUCAGUGGAAAUUGGAGGAUUGAUUGUCGUGCUGAUGUAUUAGUAGCAGAAGUUGUGGCGCUAAAGUUUGGGUUAUUCCUUGCACAGAAGGCGGGUUGCAAUCGUCUUGUUGUUAACUCGUACAAUAUAGAAGUGAUUGACACAAUGAAGAAUGCAGGACACUCGGCCGGUGUGGCGGCUAUAGUUUUCUAUGAUUGCUAUUUUUUGGCUUGUGGUUUUUCUUUUAUUAGAUUUGAACAUUGUAACAGGGAAGUAAAUAAGGUGGCUCAUGAAAUUGCUAAGCUAGCGAAUUUUUUUGUUAUUAGUGAUUGGUUUGAGGAGCCUAUGAAUGAGAUUGUACUUUUUUUUAUUGACGAUGUAACAGUUGUUUCUAAUUAAUAAAGAUGAAGUUUUAUUAAAAACAACAACAAGAAAAAAAAUCUACUCAUCUUGUCCCGAGGGAUCCGAAACCCCAGUAUCCUUGCAUCUUUCUUUUGCAUGGCAUGUACAUAAGAUUUUCUUUGUUAGUAGCAUGUGUUGUUGGCGGCGGCUGCUCGAUGUUAGAGGCGACAUGUGUGGACGGAUAAUUGUUUCGAUCCAUAUAUGUUCUGAUAGCCUUCUUAGGCCCUGUAUAAUGCUACGUGUUUAGGGAGGUGCUUAGGAAAAUAAACCAAGUUUUUAAAGCGUUUUCUAAGCACCAGUGUCUAUUUCUAAUGAGAGACACCUAAUUAAGCGUUUAGCCUAUACAAAUAAACACCGAUGCUUUAAGAAAUACUAGUUUAUUUAUCUAAGCACCUUCCCCACGCGCCUUACAUGGUAAGGUUCUAGAGCUAGUGGUGUUUUGGUUUCUCUUUUUUCUGUCACAUCAAUAUCAUUCUUUCGAAUGGGUCAUGGGUCAACCAAAAUGGGUUUGUCUCGCGACACGAAGGCCGUAAGAGCCGAGCAUCACUAGUCUAAGAAGACCAUCGAACAUGACAUCAUGGAGCGUUUUCUUUUCUUCUUGCCGUCUUCUCCUCCUAGUCCACUAUGUCUCCUUCAACACCAAGGAGUAUUCUUUUUCUCUACAAACACCUCGUAUCGACCUUACGUCCUGCAAAUCACUGAUGGUAACUUCCAUCCUAUCACGAUAACAAUAUUCUCUUUCAAGAAUCAGCCUUCCUCGAGUUACUUAUACCACGUUAAUUGUUGAUGCUGAAAUUAAUAACCUCAACCGUCAACUGCACCCUUGCAAACAUUAAAACACGCGGGUCCAACUUGGUUCAAAACCCAUCGAUCGAUGAUAGUCGGUCAUGUGGGAUUCCGAUCGACUUAGACAUUGAGGCGUUAAAGUCACGUAGAAUAUUUUCUACAAGAAAACAUAUAAUAUAUUCAUCUUCAAUCACGACAGUAUAACAAACACGAGAAAUAAUAAAAAUUACAACCAGAUCCGUAGACCACCUAGCAACGUCUACACCAUAGAUCGAGACAAAGAAGACGAGGACUGAUCCAAAUACUUAAUCACAUGGUGCAUUCGUCGUUCGUUUCAUCAUCACCUCCCGACUGGUAUAGGCACGUCUGGUUCACGUAAUACCCCACAUAACAAUACAGUGGUUGCAUGGCCGGGCAAUAAGAAUAGACGGAGGGCGUGUAGCAUUUUGCUGAGCUCAAUCGCCGUGCAGCCGAUCAAGUUUAGGCAGAUCAAUGUUCCACAAAAUUACAUAGGCGACAAGACAGCCAUAGGCGACAAGACAGUAAAUAAACUACCACAAGCGAUAAUGGCGUACCACACAAAGGAGGCGUCGUCGACCGUCCUCGAAUUACUUAUACCACAUUAAUUGUCGAUGCUGAAAGUAAUAACCUCGACCGUCCACUGCACGCUUGGAAAAAAAAUAGUUCUUGUCAUGGAUAUAAUCAUGACAAUACUAUGGUGAUGUGAAUGUAGAGGCAAUUAUUACCUGAUUGGUACGUAAAGCAGAUGGGAUUAAACACACAGAAUUAUACAGGUUUGGGCUCUCUACGGUGUUGGUAACACCCUACUCCUGUGUGAUCUCGCUCUUGGCGUAGAUUACAAUGUGAGAGAGUUCAACCCUCAGUGUGAUGUCCUACUCUUGUCUUAUAUAUAUGGAGUACGCUAGGAGGGAGUGCCAUAACGGGCUGGUGUAAAUACUAUUGAUGGUCACAUGCAUGAUUGACUAUUCGUGGCUAUUAUUACUGCUAACUGGUGUAACGGCAAUGAUGAAUGCUCAUGGGGGGUCACGGCAUCCUAGGACGUAGCCGACUGUAGAUGGUCCGACUACUCCUGUCUUGCCGAUGUCCGACUGUAGAUGAUCUUACUGCUCCUAUCUUGCUCAUGACCGACUAUCGAGUCUUGUCUGUUAGGGGGCGUGUGAUCCUACUUUAGACACUGGACUCCUUAAUUAGCGAGUAUUCCCCUUGUAUCUGAUGCCCUGGGCUUGUAGCUCCAAUGCCCCAUUUGGGACCGUAUCCUUGAUUAGCCUGGGCUUUUGGCUGGGCCAUAUGUGUACUUAGGCCUAUCCCUUAUAUAUAACCCCAAUACUAUGUUCAUGGAACAAGUAGACGUCAAAAAAUAUAAGUUUAAAAAAGGUAAUCAUGUAUUUGAAAACUGUUGAACCUCUCUAUCAAAAAUAUUUUUGAUAUAUACAAAAAAUAUAUGUCAAAAGGUUGACACUAAAAGAAAGGAAAACAAUGAAAUCCCUAAACCCUAAACAAAGAAAACUGUGAAAGAAACAAAGAAAAAAAAGGAUAGAUAAACGAGUAAAAAAGGAAAACAAGUGUAAAACAUGAAAGAAACAAAGAUAACCAAUGAAGAAACAAAAGAAGAAAGAAAAUAAGAAGAAAAAACUAACCAAACUAGUAUGUGGAACCGAGUGAGCGAAUGACCUGAGCAUGAGCGAACGACCCAAGGUUGUCAGAAACAUGAUUUUGAAUCGGAUAGAAGUUCUGAUGGUAGGAUUGCAAACCUUACAACGACCUGAUGCUAUUCUUGCACCUUCAGGCGUGGCAAAUGCUAAUCUCGCUUUCAGCGAGAUAUAGCAUUCGUGAAGCAAUGAAGGGUGUCAAAUCGUCAUAGCUAUAUCACGCAUAUUCAGGCUCACCUCUGGAGUCCGCAUGUAUGGGCUGGAUCAUUAACGUGUUCUCUCAUAUCUCUGUACGUUCUUUUUCUUUUCGAGUCUUUUUUAAGUCGGGUUUCUUUUCAUCUACAUGAGAAAUAAUUUUAAAUAGAAUCAUUAACAUUAAAAAAAAUACAUGUUUUCAUGUCUAAUUUUUUCAUACACAUUAGAAAUUGUUUUGUAUGCACCAGGAACAUUUUUUCUCUAUACACAUUUAACAUUUUUCAAAUACACGAUUAAUACUUUCAAAAUAUAUCAUUUGAUGUAAAAAAAAUCCAUGUACAUUUUACAUCUGUCUUAUAUAUUAGGAACAUUUUUUUCUAUACACAUUUAACAUUUUUUCAAAUACACAAUUAACACUUUUCAAAUAUAUGUUUUGAUGUAUAAUUUGUUUCAUGUUUUACAUUACAUUAGGAACAUUUUUAAACAAAUUUAACAUUUUUUAUAAUUUCACAUACAAUUUUUUAAGUACGUGAAGAUUAUUUUGUUACCACAAUUUGUUUAAUGCUAUCAAUAUUUUUUUAACAAUGCACAAACAUUUUUUUCAAAAUUUCAGCAUUUGUUUGUGGAAUAUAUUUAUUUAUUUUAAUAUGAAAAAAUAGAAGUAAAAAAUAUAGAGAUAAUCUGAGAGAAAAAACAAAACUGAGGGUAGAACUGAACAAAUCUGUCUCUAGGGCGGCCCACCCGGGCGUUUCUUCAGGAGACGCUGGCUUUCGUGUCGCUAUAAGCUACCCAUAGCCGCGCGCAUAUCGAACCAGACAUGAUUGGGUGUUUGCCAUCUUCUUUCACAAGGUGUGGAUAUUGUAGGCAAGCAGCUUAUAUUCAGUGAUGGCUUUUGUCGUAACACGACAACGGUUUGCUCUUUCAGUUUCUUACCAAAGCAACUGCGGUCAUAACAUGAACCUAUCAAUCACACUUGUAACAUUCCCAUGCAACUCUAGCUAGAUUGGUUCAAACACAUUGGCUCACACAUCGAGGCGAUAUAACCGUAGAGUUCACAACAGGCAACCGAAUAACAAAACAUAUGCAACCCUAAUAUCACAAACUCAAAAAUGAAAGAUGUCAUAGCUUGACAAAAAGAAGGCACCGUAAUGCACCAGAUAAGCGAUCGAGAGACUUAAUCACAUUGUGCAUACGCUCGUUCGUGUGGUCAUUUGCUCCCUGGUCCGUGCAGCUACCCUACAACAGACUGCAAGCAAGUCUUUUGAUCGUGGCCAUUGCCGAAGCACCCUUGAUCCCACUUGUUCCCCGCCAAGAAAAAGGCAUCUAAGUACAGCUAGCGCGGCAUAAUUCAAACGUGACACUGGAACCGAUAUAGGUGGACCGGGGUGGUCAGGAACACUGUCAUCGAGGUUAUUAGGCAUGGUUUUCAUAUUUGUACUUCCUACCCUAAAACACGGUUCGGAUUAGCCGUGUUUUUUUUUUCCUUUCAUCGACCUUAGAAAUGUAGAGGCGAUUGCUGCGUCACCCUGUUUCUGUUUUUGCCGCCAUUUCUGAUAUAGCGAUAUAGGUACGGUCCCUAACUGUCCAUUGCAUGGCCGGAGCCUAAGAAUAACGGACGGCGUGCAUCACUUAAUUUGCAUGCUAAGCUUAAUCACCGUGCCACCGGUCAAGUUGAGGCAAAUCUACCCCGGCCGGCUAAAUUCUCGCUGAGCAAUCAAUGGAAAGGAGAUCGCCCUGUUUGAAAAACCAUAAGAAGGAGACGUUGUCAUCGUCGGGAAGCUAGUUAGAAUGGCGUACCACGGGAAGGAGAGCUCGCCGGCGGCGGGGCAGGUGCUGGUGGUGGCGGUGGCGAUGGCGGUGCUGCUGCUGGCGCAGCAUGCGGGGCGCGCCGACGCCAAGAUGAUCUUGUACGACGUGAUGCAGGGGGACGAGGUGCCGGGACGUAACGGGCUGACCCACGUGGAAGACGAGGCCAACAAGUACACCCGCGGCUGCGAGAGCUCCAACAAAUGCAGAGGCUGAGAACCACGGCAUAGCCGGGAUGGUAGGCAUGGGCUGAUGCAUGCCUGCCCGCCUGGGUUCGAGCCUCCGUGCUCGCAAUACCAGCGCGUACUCACCUAAUUCUUCUAUAAAAGUAAACCGAGGGAUUCUUCCCCUCCGGUCUCGAAAAAAAAUACUAACCAAUUUGCACUCAUUACAUUCCUUCCUACCUUUUUUUUGUUAAUAAGCGGGAGAUAAAUACCCACGCGAUUGCCACGGAAUUCGGUUGUAAUUAUUUUAAUAAGAAUUGGUUGUAUGAAAUAUCAUUAGUUAGAUUCACUUGUAGAAAACAGGGCUUUGGUUCGGGCAGAAAAAAGCAUUAAUCCCGGUUGCAUUACGAACCGGGACUAAUGUGAGCAUUAGUCCCGGUUCGAGCGGCUAGGGCACCGUACAGGCAUUAGUCCCGGUUGGUGCCACGAACCGGGACUAAAGGGUGCGAUGCCCAUUAGUACCGGUUCGUGGCACCAACCGGUACUAAAGGUUAGACCUUUAGUUCCGGUUCGAGCCACCAACCGGUACUAAUGGGGUUUGAGGCAUUAGUACCGGUUCAUGGCACGAAUCGGUACUAAAGGUCCCAUUUCCAAACUCUACCCCCUAUCGCCUUUUCAGUUUUGUAAAAAGCAAAAGAAAAUGAUAAAAACUUCAAAAAUUAAAAUCCUUCCAGAUGUAGUUAUGUUACUACAUGUACUAGUUAGGAAAAUUAAAAAACUUAAAAUUGGACAUGUUUUGCAAAAAGUGUAGGGAAAAUGUAAAACGGCUAUAACUUUUGCAUAUGACGUCAGAAAAAAACGUAUAAUAUAUCAAAAUGUUCAGCACGAAAAUCCGCAUCCGAUUUUGACUGCCUACGGCUUGUUUGCAAAUUUUUAGAAUCCUCAAAUUCUAAAAGGAAAAAAAGUUAUGCUCAAAUUUCUGUUUUUUUGAAUUUUUGUUAAAUCUGGUCAAACUAUGGUCAAACUACUUAUUCAAGAAGUAUUAGUGUUACUAAAUAAUUAUCCAAGAAUAUUAUUGUUACUAAAUAAUUAUUUCAAUUUUUUGAAUUUUGGUCAAAUCUGGUCAAACUGUGGUCAAACAAUGGUCAAACUAAUUAUUCAAGAAAUAUUAGUGUUACUAAAUAAUUAUUUCAGUUUUUUUGAAUUUUGGUCAAAUCUGGUCAAACUGUAGUCAAACUAUGGUCAAACUACUUAUUCAAGAAAUAUUAGUGUUACUAAAUAAUUAUUGUUUUUUAGAACAAUAGUUUCAAAUUCAAACAAUGAAAUGUGUGACUUCAUGCUCAAGCUAAAUUCCUGAGGGUUAAUAGGAUUGACAUCUUACUAUUGUCAGGAAAACAACAAGUGAAGACUUGGAAACGAGGGAGAAUAGAACCCGGAAGUUAAGCGUGCUCAGGCUGGAGUAAUGAGAGGAUGGGUGACCGUGUGGGAAGUUAGAUGAUUUGGAAUGAUGAUGGGUGAUUAGAGAUUAGAGGUUAAAUUGAGCAGUGAUGAGGGGUGAUUAAAGAUUAGAGGUUAAAAUAAUUCAGAAAUUUGAAAAUAAAAAAAAAUUCAAAAAAAAUCAUAAAAUUUCCUUUAGUACCGGUUCAACCGGGACUAAAGGUGGACCUCCAGGCAACGGCCACGUGGAGGGCCUUUAGUCCCGGUUCAUGUAAGAACCGGGAUUAAAGGGUCGUUACUAAGUUAAUGGAGAUAACUAUUUAGCUUGGUACUGAUUGAUUUGUUGUCACAUGCACAUUGGCCAAUUUCAUCGAUUCAUGUCGUCCAAUUAGCUAGCCAAGACCUGGCCGUACAUGCUCUGCUGAUUCCUAACUAACAUAGGUUAGAGACCAGUCGAGUGAAAAUGAAUUUUGCGUUUGUCCAAUCGUUUCCACCCUUCAGAUACAGAUCCAACGGUGUAGGUGCCUUUUUCUACCUCUCAAUCAUUUUCCCUGUUCAUCUUCUACCCUAAGCCGUCCGCGGCCAGCGGCGCUCCGGCACCUGCCUCGCCUCCCCGCGCACCGCCGCGCUGCCAUCGUCUCUGGCCAUCCCUCUAACCCUGGCGAUGAACAGAUUUUUCCGGCGGACCAGCACCCUCCCCCCUAAAAUAGAUAGCCGGCGAGCCUACCAUCCUAAUGUAGACACCGGGGUCGCCUGCCAUCCUAAGAUAGACACAAAGGGCUUCGCUGGCGAGCCGGCGGCUGUUUCCUUCAUGUGAACUCGACUGACCCAUAUAUUAUUUUGAUGCAACUUACAAGUAGCUAAAUUGGAAUAAACAAAGCCCAUAUUCCAUAAAAGUGUUAGUAAAUGAGGUUUCCCAAUGUUAAUAAUGCUGUCGAUCGAUGGGGAUGUCCCGGUAGAGAAAGUCAUCAUGCUACAUGAGCGCAUGGCCACCCAUGUGUACAUCACGGCUUUCUUCUUCUCAUCCAACUUAUCUGCAUUGAUCGAGACCACGCACCAGGCCACCUAGGCGGAUUAGGCGCCAUAGCUCCUUCCAGGAGGACAAGUUGCUAGUGGUAACCGGAAUCGUCAUGCCCUUUUGUCGUUGCCACUAACCAGGACGAUCGUCGAUUGAAGUGUAGACGCAUGAAGGUGACGCUUGCGUAGCAGCUACUACAAAACAACCUAUUUUAUUCAUCUCCCGCUUAAUUUAUUUUCUUCCCUCUGAAAUGCUUGCAUAUUUCACAAAACAAAACAUUAAUAACGUCGUGAAGGCGCCUUAGCACAAUCGAGACAAGGAGAUUUCAAGUGGCUCCUCUAUUUUCUCCGACGACGACGUGAACACCACGGAGGGCCGUCGGUUUGAUCCGGGACACUGAGAUUAGCGAAGCACGAAAUGAAAGAGAAAUCUAGCCUUUUUUUUUCUUCUAAUGGAGGAGACGGGUACUAGUAGUCAGCUGAGAACUACGAACUAAAACCGCGACAUUCUUUUUUUGGAAUGGAGGAAGUAACUAUUUUCGAAUCGAUCAAGUCGUGUGUGCUUGAUUAUGAAAACAUUUCAGUUUUAUAAUUAAGAAAAUCUCCUUAAUCGCCAGAAAGAAAAUGAAAGGAGAAAGAAUACUACUACUAAUAUAAAGAGCUGCUUUUGUAGCUAGGCAACAUUCUCGCAGCAUCAACGUUAAGGCGGUAGCUGCCAUGGUAGUGGUUGGACCGGCAGUGAUCACCGUCAGCUUGAUCACGACUGAUCGACUGAUUGGUGUGAGACUAGGGCGUGCCAUACGUGCACACCGGCCAGCCGCCCACCCGACCCGGGCAGGCAUCAACAGCACAAGAGUACAGUGCAGUACGACUGCACAAUGAUUUCCCUCAUCUUCCUCUUUGAUUGGAAUGCACAGGACUAACAAAAUUUUAAAAAGUAUUCAAGCAUGUAUUAUGUGUGAUGGAAAGCGUAUGUGUGGGUAGCUAGUUUUCUCAUUGAUCAACGUACGUACUUAAUUGAUGGAGUAUUGCAUAAUUACUUGGUUAAAUUCAGCUAUCAUCAAGUAGCUAAUUCAUUGUAUCAGCAGAAUCAUGAACCCAAGAAUAACACAUGGGUAAAACUACUGAUUAUAAUCAAUCCAUACUCUGGAUAUCACAAGGGAGGGUUGUAGGGGUAGUUGAAAAGCGCUGUAGCUGAAAAGAAGGUCGUUGCUUUGCAAGAAAAAAAAUAAUGCAAACCUUACUAUAUGUACACAUCUACCGGUUAAUCUAGAGCUUCAGAUGAUUAAAUAACUUUGUAUGUGCCACUCCAUGGAAAAUUGAGUAAACACAUCUCUUUAUUAAUCAAGAAGCUACAUACGCGGCAACAAACAAACAUGAUCACAUGUACUACUACAAGUAGUUGCAAGCAGCAAGAGCAGAACAGAACAGAAGAUAGGCAGGAGUCAGAUGGAUCGGAUGAAAAAAAGAAAACGGAAGAAGGGGAAGAGCAGCUUAAUUGGAGCUGGCCGGCCGGGGUGAUGGAGCUCAGCCGGUCUCUAGUCAGUGGUGAUGUGCACGCCGAUGACGAUGACGAAGAGCGCGAUGAGGGCGAAGUAGAUGAUGGCGUGGACGAGGAUGGCCAUGGCGCUGGUGUGCAUGUUGCCGAACUCCACGAAGUGGUGCUUCCCGGGGAGCUGCAGCAGCAGCCCCGGCGACAGCAGCACGAACAGCACCACCGCGAUCACCACCGGCCCCCAGUCCGACAUCCUCCCUCUCCCUCCCCUUCUCCGACUCCGGCAAGCUUCUUUCUUUCUCUCUAGCUAGCUCCUCGCGGCAGAGAAAGGAAGGCAAUGGAGCAGAGCAGAACAGGAGCGGGGGCGCAGAGUAGAGCAGAGAAGGAUGGUGUGAUUGUGGAGGGAAAGGCGUGAGGGCUCCCUUUCAUCGCCAUUCGGUUGGUGACGUCUCGCUUUCCCUACCGCCUACGACCACAUCGCCCGUUUUCUAGUCACACCUUUUGCACUUGUAUUUUCUAGUCACGCCUUUUGCACUUGCGCUUCAGAAAAGAAAAGAAAAGUUUUUUUCUAAAUUAUUAUAUACUGUUAGCAGCUCCAUGCAUGAAUUUUUUUUAAUCAAAUCUUAUGAUUAGGUAGUCCUUUUUGCGAAAAAGGACCUAGAUCUUUUACAAAGGUUUGUAAAAAGGGCAAAGCAUCCUAUAUACAUAAUAAAAUAAAAUCGAGCACAACCGAAGGACCACUGCCACCGUCGGAGUGGCCAUCUAUGCGCAGCUAUUGAUGCUCUCCUCUACCUGAGCCGGUUUGACUUCGUUGAUGACAGUCGGGAAGUCUUCAUGCACGUGCCCCUAAGGUGCGGCGUACUAGAGCUGAUAUCAUCGCCACUGAACCCUUGAAUAGAUCUAAAACAUCUGACUCCAAAUCUAAUCAUCGCACACAAACAACGAGAAACUGUAACCUCAUCACACCAAGGAGACAUCAUGGAUCUACACCGGAGCUCCAUCGAAUCCAUCCCGAUGGACAAACUCGAUGAGAAUCGAUGUCCGGAAGACCAACUCGAAAUGAACCACCGACAUCUACCUAAACGCCGCUUAUGCGAGAACAAAAACCCUAACCUAAACUACUACCCAAAGUCGAGGCACCGAGAUCCCCCUUCCCCAUCACGGCCGCCUGAGCGGCACGCAGAGGGGAGGUGGAUCCAUGGGCUCACCGGCGAAGCCUGAAGGGAAUGAGUGCCCUAGCCGCCGGAGUCACGAAAGUGAAAAGGAAACCCUAACUUGGCGGGAAGGUUUGUGUAUUUUCUUUGACCAUUUAUAAUUAGGUAGUUAAAUAGGUGAUUUCGACAACAACAGGAGCGAGGAGAACAACUUCAGAAACGAAACCUUUUUUAAAUUUCACUUGUUUAACUCCAUGGAUGGGGAGUUCAAACAAUUAUGAUUAGCUAGCUAUAUCUAGGUGAUUUCAAUGCCACAACAACAUCAAGGAGGAGAACAACCGCAAUUUUGCUUUUUUUUAAUGAGCUUGUUGAUAACAGACAGGCAGGCAGGCAGGCAGGCUGGUGGACAGUGAGUGUGAGAGUGAGGUCUCUCUGGCGGGACACCUCUCACUCUCGUCCUGUCCUCCAUGAGAGUGAGUGCUGAGGUCAACUGGCAAUGCUCAUUGCGUGACCAAUAUCUCCUCCCAACUGACAACGACUUGGCCUGAACUUUUCUUAUCUAUUCGAGCAUAUCGUACCUUAAUCUAGAAUACAAUCCAGUGGAACCAAUGCGGGAGAUGUAAUUGCGAUUAACCUUCAGGAAGCUGCAUGAAGAAGAUGAUGAUGGUCUCUCAUGUUUUAUGGCCGUGCCUGAAACUUCGCUUUCCACCGAGCAAGAACAAGUGGCGGAGGGCGAAAUGAGGAAAAGGUGGAGAAGAAAAAUGUGCGUGUAGAGGAUACGCAACACCUAAAGCCACACACACAAAAACAAUAUGCUAGCUAGCUAGCUGGUCCAUGCCAUGGCAUAUUGACAUGACAACUCCGCUUAUUUGCUGCAACCAUUUCAAAGGACACAGUGGAUAUGCUAUACUCCCUCCGUUCCUAAAUAUAAGCCUUUUUUAGAGAUUCCAACACAGACUACAUAUUAAGCAAAAUGAGUGAAUCUACAUUCUAAAAUAUGAUUAUAUACAUCCAUAUGUAGUUCCUAUUGAAAUAUCUAAAAAACUUAUAUUUAGAAAUGGAGGGAAUACAUUAUUUAGAAACUUAUAUUUAAAAAACGUAUCGAAAUAUCUAAACAAUACAUUUUUUUUUAAUUUUCAUAAAUAUUACGCUGGGUAAUUUUUUUCAAAAAUAAUACUCCGUCGGCCCGUUGCAGGCCGACUGGGCCUAGUCGGCCCACAGCAGGCCGAUUGGACUGGCCCCUGUCGGCCCACUGUGGGCUGAUUGGGUCCUGUCGGCCCACUGUGGGUCGACUGGAGCUAAUUAGCUCGUUGUGGGCUAAUUGUUUUUGCAAAAAAAGUAGGCAUAAAAAAUAUGUUUAAAAAAUAUUAAUUAUGUAAUUAAAAAAUGUUAAACGUGUAUAAAAAAAUGUUCCUAAUGUAUAAAAAAAAUGUACAAUAUAUAUGCAAAAAAGUUGACAUAAAAAAUAUGUUUUAAAAAGUGUUAAGCAUGUUUUUAAAAAUUGUUAAAUGUGUCUAUAAAAAAUGUUUCUUAUCUAUUCAAAAAAUAUAGAAUGUGUAUGAAAAAAAGUUGACACCAAAAAAAUAUGUUUGAAAAAAAUAUUCCAGUUCCAUACAAAAAGAGCAACCAAUCAUACUUAGGUCUGUGAUGCUCCCAUACCGGAUCCGGAGCUGGAACAUUUUUUAUACACGUUUAACCUUUCAUUCCAAUACAUGAAACAUUUUUGUGUACUCGUUGAACAUUUUUUCAAAUACAUGAUUAACUUUUUUUCAAACAUAUUUUUUUGGUGUCAACUUUUUUCAUACACAUUCUAUAUUUUUUGUGUAGAUAAGUAACAUUUUUUCAAAUACAUGAUUAAUAUUUUUUUCAAACAUAUUUUUUUGGUAUCAACUUUUUUUCAUACACAUUCUAUAUUUUUUGUAUAAAUAAGGAACAUUUUUUAUACACAAAUUUAACAAUUUUUAAAUACAUGCUUAACACUUUUUAAAACAUAUUUUUUAUGUCAACUUUUUGCAUAUAUAUUGUACAUUUUUUGUAUACAUCAGGAACAUUUUUUUUAUACACAUUUAACAUUUUUUAAUUACAUAAUUAACUUUUUUUAAAACAUAUAUUUUUUAUGCCUAAUUUUUUUGCAAAAAAAUUAGCCCACAGCGAGCCAAUUAGCUCCAGUCGGCCUACAGCUGGCCGACAGGAGUCCAAUCGGCCUGCUGUGGGCCGACUAGGCCCAGUCGGCCUGCAACGGGCCGACGGUGUAUUAUUUUUGAAAUUUUUUUAUCCAGCGUAAUAUUUAUGAAAAUUAAUUAAAAAAUGUAUUAUUUUAAAAAAAUAGCCAUUAUUUGCAUGGAUGAAUAUAUCGUCGAGGAUAUAACAAGAAAAAGAACACUGACAAGAGUUACCAAGCAAGAUCUGCUGCAUAUCAGUUUGUGCUCCUUAAUUAUAUCCAAGUGUAUCGAAACGGCAGUAUGGCUUUUGUUUGCUGCAUGAUGGAGACUGGUUCCCCCAUUCAGUUAGGCCGAUCUACAGUUUACGCAACUCAGCCAUACUCAUUCCUGAUUUCAUCUAUUCUCAUAUCGUGGGGAAACAAUGAAACACUUUCUUUCCUGCCGGCUCCUUGCUUGCUUAGUCUUUCUCUGCUCCCAUAAAAUCGACGAUGAUAAGAAGACAAAAAUAAAAUUCACCAGACAAGCUCAACCCCUUUCGUUCCUGAAUGCGUGAUCCACCCAAGUGUAUUCACAUGCCUUUUGUUGAUGCUAUGAUGGAGACAUGUUUUUCCCAUUCAGUUAGGCAGAUCAACGUUUUUCUUUCUAGCAUAUUGUUAACUCCAUGGAUGUGUUUAUUUAAUUCUUAAUUAUGAUUAGGUAGCUAAGUAGGUGAUUUCAACAUCAACAACACCAAGCACUAGGGCAUCAAUAAAGAGAACAACCAACUUCAAGAAAGAAAACUUCUUAAAAUUUCACUUGUUUAAUUCCAUGCAUGGGACUUUCUUUCCUUUCUUUUUUUAAGAAAAUGAGGAUUAUGAUUAGCUAGCUAAUUAGGUGAUUUCAACACAAGAUUAACAUCAAGGAGAAGGAGAAGAGUGAUUUCACUUGUUUUUAAUGAGCUUGUUGUUAACAGACAGGCAGGCAGGCAGGUGGGCAGUGAGAGGGUGAGAGCUAGGUGUCUCUGGCUGGACACCUCGCACUUUUUCCUCUGUGGGAGGAAAAAGUGCUUAAUUGUGUAGAGGAUAAGUAACACCUAAGGCCACACAGACAUUGACAAUUUAAUUGAUUUGCUGCAACCAUCUCAAAGGACAUGUCGGAUAUACAUAUAUACGCAUGGAUAAUAUCAUCACAGAUAAUAAAGAAAAAACAAUCGAUGAUUCUUACUUUACGGGCAGAUAAUACAUGGAAAACAAUGUGUGUAGAGGAGACGCAACACCUGAAGUGUCACACACACACACACACACACACACACAAACAGUACUAUGCUAGCUGGCUUGUCCCUGACAUGGACAAUUCAAUUGAUUUGCUACAACCAUUCGAAUGACACAGUGGACACAAAAACAUAUAUGAAUGAAUAAUUUCUCCAAGAUAAGAAGAAAAAACUGUAUGCAUACCGGUGUGUUCUUCUUUUGUUCAUGCAUGCAUGUUGGAUGGACCAAGUGUAUCAGCAGUAUGGCUUUUAUUUGCUGCAUGAUGGCGACAGGCUCCCCCAUUCUGUUAGUCCGAUCUAAGAACUUCACAAUUCAGGCAUGUGCUUAGUCCAAAAUUCAAUUAUUUAUCGUAUCCCGGAUUUAAAUUAAACGAUAAAACGCUUGAGACAGGUUUCUCUGCAUGGAUAAAAACAACAAGGAUAACAAAAUAGAAAAACCCAAAUGAUAAGUGCCACACGUCAGGUGCGUGGCACUCCGGCCCUGACGUUUUUCGAAGGAAAUUCCAGUCAUGCAAGGAUGACAAAUUGCAGUGAUCUGUCAAAAAUAAACUGAAGCACGAAAGUUGUCAUGCUUGUCAACUAAAGUUGCCAUCCUUGUGUAACUAAACUUGCCAUCAAAAACGUUCGAAGUUGCCAUAUGCAUGCACCUGACGUGUGGCACUUAUGAGGGUCCUAGAAAAAGGAAACAAAUAUAGUUAUCAAGCAAAAUCAACUGUAUGUUGCUCUCUUCGCCCAUUGUUCCUGAAUGCAAUACCCAUCUAAGUGUAUUCACAUGCCUUUUGUUGAUGCUAUUGCAAUGGUUGAGACAUGUUUUUCCCGUUCAGUUAGGCAGACAUUUUUUUAGCAUACUGUUAACUCCAUGAAUGUGGUUAUUUAAUUCCUAAUUAUGAUUAGGUAGCUAAGCAGGUGAUGUCAACAUCAACAACAACAACUACUGCAUCCGUAAAGAGAACAACAACUUCAAGGAAGAAAAACUUCUUAAAAUUUCACAUGUUUAAUUCCAUGCAUGGGACUUUCUUUCCUUUUUUAUAAGAAAAUGAGGAUUAUGAUUGGCUAGCUAGUUAGGUGAUUUCAACACAAGGUUAACAGCAAGGAGGAGGAGAAGAGUGAUUUCACUUGUUUUUAACAAGCUUGUUGUUCACAGACAGGCAGAUGGACAGUGAGAGGGUGAGAGCGAGGUGUCUCUGGCUAGACACCUCCCACUUUUCCCCUGUGAGAGUGAGUGCUGAGGUCAAUUGGCCACAAGGCAAAUGCUUAAUUGUGUAGAGGAUACGCAACACCUAAAGCCACACACACAAACAACAUGGUAGCUAGAGGUCCAUGACAUUGUCAAUUCAAUUGAUUUGCUGCAACCAUUUCAAAGAACACAGUGGAUAUACAUAUAUACGCGUGAAUAAUAUCAUCAAUCAAAGAUAAUAAAGGAAAAACCACCGAUGAUUGUUACCGACGGGAAAGAUAAUACAUGGAAAACAAUGUAUGUAGAGGAGACGCAACACCUAAAGUCACACAAACAAAAACAAUACUAUGCUAGCUAGCUGGUCCAUAAAAAGGGCAGGGUCUUUGGGUCUUUUCUAUGCAGUUUUUCUCUAUAUUUUUGCUAGAGGUUUCAGGACUCGAACCCGUGACCUGACCAAGACAACAGCUCUACCGCUAGCUAGCUGGUCCAUGACAUGGACAAUUCAAUUGAUUUGCUACAACCAUUCGAAUAACAAGGUGGACACACAAACAUAUAUGAAUGACUAAUUUCUCCAGGAUAAGAAGAAAAAACUGUAUACAGACCGGUGUUUUUUUUGUUCAUGCAUGCAUGUUGGAUGGACCAAGUGUAUCAGCAGUAUGGCUUUUGUUUGCUGCAUGACGGCGACAUGCUCCACCAAUCAGUUAGGCCGAUCUAUGAACUUCACAAUUCAGCCAUGUGCUUAGUCCUAAAUUCAAUUAUUUAUCGUAUAACUAAGGUGUCCAGCAGGGUUACGCCUUGGAGGGGGCGCUACAAUUCUACUGCUGGAAGGGUCUGUUUGAUCAAUGUGUGUUUGUCUUCUCUUCGUAUGUAUGUUAUGGGUUUCUAUCGCCUUAUGGAGGGUAUUCAUGCCGGUUUUGAUAAAUAUCGGGGUGGUUUCUAUUGCAAUACCAUGGACAAUAAAAAGAAGUACAGAUUGGUUAAGUGGAAACUCAUGUGUAGGCCCAAAAGUAUGGGGGGUUUGGGGAUCCUUAACACUUUCAUUAUGAACAAGUCUUUGAUCCUUAAGUGGUGGUGGCGUAUUCUUUCAGAUGAUCAGGGCAAGCUUUGGUUCCACAUAAGCCCAAAUAUUUUCCUCACUCCUCCCCCCUCAUGUGCAAUCCUGUGGCCAGCUCUUCCGUUUCUCAAUUCUGGCGCUAGCUGCUCAAUGUUCGGGAUGACUUCAAAGCUUUGGUGAAAUUCUCUGUUGGCAACGGUGCCUCCGUUCGUUUUUGGUUGGAUUGGUGGGUUGGGGAUGGGACCUUUGCGCUUUCCUUUCCUGUUUUUUUCUUUUGUUACUUAUCCUUCUGUCUCCAUCGCGGAGCUGGCGGCUAGUGGUUGGGACCUCGGCUUUCGCCGGGUCCUAUCUCCUGUAGAGUUGGAGGACUGGCACCGGCUUGUUGCCUGCGCUCUCGGAGGCUCAGGACUUGGCCCCAUUCUGCUUCUGGCCGCUUUUCUGUUAAGUCCUGUUAUCGUGUUUUGUCCUCGAGGUCAGUGGUGUCUAAGUUUAAGCCCAUCUAGGUGGUCAGAGUGCCUCCGAAGAUCAAAAUUUUCAUGUGGCAGGCCUUGAGGGGCUGACUGCCCUUCGCGGAUUAUAGUAAGAAGAGGCACGGCCCGGGUUCGGAGUUUUGCUCCUUGCGUGGGAACUUAGAGGAUAUUAAUCACAUUCUAUUCUCGUGUCCUCUGGCCCAGCUACUUUGGAGUUGUAUUAGGGACUGGAUGGUUGUGUCGUGGGCGCCUGCUAACUUUAAUAAUCUUCUUGCGCUUUUGGUUCCUUUGUCUAUUCAAGUCAGAUGGGUGUUUUGGUUCGCCUUCCCUGCCAUGUGCUAGACCCUCUGGACGACCAGAAAUAAAUUUACUAUCGAACAGGUGUUCCCUAACAAGGCGGUUCAUGUUGUUUCCAAUCUCUCAAUAUUUUUGAUGCAGUGGAAAUCUCUGAUUAAGGAAGGCAACAAGGCAGCUGUGGAGUUGCUCAUUUCCCGUGUUCGUGCUUCGGGAAUAUCUGUCUCAAGGGGUGAUCGACUCAGGCCGCAGUAGGUAUUGCUACUUGUCGUCGUUUGGUGUUAGUCAUCUGGGGACUCUUGAUGCUGGCCUGCGUGCCAUUUUGCCGGUUGUGGCCGUCUGUUGAAUUCGGUGCUGUGGUGUGUGUCCGUCCUAAACUCUUGUUGUCUGUCCUACUCGGUUGCCUGGUGCCUUUAUUAAUUUAAAGCCGGGCUGAGGCCUUUUCUCUAAAAAAUUAUUUAUCGUAUCACGGAUUAUAUGAUAAAACGCUUGAGACAGGUUUCUCUGCAUGGAUAAAAACAACAAGGAUACGAAAUAAAAAAAAGACACGGAUAUAGUUACCAAGCAAAAUCAACUGUAUGUCGCUCUCUUCGACCUUUGCUCCAGAAUGCACGACCCAUCCAAGUCUGCUGACAUCCCAUUUAUCGACCAAUGAUUGGCACAGGUUUUUCUAUUCAGUCAAGCUAAUUUAUGGAUUUCAGUAUUUCAAACUAAUGGAACUAUUUCUUUCCUGUCGAUACCUUGCUUGGCCUUUCUCAGCAAGAUGAAAUUGAUGACACCCUUUUUCACUGCCAUUGAUCCGACCUGUCUCUAGCUGUCCAUUGGUGCUGGUCACCGCGACGGCAAGGAGGGCAAGGAGGGCUGCCCACCUUUGAUUAAUCAUGCAUGCAUCUGAAUUAUCCAAAUUCAUCAAGAUAUCCUAAAUAGAUCCAACCUGAAGAUUAAACGUAGUGCAGUGGAGGAACAUAGGAGUUGUAAAUGUAAUUAGCAUGCACUGAUUGUUGGGCAUAAGCCACCGCAGGACGCGUUGGGUGCGAGCCAGGGCGCGCCGGAUCCGUGGCCGUGUGUGUGUGCGCGCUUGAGUUUGUGGCUUGAGUGAAAUAGUGGCUGUUCGUGCAGCCGGGUGGCGUUCGUGCGCCGGAUAUAUCUGCUGUGUGCGCCUCGUUCUUCUUCCUCCUUUCCUCUAGUCCUGAGCGAGAGAGAGUGAGAGCUCCGUUGAGAGGCACGGCAAGGCUACGGUAACAACAAUUGGUAUUCAGAGCCACUAGUUCGGGGGGCGGCCGUGGCGCGCGGCGGACAUGAAGGUCUCGGCAACGCGCGGCGAGUCCACGGCGGUGUGGCGUGAUGCCGGGUGCGCGGCGAGCGCGUGGCGUCAGCAACGCGCGGCGAGUCCACGGUGGUGUGGCGUGAUGCCGUGCGCGCGGCGAGCAGCGACGGUCGCAGAGACGAGGAGGUCACGAAGGACCUGCGUGGUGUCGCAGAGGCCGCGGCGGCUCGGCGCGACGACCGUGGAGGCGCUGCGCUGUGGUUGACGGCGCAGCGGUGCAGGGCAAUAAGCGCGGCGGCGAGCCGGGCGCGACCGGUGCGUGUUAUGGAUGCGCACCGGACGCGUCGGGCACGUCGGGACCGCGGGAGUGGACCGCGUCGAGGCGCAGGACCUGGUUGCGCAGACCGCGUACGUGCGCGGCGGGAGCGCGGGGACGUGGGGAGUGCACGCGAAGGGCACGGCGGCACGGUGGCAGGCGUGGCAGCGACGUCAGGGCGGCGGCGGCUACAACAACGUCGACGGCACGACGGAGGCCGCAGCGGUGCGGUGCGACGGCCAUGGCGACAUCAACGACGAUGGACUCACCUGCUGUAGUUCGUGGCUUAGGGGGGUGUGUGUUGGGCAUAAGCCACCGCAGGACGCGUCGGGUGCGAGCCAGGGCGCGCCGGGUCCGUGGCCGUGCGUGUGUGUGUGCGCUUGAGUUUGUGGCUUGAGUGAAAAAGUGGCUGUUCGUGCAGCCGGGCGGCGUUCGUGCGCCUCGGUCUUCUUCCUCCUUUCCUCUAGUCCUGAGCGAGAGAGAGUGAGAGCUCCGGUGAGAGGCACGGCGAGGCUACGGUAACAACACUAAUCAACUAGGUUAUUCGGCCAUCCGUUGUUGUACUAGCUAGCCAGAGCCAUAAGGAGGAGGAUGUGAAGAUGACACGCACACAAUAUCAAGUUUUUGGGUUUGUGCUCGUGUUGCAUAUUUCACUUUCCAUCAAGAAAAAAAAAUUGUGGUAUAGGAUGGCAGAAUGAAAAUAACGAAAAUCAAUAUAUGGAAUUACGGAUGCAACAACUAAGGUCAUACCCACCACAAGAAUUGUGUGUGUUAUAGCUAGUUCAGCAGAUGACAGUAUUGCCAGCUUCUCCUUUGUUCUAGCUAGGACACAAAUUCGAUCCACUGAUUUGAGGCAUCGAUCUGCCGCAAGUCCUCAAAGGACAUAUAGACAAGGCGAAGAACUAAAUAAAGUUGCAAAGCAAAAUUAUCGAAAAAAUAUGAUCCCAGAGAUACACAGUAAUGUUGUCAUCAAAUCUCAAGAAUAUAAAUUUCACAUGAUCCCACCAUGUAACAUAUCCCAGGUCAGCAAUGACUGAGCGCAGGCUAACUAAUUAACAUGAAGCAAGAACCAAACAGACAGAAAGAGCAAAAGAAACAGCUAGAACAGGAUGAAGCAGAGUAUUGUACUACUCAUGAUGACGAGCCGAACUCGAUGUGGACGCCAACGACGACGAGGAAGAAGGCAUCGAGGGCGAAGAAGAUGAUGGUGUGGAUGAGGAUGGAGACGGCGCUCGUGUGGAAUUUGCCGCACUCGAUCGUCCGUGAUUUGCCAGGGAUCUGGAAGACAAGCCCUGGGGACAGAAGGAUGAAGAGCAUGAAGGAGAUGAGAACUGGACCCCAGUCUUGCAUCUUCUUCUUCUUCUUCUUCUUCUUCUUCUUCUUCUUCUUCUUCUUCUUCUUCUUCUUCGAAGUCUUUGGGAUGACGAUGAUGAUGAAUACUCAAGCCAGCUACAGCUAUGCUUCUUCUUCUUCUUCGAAGUCUUCUGGUUCGUGUCUCAAACCGGGACUAAAGGGGUUCUGAAAUUUGUUAUUUGUUUUCUAUUUUUAGUUUAUGUUUUAAAUUGCUUAUAUUUUUUAGGAUAUUUGAUGUUUUUGAGUGAUUCUUUUUGCAUUAGAUUCAAAAUUUUGUCUAGUUUUUGUUUGUGCCAUUAGUUUACAAAUUUGAAUGUUUUAAAUAUGAAUUUUUUUCAAAUUUUCUUCAAACCCUAGAUUGUGAAUAAUUUGAGUUUAAAAAUGGGUUUUAAUUUAAUUGUUUUUGCUCCUAGUCACAUGUAAGACUGUUGUCACACAGUAAGAUUUAUUUGGUUAUUUUUAGAAUAAUUUGAAUUAGGAUUUUAGUUAAGUUAAAAAGUAAUUCUUUUUGCCACUUUAAUAGAACGUGACUCUGGCUGGGACGGUGCUAGCAGAUGUAGUGGACGGUACGAUUGGAUGGACACCAUCCGGGACUAAAGGGGUUCAAACUCUACCCCCACUAGUGCAGAACCGGCCUUUAUCACCGGUUCGUAAGGGCCUUUAGUGCCGGUUCUGCAACCGGCACUAUGGAGUGGAGACUAAAGGCCCCCCCUUUAGUACCGGUUUGGCACGAACCGGCGCUAACGUGCCACCACGUGGCACGAGCCAGGCCCGGGUGCGUGUAGGACAUUAGUACCGGUUGGUAACACCAACCGGUACUAAAUGUUUGGGUGUGUUUUGGUUUUAAUUUUUAUUUUUCCUUUAGUUUUGUGUUUUCAAUUUAAUUUAGUGAUUGUUUUACAUUAUAAUGAGUUGUUAAAUCAUUAGGUGAAAGUACCGCAGAUUAGUUUCGACUGGAUGCAUGUGGAUCCUAGCUAAGUGAUCUAAGUAAUAUGGAUAUGGCAUAUACUUGAUUACUUAGCUAGGAUCCAUCCAGUUGAAACUAAUAUGCGGUUUCUUUCAUAAAUGUUAUAAUAACUCAUCAUCAUCAUCAUCAUAUUAUAAGCGUUCAUAACACCACAAAAGCAAAUCACUCUUUGAGAUUAAGUUCAGGACGAAGAACACGGACACGCAUGAGAGGACAACAAGUACUAAGAGCAUGAUAACUAGCUAAAUCACUCCUGCUGCUCUCUCACAGGUAAAAUAGCAUAGAACAUGUAUAGCUCUCUUGAUUCAUCAUAUUGGAGCAUGCAGAUGAACCUGUCUCCUAAUCGUGGGCUGCGCUUCUGAUUGGUGCCCCCUAGUACUUCUCUGCGAUCGUUAACAAUUUUGCUCCAAUCUUUCACUAUUAAGCAUUCAUCGCUUUCAGAAAUCCUGAAUGCACUCAUGUGCACUGUAGGAUAUCUUGGCCGUAAGCUAACAAUUGACAUGCGACCUUUAGUCUCGAUCCACUGAGGCACAACUGUCAUCGGGAGUCCCUGUUGAAGAACAUCGUAUAGUAAUUAAUAUACUUAGCAAUGAAAGUUUAGCUUGAAAAAUAAUGUAUGCAAAAGAUGCACUGAGGACUAAUAGUAAAAAUCUUACCAUCUUUCCUAAAUACAUGUGACCGUAGUUCAAUACGAUCACUAUUGGUCGCACGUUUUGAGUACUAAGAUUUUCAAAUUCAGGAAAAUGAUUUCUCUUAACAGCAUCAAGAUCCUCAAGCCAUGAAACAUAAUGACUUAUCUCCUCGCAGUUUAGUUCAACUCCGGGACAGUAGUAGGUCCUGUCUACCAAGCGCCGGACAUGUUUGCUUGAAUGGAAAUAAGCUGUCAAUAGAAAUUAGUUGUGAACUAUUUUUGAAUAAACAAUAUCAAAGACAUAAAUAUGGUUGAGAAACUCACAUAAUGGUAGAACUGGAGGCGUCUGCACAUCGACCCAGAUGUCUCUAUUACCUUCAAUAUCAUCUUCCGGACGAAUAUCAAAGGUGAUAACCAUAUCAGGCUCAAAUGCAUAAGCCUUGCAUAGUGCUUGCCAAGUUUUGCAUUCAAAAUAGGUGUACGUGUCUGCAUUGUAUAAUUUGAUGUUGAAAGUAUAACCAUGCUCGGUCUUCAGGUAAACUCUUUUUACCUCCAUAGUUUCCAUAGCACUGAAACCUAUCUUAUCCAAGACAAAAAUUCUUGCAUGGCAGGGGAUGCGCUAGUAGAAUAGUGAAAAUUUAAAAUUAUAAGUUGAAGCAAAUGAAGCAUAUAUAAGUCAUGCUUAAUUACGAAAAAAGACUUGUCGUUGUGACUUACUGUAUCCACUUCGAAGGUCUCAUCCAGCUUGAUGCUGAAGCGCCUAUCAUCAACAAGGAAAUUUCUGUCGCACAGGCCGCGCUGGUCUUCACAGGAUUCGCACUUAAUGAAAUCUUUUUCGUCGUCAGACGACAUUUCCUAUGUUCAUAUAGGUGAAACAUUAAACACUUACUAGUUCUAUUAAUUCAACUAAUUCAACUACUUCUAUUAGUUCAACUAGUUCUAUUAAUUCAACGAAUUCAACUAAGCAUUUACUAAAAAUAAACGUGUUCUAUUAAUUUUCUUACUAAAAUAAAGUAGCUAGUUCCAUAUAGUAAUAUUUUAAUUAGAUCAUCAAAUCUCAGGUAUCUAAAUUUUCUUACUAAAAAUAAACUAGUUCUAUUAAUUCAACUAAUUCAACUAAGAAUUUACUAAAAAUAAACUAGUUCUAUUAAUUUUCUUACUAAAAUAUAUAAGGUAGCUAUAUAUAUAGUAAUAUUUUAAUUAGAUUAUCAAAUCUCAUAUACCUAAAUUUUCGUACUAAAAAUAAACUAGUUCUACUAAUUCAACUAGUCCAACUAAGCAUUUACUAAANNNNNNNNNNNNNNNNNNNNNNNNNNNNNNNNNNNNNNNNNNNNNNNNNNNNNNNNNNNNNNNNNNNNNNNNNNNNNNNNNNNNNNNNNNNNNNNNNNNNNNNNNNNNNNNNNNNNNNNNNNNNNNNNNNNNNNNNNNNNNNNNNNNNNNNNNNNNNNNNNNNNNNNNNNNNNNNNNNNNNNNNNNNNNNNNNNNNNNNNNNNNNNNNNNNNNNNNNNNNNNNNNNNNNNNNNNNNNNNNNNNNNNNNNNNNNNNNNNNNNNNNNNNNNNNNNNNNNNNNNNNNNNNNNNNNNNNNNNNNNNNNNNNNNNNNNNNNNNNNNNNNNNNNNNNNNNNNNNNNNNNNNNNNNNNNNNNNNNNNNNNNNNNNNNNNNNNNNNNNNNNNNNNNNNNNNNNNNNNNNNNNNNNNNNNNNNNNNNNNNNNNNNNNNNNNNNNNNNNNNNNNNNNNNNNNNNNNNNNNNNNNNNNNNNNNNNNNNNNNNNNNNNNNNNNNNNNNNNNNNNNNNNNNNNNNNNNNNNNNNNNNNNNNNNNNNNNNNNNNNNNNNNNNNNNNNNNNNNNNNNNNNNNNNNNNNNNNNNNNNNNNNNNNNNNNNNNNNNNNNNNNNNACGGGGACGGCGCAACGACGAGCGGCAGGCCGGGGGCGACGGCGCGAUCGAGACGGCGACGUGGUACGGGGCGGCGGCGACGAGCGGCGGGGGCGACGGCGGUGACGGCGACGAUUGGCGGUGAGGGCGACGGCGGUGACGGCAACGACGGGUGGCGGGGGCGGCGAGGGCGGCGGCGAUUUUGCGCGAAGGAGUUGGAGAAGAAGUGGUGGUCGAUGAAACUGAAUUUUUUAUAAGUGCCAUAUAUAUAGGAGGGGCCUUUAGUACCGGUUGGAGCCACCAACCGGUACUAAAGGCCAAUUUUUGCCAGGCCAAGGGGCGGAAAACUGCCCCUUUAGUACGGGUUCGCGGCUCCAACCGGUACUAAAGGCCCCCCUUUAGUACCGGUUGGAGCCACGACCCGGUACUAAAGGUAUGCGCUGGCGCAGGAGCGGUGCGGGCAAGUUUAGUCCCACCUCGCUAGCCGAGAGGCGCCCGCACCAGUUUAAAAGCCCCGGCGCGGCUGCUGUCUUGAACUCCUCUCUAUAGCAGGCUUUUGGGCCUAACUCUGGCGCGCUGCCCGUUGAGCCUGCUGGCCCUUCUGGGCCUGUAUUUGCAAACCCUAUGGUUGGCAGGCGCAGCGGGCAGCGCCCCAACAAUUUUUUAUAUAAUUUUCUUCUAUUUAUUUCCGAGUAAUUUUUUUGCUGUAUUUAGUUUCUUUGUGAAUAAAAAAGAAUUAUAUAGUUUUUUUUCUUUUCUGCAUUAUUUAUUUUCUGCUAUUCAUUUUGUAGUGAUUUUUAAUUUCACUGUCAUUUAGCUCUCUAAACAAAUCGGUAAAUGACUGAAAAACAACAAAUGAUGUCAGAACGUGUUGGAAAUUGAUGACGUCGCUUUGAAUGAUGCAUACUGAACGCAAAAAUAGGCUGGAGUUCAAAUAAGUUUAAAAAACAUUGAAGUGCCCGUGUAACAGAUGAGUUCUCGUCCGAAACCCUGAUACUCCGAAAGAGAUUGUCCAGUUUGUACACGAGGUGCGUCCAGUUUUCGCCGUGACCCUCUCUACUCUUUUGCACAUGCUAUGCGGGCGAAAUGAUGAUACCAUGCCAAGUUCCAACAUUUUCAGAGUUCAUUUUGUAGUAAUUUUCAAUUUCACCGUCAUUGAGCUCUCUAAACAAAUCGGUAAAUGACUGAAAAACAGCAAAUGAUGUCAGAACGUGUUGGAAAUUGAUGACGUCGCUUGGAAUGAUGCAUACUGAAUGCAAAAAUAGGCUGGAGUUCAAAUGACUGAAAACAACAAAUGAUGUCAGAACGUGUUGGAAAUUGAUGACGCCGCUUUGAAUGGUGUGUACGGAACGCAAAAAAGUCUGGAGUUGUAAUAAGUUUAAAAAAAUGAAGUGCCCAUGUAACAGAUGAGUUCUCGUCAGAAACCCUGAUACUUCGAAAGAGAUUGUCCAGUUUGUAUACGAAGUGCGUCCAGUUUUUGCCGUAACACAAGAAGUCCGGAGUUGUAAUAAGUUAUUAAAGAUAAAAAAGACCCUGAUACUUCGAAAGAGAUUGUCCAGUUUGUACACGAAGUACGUCCAGUUUUUGCCGUAACACAAGAAGUCCGGAGUUGUAAUAAGUUAUUAAAGAUAAAAAAGAGGCACAAUGCUCGUUAAUUAGCUUCAAGUCUUUCGGAAUAGUGCAAACUGCACUGCACAUAGCUCCGUGCAGUCUACACUAUUCCUCAAGGCUUAAAGCUAAGCAACAUGCAGAUGAGCAUUGCGCCUCUCCUUCAUCGUCUCUGCACUCAGAGCUUAUAAACCGCUCCUAGUGCCUCUCUCUUCGCGAGGUGGGACUAAAAAACAGCUUACUAAGAAACUAUAGUACCGGUUCAUGGCACGAACUGGUACUAAAGGUGCCCGUGGGGCCCCAGCCUGACCACAGCCUGACGCAACAUCAUUAGUACCGGUUCGUGACACGAACCGGUAUAAAAGGUUGCUCACGAACCGGUACUAAUGAUCUCCGUCCGCCUAGCCGUUGGAACCGACACUAAUGGACACAUUAGUGCCGGCUCAAAAUCAAACCGGCACUAAUAUGCUUCACAUUUGACCUUUUUUCUACUAGUGCCCCCCCCCGCGUGUAUCGCCAUUCCAGUUUUGAAAAGAACAAAAGAAACUGAUAAAAACUUCAAAAAUUAAAAUCCUUCGAGACGUAGUUAUGUUACUACAUCUACUAGUUACGAAAAUUUAAAAACUUAAAUUUGAACAUGUUUUGCAAAAAAGUGUUAUGAAAAAGUAAAACGGCUAUAACUUUUCCAUACAAUGUCGAAAAAACGUAUAAUAUAUCAAAAUAUUUAGCACGAAAAUCCAGAUCCGUUUUCGACGGCCGUAGGCUGUUUUGCAAAUUUUUAGAAUCCUCAAAUUUUGAAAGGAAAAAAAGUUAUCUUCAAAUUUUUUUUUUGAUUUUUUGGUCAAACUCUGGUCAAACUACUUAUUUAAGAAAUAUUAGUGUUACAAAAUUAUUGGUUUUAAGAAUAAUAGUUUCAAACUCAAACGCGAAACUGUGAUUUCAUGCUCAAGUUCAACUCCUAAGGGUUAAUACGAUUGACAGCUUACUAGUCAGGAAAACAACAAGUGCAGACUUGAAACGAUGAGGAAUAGAACUCGGAUGUUAAGCGUGCUCAGGCUGGAGUAGUGAGAGGAUGGGUGACCGGCCGGAAAGUUAGACGAUUUGGAAUGAUGAGGGAUGAUUAGAGAUUAAAGAUUAAAUUGAGCAGUGAUGAGGAGUGAUUAAAGAUUAAAUUCUCAAAUAAUUCAGAAAAUUGAAAAUCAGAAAAAAUUAAAAAAAUAUUCAAAUAUUUUUCUAUUUUUUUUUCAAAAAAAUUCCUUUAAUCCCCAACCGGGACUAAAGGUGGAGCUCAACAGACGUGGAGCCCCUUUACUCCCGGUUCGUAGGUGAACCGGGACUAAAGGUUUUGGGCUUUAGUCCCGACAACCGGGACUAAAGGCCCUCUGAAACCGGGACUAAAGACCCGUUUUCUACUAGUGCAUGGUCCCUCUUACCUUUUAUUUUCACAUUAGAGGUAAGAGUAUAUAAUAAAUUUGAGCCGUUGAUUUCAUUAAGUAGUCGGUCUGAGUAACUCUUACCUUCUUACCUCCCAUGUGAAAAAAUGAGCUACGUGAGAGGGACUAUGUUAAAAUUUCUCGUCGUCAAGGAUAUAAGAAGAAAAUGAACAAUGGUAAGAAUUACCAAGCAAGGAUCAGCUGUAUAUCGAUUAUAUAUAUAUAUAUAUAUAGACUAUUCGUCACCUUGGGUGAGAAAUAGUUAUUCUUCACCCCCCUCUAUUUUACCUUCAAUGCACCGUAAUUUUAUGUUCCGUAAGUUUUGUCUUAUUUCUGACACAAAAAGAGACCGUAAGAAAAUAUAUAAUCGCCGUAAAAAAUAUUUCAUGUUCUGUAAAAUUACAAACGUAAAAACAUAGUGUAAAAUACACAUAAACUGCAAAUUUUCUUGUCUUAUGACCUAUAUUUUUAUUUUCUUAUGCCAAAUUUUACAUAAUGAAUCAAUAUGAAUGUAACUAUAUAUCGCUCUCUUCUUCGCCUUUUUUUCCUGAAUGUGGGAUCCAUUCAAGUGCAUUGACAUGCCUUUUCUUGAUGCUAUGAUUGAGGCAUGUUCUCCCAUUCAGUUAGGCCGAUCAAUGUUUUUUAUUAUACUGUGAACUUUUUAUUAUGAUUAGGUAGUUGAGAAAGUGAUUUCAGAAAACAACGGCCGCGGCAAAGAGAACAACAACCUUAGAAGAAGGAAAAUAAAACUUUUUACAAUUCACUUGUUUAACCUUAGUUGAGAAGAGGAUUUCAGAAGGUGACUUUCUAUUCUUUUUAAGAGAAGGGUGAAUAUGAUUAGCUAGCCAGUUAGGUGAUCAACACAAGAUUAAUAUCAAUGAGAAGGUGAAGAACGAUUUCACUUGUUUUUAAUGAGCUUGUUGAUAACAGACAGGCAAGGCAGGUGAAAAGUGAGUGAGGUCUCUCUGGCUGGACAUCUCUCACUUUUCCUUCUGUGAGAGUGAGUGCUGAGGUCAACCGGACACAAGGCCAACUCUGCUAGUCGUCCUUCUACUCCUAUCACUUUUCUUUCCUGACAAAGACUUGCUCUGAACCCGUAAUUCAGAUUCACGGUGAUGACUAAUCCAUGAACAGGAAAGAAAAAACAUGAUUUAAACAUCCGAUGUUCAAAUUCUGAAUCCACCGAUCCACUAAUCCAGCAUAUUUACACGAAUCUAGAAUGACAUCAACUAGGAUUAACAGGAGCAAUAACUAUGAUUAGCCUUCACGAAGCUUCAUGGAGGAGGAUGUAGUCGUGUUUUCUUGCCGUGCCUGAAACUACGCUUUCCAUCAAUCAGAAAACAAGAGGUGGAGCGGGCAAAAGCGGAAAGGAAAACAAUGUAGAGCGGUCACACACACACAACAGUACUGUACAAUGCUAGUUGGUCGAUGACACUGACAAUUCAAUUGAUUUGCUGCAACCAUUCCAAAGGACAUAGUGGAUAACUUGAUAUACAUACACACACACACAACAUGUUUUGGUUCGCGAAGAUAAGAAGGAAAAACCACUUAUGAUUGUUUCCAAGCUCAAUCAAUUGUAUAUUUUUUUUGAUACAGUGUGAUAUAUAAAUAUCAAGAUGAUAUCAAUUACACCUGGCUUCUGCAACGACACUAUAUCAAGACCAAGUCGUGACAUCGAGGAUGCACACAAUCAAUCGUGUAUAUAUGGGUAUGUUCUCCUUAUGAUCAUGCAUGCAUGUUGCAUGGGCCAAGUGUAUCAGCAGUAUGGCUUUUGUCUGCUGCAUGAUGGAGACAGGUUUCCCGAUUCAGUUAGGCCGAUCUACGGAUUUCGCAGUUCAGCCAUACUUUGUCUGAAAUUCAUUUAUUCUCGUUUCGUGGAUGGCUCUUUUCUGCAGGGAUAAAAUGGACAAGGAUAAGAAGAAAGAAGACACUGCUAAACCAAAGUUACCAAGCAAAUAAACUGUAUAUAUGUCGCCCCCUUCGCCUUUUGUUCCUGAAUGCGUGAUCCAUCCAAGCUUGUUGACAUGGCUUUUGUUGAUGAAUGACUGAGACAGGUUUUCUCAUUCAUUAGGCUGCUCUAAGGAUAUCCGUAUUUGAACUAACUCAACGCUUUCUUUCAUGUCGAUUCCUUGCAUGGACUUUCUCAGCAAGAUGAAGUUAGUGAAACCCUUUCACUGGCAUUGAUCCUGCUGCCCUCGAGCUGUUCAUUGGCGCUGGCCGGUGCAAUGGUGGUGAGGGAAAGGAUGGGGAUUUGUCUUUAUGGUGAAUUGCUCUUGACUACUGCUACUUGUCUUCGAUGUUUCAAUUUGUAUUUUGUACUUGUGAUGAUCUUUAUCGCACAAGUCCAUUUAGGGCAUAAUCUCUUGCCGUCUUUGCAUUUUUUUCUCUUUUUGUUUUGGACGUGUUGGAUUGUGGACAUCUUGUUAUGUAGAUGUCGGAUUGCAGUCAGUGUGGUUGUACCAGCUUUGAUGGGAUGAUUGAAUGAAAUUCCAGCUAGCGAUUUUUUUCUUUUUUUGCAUCCAUUUUCCAUUUUUUUGCAUGCAUGCUUCUGAAAUGGAUCAUUUUGGAUAUUCUGUCAGGUUGCACUAGCCACAAGUUUAAUAGAGGAUUGAUCAUCAAAAGUUGUUUGUCUAGUUGUCCAAAAGAUCGUAUGUUUAUCACGAAAGCAUGGUGCUUGGUAUUUUAUUCUGAGGAAAAACUGACUCUCCGUUUUCACUUUACGUAUCAAAUCCUUAUCAAGGUUUUGUACUUUUUUGCGGUAGAGGUUUGGAACUUUCUACAGUUUGUGUAGAGUUCAGUAUCUGAACUUUGUACAAGAUUAGUAAAGCUUUACACAUCGAGUUUUUUUUUCUGGAACCAACUUUGUUGUGUUUUCUAAAGUGAUAAGACGAAGUGGAAUUGGUAGAGUGACACGACUCGUCAAAUUUGCUUUAAGGCAUCAAGAACUGUAAUCCAAAAACAAGAAGUUUAACCAUUUCACUUAAUUUUAAUGAGUUUACUGAUGUUUGAUGACAGACAUGCAGAGACGGUGAGAGCGAGGUCUUUUAUUUUCUAGAUCAUGGAAGAACAUAUAACUUUUCUCCUUUGUGUGAGUGAGUGGUACUAGUAACUGGUGAGGUCAACUAGCAGGCAAAUGUUCAAUGCUCUCUUUUCUGAUGAAGGUUGUUCUUAACUAACUCUGAAUUACAUGGAGGAUCGGCUGCCUGCCUUUGAUAAAUCAUGCAUCUGAAUUAUCCAAAUUCGAUCCAACCUGAAGAUUGAAUGUGAUGAAGUGGGGGAACAUAGGAGCUGUAAAUGUAAUUAGCUUGCACUGAUCAACUAGGUUAUUUGGGCAUCCGGUGUUGAACUAGCUAGCCAGAGCCGUAAGGAGAAUGAUGUGAAGAUGACACACACAUCCAAUCUCAAGUUUUCGGGUUUGUGCUCGUGUUGUAUAUUUUGCUUUCCAUCAAGAAAAAAUUGUGGUAUAGGAUAAUAGAAUGGAAAUAAAUAAAAGGAAUAGACACUUGCAACAUCUAAGACCAUACCCACCACACGAAUUGUGUGUGUUAUAGCUAGUUCAGGAGAUGACAGUACUGCCAGCUUCUCCUUUGUUCUAGGACAAGAUUUCAAUCCUCUGGUUUGAGGCAUCUUUGCUGCAACUGCUCAAAGGACAUAUAGACAAGGUGAAGAACUACAUAAAGUUGCAACGCAAAAUUAACUAUGCAUAUAUCUAUAUGUUCUCCUUUUCUUCCUGCAUGCAUGAUCCAAGUGUGCCGACAUGCCUUUUGUUGCUGCACCUGCAUGACCGAGAUUAUUUCCCAAUUAUGAUGUCUGAACAUGACUUUUCUCUUAUGCCAAAAUUCAGUUCAAACGAUCCAUGGGUUUCAUCAUUAUGCCAUACUUAUUUUUAAAUUAGUUCACCAAUAUAUACCAUGGAGCACUAGUGAGACCCUUUCUUUCCGGCCUACCAGUACCUUGCCUAGCCUUUCCGUUGAUUCAUUAAGAAGACUGGUCUCUUUUAUGCUGAAACUAGACGCAAAACCAUAGAACUUUCUUUUUCUUUUUCAAAAAGGAGGAAGACCCACGGCCUCUGCAUCAUGUGAUGCACACAGCCAUUUAGAACUAGAAACUGGUAAGUUACUUUCAGUUAACUAGCUAGUGGUUUCCGAGAAGUUCAAGAGGAAACUCAUGUCUUUCUUCGAGAAAUAAGUGAACUUGAGAAAAAUUGACCAACACGUUUAUAAAAGAACAGAGCAACCAUAAUUGCCGAUGUGGUUAGACAAUGGCAUGUAGUACUUGGAAUCAGACUCACACCAAUCAAAAGGGUCUCAAAUCUCUAAGCAUUAAGAUUUUUCAGAUAGUCCUAGCUUGGCUUGGUUUUAGUUCAAUCCAAAUUUAACAAUAGCGCUAAUGUACUUAUAUUAAUAUUAUUGCAGUACAUGAUAAUUAAUUAAUGCAUGAGGUUGUGGUUGUGACCAGGCAAGACCAACUUAUGAACUUGCAAGCAUGGCAUUCAGAUUGAUGUGCAGACAACGCCAACAUCAACAUUGUCUAGAUAAAGAUUAAUUUGUAUUUUAUUCCAUAUUUUAAACAGCUACUUUGGNNNNNNNNNNNNNNNNNNNNNNNNNNNNNNNNNNNNNNNNNNNNNNNNNNNNNNNNNNNNNNNNNNNNNNNNNNNNNNNNNNNNNNNNNNNNNNNNNNNNNNNNNNNNNNNNNNNNNNNNNNNNNNNNNNNNNNNNNNNNNNNNNNNNNNNNNNNNNNNNNNNNNNNNNNNNNNNNNNNNNNNNNNNNNNNNNNNNNNNNNNNNNNNNNNNNNNNNNNNNNNNNNNNNNNNNNNNNNNNNNNNNNNNNNNNNNNNNNNNNNNNNNNNNNNNNNNNNNNNNNNNNNNNNNNNNNNNNNNNNNNNNNNGCGACUAAUAAAAUUUUGACCUCUUUUACAAAAAAAGUGGGUUGUCUAGAUAUGCAACUAGAUGAACAAUAUAUAUGACAAUCUUAAGAAGUAACAAGUGCAAGAAAGAGUAAAACACAAGAUAUAAACUUGCAUAACCGAAAUAAUCACAAGUGGAGUCGUGGAGACUGGGAUGUGUUUUCGAAGUUCCCUGCUUUGAAGAGGUACGUAAAUAAUAGAUGGUGUGCUUUUGUUUGUGCUCCACAUGGUGGCAAUUUUAAAUUCAUAUGUUUGUCUCUUCAUUUAUAUAGAAAAAAUAGCAUGUAAAUUUUUAAUCCACAUUUCUUGCCAUCAUGGUACAGAUGCAAAAUUGCCAUGAACUUUUUCUUUUUUGCCAUCAAAAAUUACACAAACAAUAAUUCCCCCAACAACAACAAUUACCGCAACAACAAUUGCGCCAACAACAAAAGUUCCCCCAACUGCAACAAUUCCCCAAGCAACCACAACAACAAUUUCCCAUACCAUACCCACCCCAACAACCAUUCCCCCAGCAACAACAACCUUCCCCACACCAACAACCAACUGGGAGCGAUGUUAUAAGUAUCAGUGGCCGAUGAAAUGAAGAGAUGUAAUACUAGACGGGUGAAUCAUCGUUGUUAGUCAAUUGAGCAUUUAAUGUAACAAUGAUAAAUAAAGUGAUGUGCACCAUCAUGUGUAACCCCGACCUAUACUAGUUCAAACAUGGGGUAAAAGACAAAUAAGUUCUUUUCUAAAGCACAUUGCUGGCAAUUGUUACAUUCAUGCCAUAUUUCGAUUUUCAUCCCUAACUACAAUCUCAAUGUUAUGCGCUAUCUACUUAUUUAUGAAGUGUAGUAUUAUGAACAUAACAUAUUAACGUGUGUGAAACUUGGUUCAAAUUGAUGUACUAUUAACUCGGGAGUAAGGAUUAAUGACAAUUUAAUAUUUCAAUGGAGAGCCACAUGAGUUGUGCAACCUUCUUAUCUGACAUGGAUCUACAUCAAACUAGGUGUUAAUGUUCUCCACAAACUCCAUGUCAGAUUUCAUUGUUCAUUUAUAGUGAGAAUAAUUGAUUACUUAUGCACUUUUCGCCUUUGAUGUUCCACUCACAAAAUAAGUUUAACUACCAACUAUCUCCAAAAACAAUCUUAGCGGGACAAAAAGUAUCCUCUGACAAAUCACGACCCAUCAAACAAGGUUCAAAUUUGAAGGAAAAUGACCCCUUCAACUUGAGUCAAACAAAUAAUUUGCAUACAAUCAACCGAAAUCAUUAUGGGCUUCUUCAGCCCUCCACUCGAUACACACCUACGCAGGGAGUCCACCAUUGCCGCUACCGAACAACAUUUUUGGAGGCGCACAUUAUCACCCAUAAACACAAAAUAAAUCAAAACGCAAUACAAGCCUAAAAGCGGUCAGUUCCUAGGGCCAGAAAAAGCUUGUUGACCUGCAAUUGCACAUGGUUUAUUUUUCACCUAUUUAAGUAUGAGUAUAAAUCCCACAGGGAAUACAUGAAUUGGACUUUGUCCCUAAGAGACACUUAUGGUAAUGUGCCUGCAUAUUAGUUUUUGACACAAAGCAAAGUGAACGCCAAAGAUUAUAAUGACUUCUGAGUUUAGUGCGAACAAAAGUAAAUAAUGCAAAAGAAUUAAAACAGCGCAGCGGAACGAAUAAAGCAGGGAAACCGGUGGAGGAUUGAAGCAUUCUCAAGGACUCCAUAAUUCCCAUUGCAGUGUGUCUAAGGUAACAUAUGCCACUUCAUAAUUCUAAGCUAGAUACUUGAGUCACUCUUGACAUUUGUUAUUGGGCGUAUCCGGGUACAAAAUACGUUCUACUCGAGGUGUACUCCGUACCACGAAGGCCACCACAGAAGCUUCCCCACUCUAGUUCUCACUGCGGUAAUUAAGGGUUUCCCCGUGGAAGCGGCCUUAUCAAGGGUUCUCCGUUAUGCCCCUAUCAGUUGCAAAGGCGAGGUAAAGAGUCUUUUACACUCACCUUGAAUUACCUCAACAUCCUAACCUUUACAACCAUGGUAAUAUGCCUCGUGGCCUUGCGACAGAAAUGGUGAGUGGGGCACCUUCACAAAAUUCAUGAAGGCUAUUGAAAAAAACAUUCAACAGAGAAUAUCACAUCCUUAUUAACAUUUCAGCCUCCUAUACAUACCAUGGUUCAUCCAAAUCCCUGAGAACUGAGGAAACUACUCACACGUUGAGACAUGGAUGAAACAUCGGAUAAUACAUGUAUGGAUCGUACGAAUAGUGGAAAUAGUGGUGGUAAACAUGGUUUAAACACACGGAUAAUACAUGUAUGGAUCCACAAGGUUUCGGUAUUACAAUGGGAAGGAGAUGGAUGAUGCUGACGUCCCCUUGCACGAGCUGGUGGUGAUAGUGAUCUCCUCCUUUCCUUAAAUCUGCAAGCACAUUUAAAACAACAUCUUGGAGAGAACAGGAAAAAAGAAUUGUGCAGACGCGGUAAAAGCUAGCAAAUUUUACUGUGUAGGCGGGCUUGUGAUGGCUGUGGCAGUGUGGAUCUGACUACCGAGUUGUGACAAGUUGUGUGGGGCGAUGGUGGAGGUCCUCCCUCUUCUGAGCGUGAUAUCUGGCGACGGUGGGUUUCGACAGUCCCUCUCACGGGUGUGGAGGCGGGUCAAGGGGCGGUGAGUGUUGGCCGUGGUUUAGGCUGGCACUGGCGGAUCUGGGCAGGGGGAUUCAAUGGAGAGGCGGGGCUGGCAUUGGUGCGACUUCUCAGCGACUGGAGUUGCCGGCUGUUCGGAGCGCCCCCGCCCCUCUUGAUGGGGUGGCGCCCCCCUCGUGCAUAUGUCGGCAGCGGGUCGGUGAUGCAGACUAGCCGCCGGGCAAGGAGUUUGACAUGGUCGUCCUUGUCGGGGUUAGUUGCUCCCCACACAAGUUUUAGUGCUUAGUCGCCUAGGAUUAGGGUUUUUUGACUCUGGGUCGUUGUCGGUCAAGCCAAGGUGAAUGCUUGCAGCUCUGUUGGGGGAGGCACCUCCACACAUUGUAGUGUCGGUGAUGAUUGGUAGAUGUGGUGGUCAGGGCUAUGAUAUGCCGGCUGGUGGACCAGUGCCUCAGUUCACAGACUUGGCAUCUACGCUGGUCUCGACGAUGGUCGUCGGCAGUCACCUAGCGAGGUGACUGAUGCCGGGCUUUACUUGCUGCGAUUUGUGCAUUGUGAAGCGAGCGGGUCUAGGUGGUGCUCGGUGGUGAUGGUUGUGUUAGCAUUGCAUUCGUGCGCGGAUCAGUGCCGGUGAUCGCAAACAUGGCGUGGUGCGAGCUCGCCUGGCCAAGGGCUCGGUGCUGGCUCACCGGCGGUCCCCCUACUCCACCGACCAUUGGCUGGGGAUGCAGGUGUGGGUGCGUCCUAUGGUGGAGGUGCCCAACCAAACUCUUGGACUGAGUCUGGGCUAGGAGUAGAUGGAGUGUCGUCGCUCUUCCUACCAUGGUUGGCUACGUUGUCAUGUGAGCGGCGUAUGGUAUUUCGCAACAAGGAUGCCGGGUUGGCGGCCCCUGAUGGCGGGCCGCAUGAUUGCUCUUUGGCAGCCAUUAUUUCGUUGGUGGUGGCUCCCCUCCUGGGUUGUGGGGGCAACGGGAGGUGUUGCGGUUAGUAGCUCAGACGUGCCCUCUCUCUCGGAGGGGCAGCGUCCUGAUCAAGAUCUGGGGAUCUAACAUCAACGCGCUAGUCCUGAGGACCUCGUGGUGGCACAGGUGAGUUGUCGAGCAAAAGCUCCGUGCCUUGGCGUCGCCGCUGACGACACUCAUGGGUGCCACACUCUUCUUGAAGACGUCGUUGUGGUUCUUCUCUCCGUGUCAGGGCUCCGGGUGUAGAACUUUGUCUGGUGUGGACUCAGCAGGGGCGACGCUGUGCGGAGUUCUCCCACUUGGGGCCGUUGUCGUGGAGCUUAGGUGUGCUAGGUCGUAGCGUGAGGAUGUUUUGUUCUUCCGGUGCUUGUUGCUGGUAGCGUAGAAGCGUGCGUUUUGCAUGUGCCGGACAACUCAGGACCGACUUUGUAAGGUCUACGUGACCAUAUUGUAUCGUUUGGCCGUGUGCAUCUUUGGAUGUUGCUUUGUUUAUAAAGCGGGGCAAAAGCCUAUUUCGAGAACAACGAAAACAACAGCAACAACAAACAAAUCAACAACUUCAGAAUAGUUUAUCUUUUAAAAUUUCACUUGCUUAAUAAACUACAUGCAUAGGACUUUCUACAGUGUUUUAGAGAAGGACAACUACGAUUUGCUAGCUAGCUAGUUAGGUAUUUCAACACAACAUCAACAGGAAGGAGGAGAAGAACUGUUAACAGCCAGGCAGGCAGGUGGAGAGUGGAUGUGUGAGAGUGAGGUCUCUCUGGCUUUUUCCUGUAUGGUACCCCUACUUCCUUCGCUGACAAAGACCUGUUCUGAAUCUGUAAUACUGAUUCACAGUAAUGAUGGUGGAUCGACUAUAUCUUGACUAAUCCAUGUACAACGAAAAUUACUACGUACAUGAUUAAAAAUCCAAGGGUCAAAUCCUGAUCAAUCGAUCCGGCAAAUUCUGCACGAAUCUAGCAUGACAUCAUGUGUGAUUAACAAGAGUUUCAAUUAUAAUUAGCCUCCGAGAAGCAACAUGGAGGAGGAUGUAGUCGUGUUUUUGGCCUUGUUAGAAACUUCGCUUUCCAUCAAUCUGAAAACAAGUGGUAGAGGGCAAAAAAAUUAAAAAAAACAUGUGUAGAGGAUACCGCAACACAUAAAGCCACACACACAAAAACAGCAGUAUGCUAGCUGGUCCAUGACAUUGACAAAUCAAUUGAUUUGCUGCAACCAUAUGUAUGAAUAAUAUCGCCAAGGAUAAGAGAAGGAAAAAAUAUAAAUAUACCGAUAGGCUCUUCUUUUGUUCAUGGAUGCAUGUUGCAUGAGCCAAGUGUAUUGGCAGUAUGGCUUGUGUUUGCUGCAUGAUGGCGGCAGGUUCCCAUUCAGUUAGGCAUGCUAAGUCCUAAAUUCAUUUAUUCACGUAUCAGGUAGAAGUAGAACAAAUUUCAUUUCUUUUCUGUAGGUUCCUUGCUUAAAAGAAAAUAGAAAAAAAUACACUUCUAUAAUUACCAGAAAAAAUCAACUGUAUGUCGCUCAGCCUUCCCUUUUUGUUCCGUAUCAGUAUCAACAAUCAUAGUACUAAUAGCUUUCUAUACUGGCGGUAGUAAAUUCAAUAAAAGAAACCUGGAGACUAUCUGAACAAUUUGAAACAAUAUAUACAAAUUGAGAUCAACUAACGACAAAAAUCCAAAAGAAAUGUUCAUGUCUACGUGGAGUGAAUCGAUCAAGCCGUGCAAAGCCCUAACAAUUCGUUUUGUAUUAAUAACUCAUAUGACAAUACAACCGCUCCAUAUGAAAAUGUAAUAUGAUGAUUCAUGAAUGCUUAUCCAUCUUAUAAAUAUAUUGUGCAAAAAAUAUCGAGUUAGUUCAGAGAAAACGCUGUCUAGAACAAUCUUCACAUUAAUAGUGUGAUCUAUCUCAACGACUCACACAAGAUUACAUAGUUUGUUCCCUUAAGUAUGCCAAUCUGGAUACGCCUAACAAUAUGUAGAACAUGACAAACUAAAUCAGAACAAGGGACAAAAUCUAGAUCAAUGUUUGAAGUGUAAAGUGAAUACGAUGAGUCAUUUGUCGUUAUCAAGCAUUCCAUACACCUAGAUGAUAUGUGCAAGAACAAUCAACUAUGACGAAUAAUCCAAAAUCACGAUAGUAAGUAGUACCAUAAAACACGACAUACCAAAUUAUUGUAAAUGAUAAGCUUAAGAGCACUUUUUCAAGAAGCACGUGUAAAGAUUACAAACUUAGUUCCCUUAAGUUAUGCCAAUCUGGAUACACCUAACAACAUGUAGAACAUCACAAACUAAAUCGGAAAGACGGACAAAAUCUAGAUCAAUGUUUGAAGUGUAAAGUGAAUACGAUGAGUCAUUCAUCGUGAUCAAGCAUUCGAUACAGCCAGAUGAUAUGUGCAAGAACAAUCAACUAUGAUGAACAAUCCAAAAUCAUGCUAGGAAGUAGUGCCACCAAACACAACAUAUCAAAUUAUUAGGUCGAUAAUCGUAAGUGCACUUUUUCAAGAAAAGAGUGGGAAGAUGAAAACAAAAUAUGUCAUGCCUGCUAUAAAUACGACUACACCAUGUGGGUCUCUUCCAUCAUCUAACCUUCAAACACCUAAAGCAAAAACACCAAAGCCAAGUGAGCAAUAGUAAACACAAAUCAAACAUGAAGACCUUCAUCAUAUUUGUCCUCCUUGCUAUGGUGAUGAGCAUCGCCAGUGCCACUAGGCAACUAAGCCCUAGAAGCAAGGAGUUGCAAACACCACAAGAACAAUUCCCCCAACAGCAAUUUCCUCAACCACAACAAAUCCUCCAACAACAAUUCCCCCAACAACAACAAAUCCCCCAGCAACCGCAACAAUUCCCCCAACAACAAAUCCCGCAACAGCAAAUCCCGCAACAACAAAUCCCCCAACAACAACNNNNNNNNNNNNNNNNNNNNNNNNNNNNNNNNNNNNNNNNNNNNNNNNNNNNNNNNNNNNNNNNNNNNNNNNNNNNNNNNNNNNNNNNNNNNNNNNNNNNNNNNNNNNNNNNNNNNNNNNNNNNNNNNNNNNNNNNNNNNNNNNNNNNNNNNNNNNNNNNNNNNNNNNNNNNNNNNNNNNNNNNNNNNNNNNNNNNNNNNNNNNNNNNNNNNNNNNNNNNNNNNNNNNNNNNNNNNNNNNNNNNNNNNNNNNNNNNNNNNNNNNNNNNNNNNNNNNNNNNNNNNNNNNNNNNNNNNNNNNNNNNNNNNNNNNNNNNNNNNNNNNNNNNNNNNNNNNNNNNNNNNNNNNNNNNNNNNNNNNNNNNNNNNNNNNNNNNNNNNNNNNNNNNNNNNNNNNNNNNNNNNNNNNNNNNNNNNNNNNNNNNNNNNNNNNNNNNNNNNNNNNNNNNNNNNNNNNNNNNNNNNNNNNNNNNNNNNNNNNNNNNNNNNNNNNNNNNNNNNNNNNNNNNNNNNNNNNNNNNNNNNNNNNNNNNNNNNNNNNNNNNNNNNNNNNNNNNNNNNNNNNNNNNNNNNNNNNNNNNNNNNNNNNNNNNNNNNNNNNNNNNNNNNNNNNNNNNNNNNNNNNNNNNNNNNNNNNNNNNNNNNNNNNNNNNNNNNNNNNNNNNNNNNNNNNNNNNNNNNNNNNNNNNNNNNNNNNNNNNNNNNNNNNNNNNNNNNNNNNNNNNNNNNNNNNNNNNNNNNNNNNNNNNNNNNNNNNNNNNNNNNNNNNNNNNNNNNNNNNNNNNNNNNNNNNNNNNNNNNNNNNNNNNNNNNNNNNNNNNNNNNNNNNNNNNNNNNNNNNNNNNNNNNNNNNNNNNNNNNNNNNNNNNNNNNNNNNNNNNNNNNNNNNNNNNNNNNNNNNNNNNNNNNNNNNNNNNNNNNNNNNNNNNNNNNNNNNNNNNNNNNNNNNNNNNNNNNNNNNNNNNNNNNNNNNNNNNNNNNNNNNNNNNNNNNNNNNNNNNNNNNNNNNNNNNNNNNNNNNNNNNNNNNNNNNNNNNNNNNNNNNNNNNNNNNNNNNNNNNNNNNNNNNNNNNNNNNNNNNNNNNNNNNNNNNNNNNNNNNNNNNNNNNNNNNNNNNNNNNNNNNNNNNNNNNNNNNNNNNNNNNNNNNNNNNNNNNNNNNNNNNNNNNNNNNNNNNNNNNNNNNNNNNNNNNNNNNNNNNNNNNNNNNNNNNNNNNNNNNNNACAACAAUUCCCCCAACAACCACAACAACAAUUCCCCCAACAACAAUUUCCCAUACCAUACCCACCCCAACAACAAUCACAAGAAGCUUCCCCAUACCAACAAUACCACAACAACAACUAUCUGGGAGCGACGUUAUAAGUAUCAGUGGCCGAUGAAAUGAAGAGAUGUAAUACUAGACAGGUGAAUCAUCGUUGUUAGUCAAUGGAGCAUAAUGUAACGGGUAUAAAUAAAAUGAUGUGCACCAUCAUGUGUAACCCCGACCUGUACUAGUUCAAACAUGGGAAUAAAAGACAAAUAAGUUCUUUUCUGAAGCACAUUGCUGGCAAUUGUUAUAUUCAUGCCAUAUUUCGAUUUCCAUCGCUAACUACAAUCUCAAUGUUAUGGUCUAUCUACUUAUUUAUGAAGUGUAGUACUAUGAACAUAACAUAAUUAACAUGUCUGAAAAUUGGGUCAAAUUGAAGUACUAUUAAUUCAAGAGUAAGGAGUAAUUACAAUUUAACAUUUCAAUGGAGAGCUCUAAUUGUAGACUGCGUUGUUAAUUCCCCGAAGAGGAGAGGAUGAUGUAGUAUAGUAGAGAUAAGUAUUUCCCUCAGCUAAGAACCAAGGUUAUUAAUCCAGUAGGAGAACCACACAAAACCUCGUUAGCAGCACCUGCACACACAACAGCAAACACUUGCACCCAACGCAAAUAAGAGGGUUGUCAAUCCUCUUAGCGAUUAUUUGCAAGGAUUAGUUCUGACAGUGAUACAUAGAUAAAAUAAAUUACUAAAUAAAAUAAAAAUAAAUAAAUUGCNNNNNNNNNNNNNNNNNNNNNNNNNNNNNNNNNNNNNNNNNNNNNNNNNNNNNNNNNNNNNNNNNNNNNNNNNNNNNNNNNNNNNNNNNNNNNNNNNNNNNNNNNNNNNNNNNNNNNNNNNNNNNNNNNNNNNNNNNNNNNNNNNNNNNNNNNNNNNNNNNNNNNNNNCAGAGUUUUCACUAGAGGAUUCUCUCUUGAUCAUAGAGCAUAUGGUGGGUAAACACAUUACUGUUGGGCAAGCUAUUAUAUACUAAAAGGAAAAUAUUGGUCCAAAAUAGAGAAUAGGCUAGAAAAUCCGGCGUUAAUUAGAAAAUAUGAACCCUUGAUCCGUUUAAUUUUAAAAAUUAUAAAUCUAUGACCGUUCAAUAUACGUAACAAGGUAGGGCGUGGAUAACUUCCCGCGUAACGUGACACAUGUAAGAAACACAAACAUGGGUCCAGUUAAGGCAAACACGUAGAUGUGUUGAAGUGGGAAUGAAUAGAAUUGCUACGUCCGAAUAUGCAAGAGAUAUAAAAGAAGAAGAAAACUAAAGAACAUGUCGUGUUCAGAUUGGACUAAACGUAUGUGCGUAUACAACCACAACCACAAUCCGAAAGGUCCAGCCAUUAAUCCCGUGGGUCCAUCCAAAACAAAAGGUGGAUAUCCAUCUAAUUGCCCCACGUCCAUGGAACAUACUUAUUAGAGUCCACAAACAACAGCUGCUGGUCUCUUUUACAUGAUCCUCCUUGCACUGUUAGGACUUUGCCGUCGGACAUCCCAAAGUUCUUGUGAAGUUCACAUCUAAAAAUACUAUCAUAAUAAAAAAAAUCCAUUUCAUACUCCAGGAAAGAUAUCACCGUCCCAAAGUUUCAAUUGCAAUCUAAGUUUUGCCACAACUGGGUAUUUAAAGCUUAUUUUGCCAUAGCCAGGCAAUUUCAGCCACUAAGGUUUUUGUGGCAGAUCAAGCAUCUUCCCAUUGGAAACUCCCAACUGUAAAAAGACCAGCAAAUUAGCAAUCAUUGGCAAAUCAGCAAUCUUAUAGCGGCAGCAGCUCCCAUCAAUCAGGCAACUCAUCUUUCAAAAAUCAGAGACAAUAAGCAACCAUACACAUCAUGGACAUAUGAUAUUAACGAUAAUUACAUAUGUGAUUUCUGUGUUGAAUUUCGUACAACAUCACCAUGAAGAGAAGCGCAUCCACAUGGCAAGUAAUUUCCAAAAGCCGCCAAGAAGGUGAAAAGCAAUCAAAUAUGCAAUCCAACAAGUUAAUUAUUAAGCUAUAGACCAUGCAUGUUUCAGUGGUGCAUACAAGAUCAGUAGAACAAAUUCCUAGCCGUUACGACAUUCAUCAGGGAGGCGAGGACUGUGAAGCGAGGGGUUGCGAGCUGGAGGGAAUGGCGGCACACCCCGUGUCUCAGCCGAGAGAGGAGAGGCCGGGGAUAGAAUUAAGAGAGACACGAGAGAUGACAGAUGAUAGGCUAGGGAUCGUUGGGCGUUCUCACAUAUUGCGUGGAGGUGGUUAGCUAAAUGGGGCAGCACAAAGGCCCAGUCAACCGCAGGUGGCAGAGUUUUCUCCCAGUGCAGCAGCCCUUUAGGACAGUUGAGCCAAGAAAUAUAAUUACAAAAUUAGGGAUUCAUCCAAUAGUCAGAAAUGAUCUAUACAAGUGAUCUGAUAGUUACAAAUGUUGAAUGCUUGAGAGAGCUGGGAUAAGGCUAGGUUUUACUGUCCUAAAUGUAUUAGAUAUGUAGAAUCUGACAGUUAUUAAAGUUUAAUUGUCCUUCGAAACAAACUAUGGCUAAUCACCACUACGCUAAUUACUUUUUACAAUUGUUGAACAUGAAUGGGGGUUAGGGGGGCGUAACACUGCUGAUGAGGGUCCCAACCCCGAAAAAGGUGGAGGGUGCAUGAUCAAAUUAACAUCUAACACUAACAUGCAAUACCUUUUAAGUUCUUAUAUUGAUUCAAUCGCAAAAGGGAGAAAUGAAACAAAAGUAGGCAGCGGGACCUGGAAGUCAACAGAGGAAACAGAAGGGUAUGCUCAUCGUGUGGAAUCGUUUGUGGGGGCGAGCUGAGUAAACAGAGGAAGGUGAUCGAAUGACGUCUCAGGUUUAUUUGUUUACUGAACAGACAGACAUGUGUAAGUUUUUUUUCCCUUUGAGGGGAAAGACGUGUGUAACUAGGGAGAGAUGAUUUUGCACGUUCUGUAUUUUUUUCCACCAGAAAACAGAUACUACUUUAACAAAUAAAUCCUACACUAAAUAUUUUAUAUGCUGCAAAUUACAGGCCACAUACGCAUGAGCCUAAAUUAUAGGCGACUAUUUCAUAGGGUGAAAGUAAACAAAAUAGAAAAUCUUAUAGGCGACAUAAGCAUGAACCUAAAUUAUAUAUUUUAUAUGCUGCAAAUUAUUUUAAAAACAUGUGAAAAUAUAGUGCAUGAUCAUCAGACCAAAAACUCUAGCCUGUACAAAACACUCAUAUUUAGACGUAUAUUUCAUAUGGAGCUGCCAAUUCAUAUCAAUCCGGCACUACAACAGUAACACUAUCGUGCAGCCGCUUAAGUCAAAUCUAAGGUUAAAGCUAAUCAACACAAAAUAUCCAAUGUAAAAGGAAUUACUUAUACUAAAAAAUAUAAAAUAUACCUAAGAGUGCGAACAAUGACGAAUAUUUACUAUAAGAGUGCUAGCCCUCGCAUUUGCGAGGGCCACCUUGCUAGUUGAUAAAAAACAAAUAAUUAUGAUGGAUUCAUGGCAAUGAUCAUGUAUAUAGGCAUCACGUUCGAGACAAGUAGACCGACUCCCGUCUGCAUCUACUACUAUUACUCCACCCAUCGACCACUAUCCAGCAUGCAUCCAGAGUAUUAGGUAUAAAACAGAGUGACGCCUUAAGUACGAUGACAUGAUGUAGAUAAAGUAAAUUCAAGAAAUAUGAUUAAACCCCAUCUUUUUAUCCUUAAUUGUCAGCCCAUUGGCUGUUAUUUUCCCCGAUCUGACCGUCCGCGACGCUCCUGUUGUUCGCAACGCUACCGCUACGACUGCGGGAGCAUGUCAUUUUCGUUAUACAUGUAACCCAAAAAUAUCUCUAACAUUAAUGACAACAAUACAAAUACGUGUUAUGUCCGUUUUUGUCACUGGGAUUGAGCAAUGCAAGAUUGAAUCCAUCACAAAGCACCUCUCCCCAUUGCAAGAUAAACCAAUCUAGUUGGCCAAACCAAAUCGAUAGAUCAGGGAGAAAUAUAAAGCUAAAAUAAUCACGCAUAAAAGAGCUCAGAGAAGACUCAAAUAUUUCUCAUGAAUCAUAUGAUCAUAAACUCACGAUUCAUUGGAUCCCAACAAACACACCGGAAAAGAAGAUUACAUCGGAUAGAACUCCAAGAACAUCGGGGAUAACUUUGUAUUGAAUAUCAAAGAGAGAGAAGAAGCCAUUUAGCUAUUGGCUAUGGACCCAUAGGUGUGUGGUAAAAUACUCACACAUCAUCGGAAGGACAGCAUUGUUUAUGUGGAAGCCCUUCGUGAUCGAUUCCCCCUCCGGCAGAGUACUGGAAAAGGCCUCCAGACGGGAUCGCGGAAGAACAGAGGCUUGCGGCGGCGAAAAAGUUUUGUCAUCUAUCUCUCUGGUGGUUAUGGAAUAUUUGUGAAUUUAUAGUGGAAGAAUUAGGUCAGGAGGUGCCACGAGGGGGCCAUAAGCCUAGGGGCGCGGUGAUACGUCCAUUUUGCAUCAUGUUUUAUUACGGUUAUUUAUUAAGUUUUGAGCCAAUAUAACACUUCAUGGAGUAUUUCUAAUGCCUUUUCUCUCUUAAUCUGCAAGGUUUACACAAAGAGGGAGAAUACCGGCAGCUGGAUUUCAGGGCCUGAAAAAGCUACAUCAGAGAUCCCUAUUCUGCACAUCUCCAAAUGGGCUGAAAAUUCACGAAGAUUUAUUUUAGAAUAUAAAAAAAAUACUGGGCCAAAGAUCCACGGGAGGAGGCCACCCAGGUGCCCACACAACAAUAGGGCGCGCCCCACCCCUGGGGCGCGCCCUGAUGCUGUAUGAGGCCCCUGGCCCACUUCAGCCCCCCUCCUUCUGGUAUAUAAGUCAUUUUACCAUAAAAUAUUUAUGGGGAGACUUUCAGGACGAGGCGCCGCCGCCACGAGGCGGAACUAGAGCAGGAGAAAUUUGGCUCUCCGGCGGGCAGAUUCCGCCGGGGAUACUUCCCUCCGGGAGCUGGAAAUCAAAGCUUACGCCAUCACUAACAACCCUCUCAUCGUGGGAGGGCCAAUCUUCAUCAUCAUAAACCACAACACCAUCUCAUCUCUAUCCCUAGUUCAUAUCUUGUAUUCGAUCUCUGUGUCAAAACAUUAGAUUGGUACUUGUGUUUGACUAGUAGUGUUGAUUACUUAUCGUAGUUGAUGCUAGUGGAUUUGUUUGGUGAAUUACCAAAUGUUCUGAUCGUGCAUCCAAAUUAUAUCCUCUCUGAUCAUGAACAUGAUGAUGAUGUGUGAGUAGUUACUUUUAUUCUUGAGGACAUGGGAGAAGUCUUGUCAUUAGUAAUCAUGUGAUUCCACUGGUAGAAAACUGGGCUUUGGUCACAGGGCAAUAUUCACAUUAGUCCCGGUGCAGUCACGAACGGGGACUAAUGUGAGCAUUGGUCCCGGUUCGUGCGGCCAGGGGCCUGCCGGGCCUCGUGGGGGCAUUGGUCCCGGUUCGUCCGGCCCCUUUGGUCCCGGUUGGUGGGACAAACCGGGACCAAUGGGCCACGCUCCUGGCCCACCACCCUUUAGUCCCGGUUCAUACCACAAACCGGGACUAAAGGGCUGGUCCUAGUUGCGGCCAGUGUUUAGUCCCUCCUCGCCAACCGAAGGGCGCUCACACCAGUUUAUAAGCCCGUCCCUCUCUGCCUUGUUGAGCUUCUCUUAAAGUGAAAAUAGAUGCCCUUAUACAGGGAAUUUGACCUAAAUUCACAGUAAAUUUCAUAGAAAUUUGUUAUGAAUUUAGGUUUAAUUUUCUCUAUAAGCGCAUCUAUGUUCAUUUUUUAUAUUUAUAAAAUAAAUAAACAUUAAUAAAAUAAAUAAAACUAAAUAAACCUUAAUAAAAUAAAAUAAAAUAAACUAUAGUAACUACAAUAAAUAAACCUUAAUAAAUUAAGUAAAAAUAGCAGCAGUAAAAUAAAUAAAAAUAGCAGCAGUAAAAUAAAUAAAAAUAAAAUAAUUAAAGUAAAAUACAUAAGUAAUUAUAAAUAAAAUAAAUAAGUUUUUUGUUGUAAGUAGAACAAAACAAAACAAAUAAAGCAAAAGAGAAAAAAAACAGAGGAACAAAAUUAUGCCACCUACUGGGCCACCACGGCCUGAAUACGACUAGAAACCCAUCCAUGGGCCAGGAUUCANNNNNNNNNNNNNNNNNNNNNNNNNNNNNNNNNNNNNNNNNNNNNNNNNNNNNNNNNNNNNNNNNNNNNNNNNNNNNNNNNNNNNNNNNNNNNNNNNNNNNNNNNNNNNNNNNNNNNNNNNNNNNNNNNNNNNNNNNNNNNNNNNNNNNNNNNAAAAAAUUAUGCCACCUACUGGGCCACCACGGCCUGAAUACGACUAGAAACCCAUCCAUGGGCCAGGAUUCAGGCCCGCAGAAGGCCCAGUAGGCCCCACAGGCAAAGAGAACAGUUAGGCCCGAAAGCCUGCAGUUGAGAGGAGUUCGAGAGGGUGGGCGCAGCAGCGCUUAUAAACCACUCUCGAGCUCUCUCAACUAGCGAGGUGGGACUAAACUUUUGACGCGGGGCAGCACAAGGCCUUUGGUCCCGGUUGGUGCCACCAACCGGGACUAAAGGAGGCAUUGGUCCCGGUUCGUGGCACCAACCGGGACAAAGGCCUUUAGUCCCGGUUGGUGCCACGAACCGGGACCACCGAGUUCCCUAUAUACCCCAUCGCCACAGCAGAGCACUCCAGAGUGCUCUGUUUUUUCUGGCCGCGAGGGGAGGGCAUUUGGGUGCUCUAGCUCACCUCCUAUGCACAUGAGGUGUUCGAUGAAAUGUCUGAGCCACACUAGUUAAUCUUUGUCCUCUCGAAACUCGACCUCCGAGCUCCAUUUUCCCCGAGAUUUGUCUAGGUUUAGCGGUCCGUCACGUCCCGUCCCCGUCUUCACCGCCGUCGAUCGCCCGCGCCGAUCUCGUCGCCAGCACCACCGUGGUGAGCCUCUUGUUCUUAUCUUCUUUCUGAAAGGAAAAAAAUUCUUACUUUAGAUAGUUACUUGUCUAAUUUUGUUACUUUUAUUAUUCCUUCUUAUUACAUAGUGCGAUGGUUUUGGUAUCCGCCCCCGUCGGCCCUCAUCCUGUCUAUGAUUCGGAUGUGGUAUAUAUUAUCUUUUUAUAACUAUUUGGUUCAUUUACUGUUUAUGACAAAUAUACCGACCAACGUGACAUAGAUUUUAUUUAUCUAGGAGGUGGUUGAACCGGAAAUUCUAACCGACCCUAUUGUUGAGAGGUUAAAUUUAGUUGAAGAAGAAAACAAUUAUUUGAAGGAAAAAAUAAAAAAAAUUGAGGAGGAGAAGAUGAUAUUGGAGUGGCAUGUUGCGGAUGUCGUCGAUGAUCACAAGAUCAAGAUGGAUGCAAUGCGCUUAAAGAUUAGAAAGAUUAGAAAAUAUGCCAUUCAUACUGAGGCUUGGUAUCAUUAUGCCAUUGGAUCAAUUGUUACCUUGGUUGCGAUUAUGAUCGCAUUUGUUUUCGCAUUGAAAUGUUUUACAUAGUUUCAAUGUAUGGUUUAAUUAAUUAGAUGCUCUGGAGAGCUAUAUAUAUGUUGUUAGAUGAGAACUAUGUAUGUACUUUGGUUUUAAUGUGAUGAUGAACUUCUAUUAAUUUGGUCACUUAAUUAUCUAUUCAUGAUGUUCUGUAAUGGUUUUUGACACACUUAAUUAUAUAUAAUGCACGCAGAUGAACCGGCAAUGGAUGUACGAUGACAGACACACCUCCGAGUACAUUAAGGGCGUGCAUGAUUUUCUCGAAGUGGCUGAGGCAAACAAGCAGAAUGGUUUUAUGUGUUGUCCAUGCCCUAUAUGUGGGAAUACGAAGUCUUACUCUGACCGGAAAAUCCUUCACACCCACCUGCUUUACAAGGGUUUCAUGCCACACUAUAAUGUUUGGACGAGGCACGGAGAAAUAGGGCUUACGAUGGAAGACGGUGAAGAAGAAGAGGAUGAUGACAACUAUGUGCCCCCUGAAUACGGUGAUGCUGCAACGGGGGAAGCUGCUGAAGAUCAAGAGGAACCAGACGAUGUGCCCAAUGAUGCUGCAAGGGGGGAAGCUGCUGAAGAUCAAGAGGAACCAGUGCCCGAUGAUGAUGAUCUCCGCCGGGUGAUAGUCGAUGCAAGGACGCAAUGCAAAAGUCAAAAGGAGAAGCUGAAGAUCGAUCGCAUGUUAGAGGAUCACAAAAAAGGGUUGUACCCCAAUUGCGAAGAUGGCAACACAAAGCUCGGUACCGUACUGGAAUUGCUGCAGUGGAAGGCAGAGAAUGUUGUGCCUGACAAAGGGUUUGAGAAGCUAUUGAAAAUAUUGAAGAAGAAGCUUCCAAAGGAUAACGAAUUGCCCGACAGUACAUACGCAGCAAAGAAGGUCGUAUGCCCUCUAGGAUUGGAGGUGCAGAAGAUACAUGCAUGCCCUAAUGACUGCAUCCUCUACCGCGGUGCGUACAAGGAUCUGAACGCAUGCCCGGUAUGCGGUGCAUUGCGAUAUAAGAUCAGACGAGAUGACUCUGGUGAUGUUGACGGCGAGCCCCCCAGGAAGAGGGUUCCUGCGAAGGUGAUGUGGUAUGCUUCUAUAAUACCACGGUUGAAAUGUCUGUUCAGAAACGAAGAGCAUGCCAAGUUGAUGCGAUGGCACAGUGGGGACCGUAAGAAAGACGGGAAGUUGAGAGCACCCGCCGACGGGUCGCAGUGGAGAAAAAUCGAGAGAAAGUACUGGGCUGAGUUUGCAGCUGACCCAAGGAACGUAUGGUUUGGUUUAAGCGCGGAUGGCAUUAAUCCUUUCGGGGAGCAGAGCAGCAAUCACAGCACCUGGCCCAUGACUCUAUGUAUGUAUAACGUUCCUCCUUGGAUGUGCAUGAAGCAGAAGUUCAUUAUGAUGCCAGUUCUCAUCCAAGGCCCUAAGCAACCCGGCAACGACAUUGAUGUGUACCUAAGGCCAUUAGUUGAAGAACUUUUACAGCUGUGGAAUGGAAACGGUGUACGUACGUGGGAUGAGCACAAAAAGGAGGAAUUUAACCUGCACGCGUUGCUGUUUGUAACCAUCAACGAUUGGCCCGCUCUCAGUAACCUUUCAGGACAGACAAACAAGGGAUAGCACGCAUGCACGCACUGUUUAGAUGACACUGAAAGUAUAUACCUGGACAAAAGCAGGAAGAAUGUGUACCUGGGCCACCGUCGAUUUCUUCCGACAAACCAUCAAUGUCGAAAGAAAGGCAAGCAUUUCAAAGGCGAGGCAGAUCAGCGGAAGAAGCCCGCCAUGCGUACCGGUGAUCACGUACUUGCUAUGGUCAAUGAUUUACACGUAAUCUUUUGAAAGGGUCCCGGCGGACUAGCUGUUCCGAAUGACGCUGAGGGACACGCACCCAUCUGGAAGAAGAAAUCUAUAUUUUGGGACCUACCCUGCUGGAAAGAGCUAGAGGUCCGCUCUUCAAUCGACGUGAUGCACGUGACGAAGAACCUUUGCGUGAACCUGCUAGGCUUCUUGGGCGUGUAUGGGAAGACAAAAGAUACACCUGAGGCACGGGAGGACCUGCAAUGUUUGCACGAAAAAGACGGCAUGCCUCCGAAGCAGUAUGAAGGUCCUGCCAGCUACGCUCUUACGAAAGAAGAGAAAGAAAUCUUCUUUGAAUGCCUGCUCAGUAUGAAGGUCCCGACUGGCUUCUCGUCGAAUAUAAAGGGAAUAAUAAAUAUGCCAGAGAAAAAGUUCCAGAACCUAAAGUCUCAUGACUACCACGUGAUUAUGACGCAACUGCUUCCGGUUGCAUUGAGGGGGCUUCUACCAGAAAACGUCCGAUUAGCCAUUGUGAAGCUAUGUGCAUUCCUCAAUGCAAUCUCUCAGAAGGUGAUCGAUCCAGAAAUCAUACCAAUGCUAAGGAGUGAUGUGGCGCAAUGUCUUGUCAGUUUCGAGCUGGUGUUCCCGCCAUCCUUCUUCAAUAUCAUGACGCACGUCCUAGUUCAUCUAGUCGACGAGAUUGUCAUUCUGGGGCCCGUAUUUCUACACAAUAUGUUCCCCUUUGAGAGGUUCACGGGAGUCCUAAAGAAAUAUGUCUGUAACCGCGCUAGGCCAGAAGGAAGCAUCUCCAUGGGCCAUCAAACAGAGGAUGUCAUUGGGUUUUGUGUUGACUUCAUUCCUGGCCUUAGGAAGAUAGGUCUCCCUAAAUCGCGGUAUGAGGGGAGACUGACUGGAAAAGGCACGCUUGGAGGGGACUCAAUAAUAUGCAGGGACGGAUAUUGUUGGUCUCAAGCACACUACACAGUUCUACAGAACUCUACCUUGGUGACCCCGUAUGUCGAUGAACACAAGAACAGUCUGCGCUCCAAACACCCGGAGCAGUGUGACGACUGGAUUACAUGUGAACACAUCAGGACUUUCAGCAGUUGGUUGGAAACACGUCUCAUAGGUGACACCACUGUUUGUGUUGAGUUGUACUCAUUGUCCAGGGGACCAUCUUCGACUGUAUUGACUUACAAAGGAUACGAGAUAAAUGGGAAUACAUUUUACACGAUCGCCCAAGAUCAAAAGAGCACCAACCAAAACAGCGGUGUCCGCUUUGAUGCAGCAACCGAGAGGGGAAAGGACACAUAUUAUGGUUACAUAAUGGACAUAUGGGAACUUGACUACGGACAUGAUUUUAAGGUCCCUUUGUUUAAGUGCAAAUGGGUCAAUCUGUCAGGAGGUGGGGUACAGGUAGACCCACAGUACGGAAUGACAACAGUGGAUCUGAACAAUCUUGGGUACACUGAUGAACCGUUCGUCCUAGCCAAUGAUGUGGCACGGGUUAUCUAUGUGAAGGACAUGUCUACCAGACCGAGGAAAAGAAAAGAUAAGGAAGCGAAUACAUCAUACGAUGAGCCAAAGCGCCACAUAGUUCUUUCAGGAAAAAGGGACAUUGUGGGAGUGGAGGGCAAGACAGACAUGUCUGAAGAUUAUGAAAAGUUUCAUGAAAUUCCUCCCUUCAAAGUCAAGGCUGACCCAAGCAUCCUGAUAAACGAUGAAGAUUAUCCAUGGUUAUGGCGCAAUAAGCCAAUGACACAAGCGAAGAAAAAGUGAAGACUUUCUCCCGCAACUAUUAUGAUGAUACCAUGCCAACUUUGUAAUAGACGAGUAUGAUACCAUUGUCCGUUUUGUACAAGAAGUGCAUCUAGUUUUUUGCCGUAACCCUCUCAACUUUCUUGCACAUGCUGUGUGGAUGAAAUGAUGAUACCAUGCCAACUUUCAAUCUUUUCAGAGUUCAUUUGAAAUGCUUUUCAAUUAGUAAAUGCAUGAAAAAUAACAGGCCAAAAAUUAAAAAUUAUGCCACCUACUGGGCCACCACGGCCUGAAUACGAUUAGAAACCCAUCCAUGGGCCAGGAUUCAGGCCCGCAGAAGGCCCAGUAGGCCCACAGGCAUGUACAGAGAGGUUAGGCCCGUAAGCCUGCUUUAGAGAGGAGCUCGACAGCUCAGGCGCACCGCACCUUAUAAAUAGGUGCGGCUCUCUCUUAGCUAGCGAGGUGGGACUAAACUCACCACCACGCCGCUGUGCAAGGCCAUUGGUCCCGGUUGGUGGCACGAACCGGGACCAAUUCCACCCUUUGGUCCCUGUUGGUGCCACGAACCGGUACUAAUGAGGCUGUGGCCCCACGAGCACCUUUAGUACCUGUUCGUGGCACGAACCGGUACUAGAGUUUCUUACUAAGCAGUUUUUUAGUCCCACCUCGCUAGCUGAGAGGCACUAGGAGCGGUUUAUAAGCCCUGAGUGCAGAGACAAUGAAGAAGAGGCGCAAUGCUCACGUUGCUUAGCUUCAAGCCUUGAGGAAUAAGGUAGACUGCAUCGAGCUAUGUGCAGUGCAGUCUACACUAUUCCAAAAGGCUUGAAGCAAAUCAACGAGCAUUGCGCCUCUUUUUUAUUUUUAAUAACUUAUUACAACUCCGGACUUCUUGUGUUCCGACAAAAUAAAAUGAACUUUAAUAAAAUUUAUGAAACUAAAAUUAACAAAGUAUUUUACGUUCAAAACAUUAUAAGAAACCUCUAUUAUUAUUGAAACUAAAAUCAUAUAAAAUUGAUGCAACUAAAAUUAUUGAAGUAUUUUCUGUUCAAAAUCAUUAAAAGCAAAAAGAAUUUUCAUAAAGAACUUUUUUUGAUCGAAACUUUAAUAGCAAAAAGAAUUAUCAUAAAGUAAAAUAAAUAAGUAAUUAGAAACAAAAUAAAAUAAAAUAAAUAAGUUUUUUGUUGUAAGUAGAAACAAAACAAAAUAAAUAUAGCAAAAAAGAAAACAAAAAAACUAAAUACAGCAAAAAGAAUUUUCAUAAAGAACUAAUGGCACUAAUAGAAAGUNNNNNNNNNNNNNNNNNNNNNNNNNNNNNNNNNNNNNNNNNNNNNNNNNNNNNNNNNNNNNNNNNNNNNNNNNNNNNNNNNNNNNNNNNNNNNNNNNNNNNNNNNNNNNNNNNNNNNNNNNNNNNNNNNNNNNNNNNNNNNNNNNNNNNNNNNNNNNNNNNNNNNNNNNNNNNNNNNNNNNNNNNNNNNNNNNNNNNNNNNNNNNNNNNNNNNNNNNNNNNNNNNNNNNNNNNNNNNNNNNNNNNNNNNNNNNNNNNNNNNNNNNNNNNNNNNNNNNNNNNNNNNNNNNNNNNNNNNNNNNNNNNNNNNNNNNNNNNNNNNNNNNNNNNNNNNNNNNNNNNNNNNNNNNNNNNNNNNNNNNNNNNNNNNNNNNNNNNNNNNNNNNNNNNNNNNNNNNNNNNNNNNNNNNNNNNNNNNNNNNNNNNNNNNNNNNNNNNNNNNNNNNNNNNNNNNNNNNNNNNNNNNNNNNNNNNNNNNNNNNNNNNNNNNNNNNNNNNNNNNNNNNNNNNNNNNNNNNNNNNNNNNNNNNNNNNNNNNNNNNNNNNNNNNNNNNNNNNNNNNNNNNNNNNNNNNNNNNNNNNNNNNNNNNNNNNNNNNNNNNNNNNNNNNNNNNNNNNNNNNNNNNNNNNNNNNNNNNNNNNNNNNNNNNNNNNNNNNNNNNNNNNNNNNNNNNNNNNNNNNNNNNNNNNNNNNNNNNNNNNNNNNNNNNNNNNNNNNNNNNNNNNNNNNNNNNNNNNNNNNNNNNNNNNNNNNNNNNNNNNNNNNNNNNNNNNNNNNNNNNNNNNNNNNNNNNNNNNNNNNNNNNNNNNNNNNNNNNNNNNNNNNNNNNNNNNNNNNNNNNNNNNNNNNNNNNNNNNNNNNNNNNNNNNNNNNNNNNNNNNNNNNNNNNNNNNNNNNNNNNNNNNNNNNNNNNNNNNNNNNNNNNNNNNNNNNNNNNNNNNNNNNNNNNNNNNNNNNNNNNNNNNNNNNNNNNNNNNNNNNNNNNNNNNNGCCGCCCCUGCCUCGACGCCGCCCCUCCUCCCCGUUCGGUCUGGCUCCGGCGACCCCCUUUCCUCCCUGUCCCCUCGAUCCUCUUCAUAUAAUUUGUUCAUAUAUUUUUUUUCAUAUAAUUUUUUUCAUAUGCAUAUGUUGAUUAUAUGGAUGGAUGGAUGAUGUAUAUGUUCAUUAUAUGGAUGGAUGGAUGAUGUAUGCUUUUUUUCAUAUAAUUUUUAGGCAGAUUUUUAGAAUUUUUUGUGUAUGUAUGUUAUGUUUAUAUGUAUGUAUGUAUGUAUGUUCAUAUGUAUGUAUGUUUAUAUGCAAAGCAUAUGCAAAGAAAAUGUAUGAAUGGUCAUAUGCAAAGAAAAAAUGUAUGUAUGGUCAUAUGCAAAGAAAAUGUAUGUAUGUAUGUUCAUAUGAAAGAAAAAUGUAUGGAUGUAUGUUCAUAUGCAUAUGCAAAGAAAAUGUAUGUUCAUAUAUAUGAUGAUAUGUUCAUAUAAAAAGGAAAAUAAGAAGAGGAAGAAAGGAGAAGAAGAGGAGAGGAAGAAGAGGAGAAAUAAAUAAGAAGAGGAAAAAAGAAGAAAAAGAAGAGGAGAAGAAGAAAGGAAUAGAAGAGAAGAAGAAAAAAUAGAAAAAAUUCUAUUUUUUCUUCUUCUCUCCUCUAUUCCUUUCUUCUUCUCCUCUUUUUUUUCUUCUUUUUUUUCUUCGAUCUUCUCCUCUAUUCCUUUUCUUCUUCUCCUCUUUUUNNNNNNNNNNNNNNNNNNNNNNNNNNNNNNNNNNNNNNNNNNNNNNNNNNNNNNNNNNNNNNNNNNNNNNNNNNNNNNNNNNNNNNNNNNNNNNNNNNNNNNNNNNNNNNNNNNNNNNNNNNNNNNNNNNNNNNNNNNNNNNNNNNNNNNNNNAUAUACCCCUCUCCCGAUAACUUCAACACGAGGGGGGGUCGAUAUACCCCCUCCCCGCCGAUAAUAUUAUUUUCCCAUGCACGUAUGUCGUCGUUGUCGAUAUAACCCCCUCCCGAUAACUUCAACACGUGGGGGGGGGUCGAUAUACCCCCUCCCCGAUAACAUUAUUUUCCCAUGUAUGUAUGUCGUCGUUGUCGAUAUAUAUAACUCCCUCCCAGAUAACUUCGACAUGAUGGACGGUCGAUAUUUAUACUCCCUCUCGACCGUGAUAACUUAUACCACGGGAGCACCCCCUAGCCCUCUCGCUCGACCAAAACUCUCGAGGACACCCAAACCCUAGAAAAAACUAUGUCGGUCUCCUACCCCCUCCCGCCGCGCCCCUACCCUUGAAGCGUUGCCUAGGCCACCCCAAACCCGGAAUAAGCUAGGUCUACGUUUGCACUAAUAUAUCCACCUGCUGUCAUGUUUGUGUAAUAAUUGCCAUGUUGUAAUAUUUGCAGAAACAAUGGAGCACGGACGAGAUGAGCAAGCAGAAGAGGUGUUGGGGGACAUAAUCUUAGCCGGAGGUGAUAUCUUGUCGUAUCUUAACGACAAUGAUGGUCUGGAAGAACAGGGUGAAGAAGCAGGCUACGGUGAUUGAAGAGUGGAGGAGGAAAGACAUGAUUAUGAUGGCUCCGGUGACCCAAUGCUGGUGCAAGAAGGAGCCCGUGGUGACGGCUCCGGUGACCGAACAGAGUCCGGCCAGGUAAAUAUAUUAGUUAAGCCUGUGCUGACUAGCUAAUUGAUGCAUUCAUUGUUUUGGUAUGUACAUAUAUUAAUUAACACUCGUCUUUCUUCUUUUUUCUAGCCCUCCGGAUCGAGCACAACUGCGGUAAAGAGACGAGGCCCGAAGAGAAAGUUGCGCUCGGAUGAAAGGUUUGAGAUCACAGCAAUCGCGCGCGACGGCCAACCGAUUGAACCCAUCCGGACAAAGGAUGCAUUUGCUGCUCAGUGCGGGAUUCUAGUUAGGGACAAGAUCCCGAUCAGCAUCCACCAAUGGUAUAAGCCUAAGAAGGAAGACCCUGAGGUGUCUUAUGUCAAUGAUAUGCAGAAAGAUGAUCUUUGGACUGAUCUGAAGGCAAAUUUCACCCUACCGCCAGAGGAGGAUUCGGAGAAGCCAGUUAUAGAGCAAUUAAUCAAGUCUCAUGCUCUUAAGAAGAUGGCAGACCUAUUCAGGAGGUGGAAGAAUGAGCUGAAAACGUUUGUCGACAAACAAGAGACACCAGAAUUCAUCGGCCGGUAUGAGAAGAUCAGAGAUCACUGGCCCGCAUUUGUGGCCCACAAGACAUCGGAAAAGAGUAAGAAGAUGUCAGCGACAAACAAGAAGAAUGCUGCGAAGAAGAAGCUUCACCAUCGCACGGGGUCAGGUGGCUACCUCAAAGCCCGACCUAAGUGGGCAAAGGCUGAGAAUGAUCUGCUUGAAAAAGGGAUCGAACCACAGACAAUGAACUGGACAGACUGUUGCCGGACUUGGUUCUUCGGGGCUGGCGGAACCUUGGACCCUGUAUCAGGGAGGUGUGUUUGGACGAACGAGCUUUUGAGAAUACUAGUCAAGAAGAUUCGGCAAUAUAUCGAUGCAGCGCAGGAAGGGACGUUCGUUCCAGACAGAGAGAACAACGAGCUCACAAUGGCCCUCGGGAAUCCUGAGCACCCUAGACGGACACGAGGCAUGCCAGGCUCCGUUCCGUGGAAGGCUGGUUUUCCGGACGCAGGCGGUUACAAAAGCCAGGAGAGGAGGAAAAAAGUGGAGCAGAUCCAAAUUCAGAAGCUGCACGAAAGGGUUCAAGCGCUAGAGGAACGAGACGGCAAUCGACAUGCCGAAACUGCCCCCGAAGCUACACCGCCAUCUCAGCGGAGAAGCAGCAUGGCUUCCACCGAGCUGCUUCAGCUGGAGCAUGCGGCUCCUGCUAGCUACCCCGUGGAUGCUAUCACGGAGUCUCAACAUUGCCACCUUAUGGCGGAAUGGCAGAACUUCAAAGUCAAGGCAGCGGUUGGCUCUGUUUUACCUCCUGAACCCGGCGCAACCUACCACUGCCGGCCGAUUCCAGAAGGAUAUGCUAGGGUGAUGGUUGAUGAAAUAACGGAGGGAUUUGAGGAGCUCCAGCUUGACCACCCUACCGGUGAAGGGGAGACUUGGCUGGGUUCUGCUCUGAAGACUCCAUGCCUAUGGCGGAAGGAGCUCAUCAAGCUUCCGAACUCGACGGCUCCGGCGAGUAAGGGCACUCCGCCUCCUCCUCCGCCUCCUCCUCCGGCGAGUGAUCAGGGCACUCAGCCUCCUUCUCCGGCGCGUGACGGCACUCCGCCUCCUUCUCCGCCAGCGCCGGCGCCCCAGAGCAGCCAGCCUCCUCCUUCUCCGCCUCGUCAGCAAGGGCGGAAGAGACCCGCCACCGCUGCGGCUGCUCCGGCGCGUCGUAGUCCUUCUCCUCCGCCUCGUAAGCAAGGAAAGAAGACAGUCGCAGCCGCUCCGUCUGCUCUGUCGGCGUCUAGCAGUACAGCUGCCAGAGGCGGGAGGCAAUACAGAUUCGGUCCUUCUCUGAAGACUCCAGAGAAGUUACCAUACGAUAGGACCGAGGAGGAAACCAGGAAGAUCGUGCGAGCCGAAGUGACAAACUUCUUUGAAGGGGUGAAUGCAAAGAAACAUCCACCUCCGGAGGAGAAGGUAGAUCCGGUGAAAGUAAAGCGCACUCUGGCUGCCUUGACAAAACCACCAAAGUCUCCGCCGAGAGGCCACUAUGAGCGCAUUCUUGCAAAGACAUAUGCCGAAGCGGAGCGGUCGGGAAGUACUGUUAGUGAUAAAAGGUUAAAAGAACGACGAGCUGGCAAAAAAAUUGCCCAGCUCGGCGAACAAGCGAACCAAUCGUGCCCCCCGCUCAAGGUGUCAAAAGACAUCGUCGCUAAUGAUCCGAGUAUGGUGCCCGGUUAUAGCAAUCUUGGAGAUUACCUGCCCGACGAUGUACAUUAUGAAAUCAUGGAGGUGGACGAACACAAAUACCAUUACGGGAAGCCUCUCGUCAAAGAUGAAAGAUCUCUAACAACGAUGAUGCGAAGACUACAUGAUUGGUACAUGAAAACCUGCAGAGAGUCUGAUGGGAUGGAUAAUUUGACGCUGAGAGUUAAACCGGAGCAUGACCUCAUUGGAAUUGAUCUGCUGAAUGUUCCAUUUGAGGAUUUCUUCCAGUUUUACAAUCAAAAGGCCCUCAAUAAAACAACGAUCACUUGCUACUGUCUGUAAGUAGUACUACUUCUGUCAUUAAGUCUCUCUAUAUAGGUCAGCUCUUUCAUUGCAUGUAUUUAUACUUAUCCUCACUAUAUUAUGCAGAUUGAAGAUCGCCGAAUUGAAGAAAAGACAAAUCGGUGAUAUUGGGUUCAUUAACACAAAUCUCAUAUAUGCAUAUACGGUUGAAAAACAUCCAAAGAAGCCGAGGCCAACUUGCUACAAUCGUUGGUAUUAAAUCAAAACAAAGAUAUAAUACUCUUUCCUUACAACUUCAAGUGAGUGUUACUGUCUUGUGCAUAUUCGGUUUCCCUUAUUAGUCCAGGUUAUGGUAAUGUAAUUGAUGACUUAUGCAUGCAUGCGCAGCUUCCACUAUAUUCUCCUAGAGAUUAAGCUUGAGCAGGGAGUAGUAACCGUCUUAGACUCGAGACGAAAAGAUCCCUAGGACUAUGAGAACAUGACUCAAAUGCUCGAGAAGUAAGUUAAAUCGAUCAUUAUCCACCAUAUCAGCAACUUUGUUCAUUUCAUAAUAUCAAGUAAUUGUUUUCUUUGUCUGGCAGGGUUUGGAGAAAAUUCACCUCAAAAGCUCCGGGACUGCCGAAGAAGCUGCAAUUUAAUCACCCGAAAGUAAGUACUAUAGUAGCAUGUUCCGCGCAUCUCCUAGUGAUUCAAGCGCUAGUUUCUUCAAUACCAUUUAGCAUGCUUGCUUAUCAAUUUGAUUGACCUCUAUUUCUUGUAAAGUGGUUGUGGCAGGAAACCGGGAAUAAUUACUGUGGAUACUACGUUUGCGAGUCCAUCCGCUACACGACCUGUGAGCGGGGCUACACUGAAGAACAAUAUGAAGUGCGUAAGCAAUAAUAUUCACAAUUUUAUUUUAUUACCAUCAUUUGUGUUGAGUUUCAUUUAUUCAUAUAUAUAUAUAUAUAUAUAUAUAUGUAUUGACCCCCUUCUUCAAAUUAGAUGUUUCGGAAGCGGGAUGAACUCCUAGCACCAGAUCGUAUGCGAGGAAUUCAAGAGGAAUUGGCGGCAUUCUUCCUUGACCACGUGAUCGCUGAAAACGGAGAAUACUAUGUGGACCUUGUGUUCCUACAAUUUAAUUAGGAGAUUGUAUUGUAAGAGAUAAUUAUUGUAUAUAUGUAGCCGGUAGUGUCGGAUAGAUAUACGAGAACUUGUUGUUCGACCAAUAUCUCGGAGAAGGAGAGGUGGUCGAUAUCACUUCUCUCUGUAUGCAUAUGUUCAUGACGAUCUUCUGUUUCCUUCAUUUGAUUACUAGCUAGCGUGUCUACUCCUCUCCAUACGUAUAUAGUAUGUAGCGUCGACCAAGCACGGAGAUAAGAGAGGACACUUCUCUCUAUUAAUUAGCUAGCUAACACAAUAUAUGAAACACCUAAAUUAACCCCCCAAAACCCCUAAACCACCCCCUUUCAAAAAAAACAAAAACCUCAGCUCCUGCCAGCUGCUGACGCGUGGAUGCCUAUUGGUCCCGGUUGGUGACACCAACCGGGACAAAAGGCCCUGCCUAUUGGUCCCGGUUGGUGCCGGCCCCCUGCCUGGGCUGGCAGCAGCGGCCACGUGGAGGACCUUCUGUCCCGGUUCGUGUAAGAACCGGGACUAAAGGGGGGAGGCAUUAGUAACGACCCUUUAGUCCCGGUUCGAGAACCGGGACAAAAGGCCCUUACAAACCGGGGUAAAAGCCCCUUUUCCUACUAGUGUUCCGGUAUUCGUUCAAUAUUUUGAUGAUAUGUAUGUUGUGAUUCUCUUAGUGGUGUCAUGUGAACGUCGACUACAUGACACUUCACCAUUGAUGGGCCUAAGGGAACUCAUUGUGGAGUAGUAAUUAGAUGAUGGGUUGCUAGAGUGACAGAAGCUUAAACCCCAGUUUAUGCACUAUUCCGUAAGGGGCUGAUUUGGAUCCACUAGUUUAAUGCUAUGGUUAGACUUUGUCUUAAUUCUUUUUUCUUAGUUGCGGAUAUCGGUGUCAAAACCGACAGAUCUCGGGUAGGGGGUCCCAAGUUGUGGGUCUAGGAUCAAUAGGUAACGGUGACGAUGAACACGGUGUUUUACCCAGGUUCGGGCCCUCUUGAUGGACAAUUUUUUUUAAAAAAAAAAUUUAGAAAUAUUUUUUUCAAUUUUUUUUUCAUUUUUUCUUAAUCUCGGGUCACUAUGGCUUAAUCUCGAGUCAAUAUGAUUAAUCUCAAGUCAAAUCGCACUAAGUGGUCAAACUUCCCGGAAGGUCACCCAUCCUCACACUACUCCAGCCCGAGCACGCUUAACUUCACAGUUCUAUCCAACCCCAGCACCACCUCACUCAACAGGCACUUGUUGAUAUAUCUACCAUAUCAAUCCUAUUAAACCUUGUUGAUGUCUAGGACUUUGUUCAUGUUCAUGAGUAUGAUAAAAUUUUGAAAAAUAUUUCAAACUUCCCGGUCAUAUCACGUAUCAUUUUUUGAAAAAAAAUUCCAAGAAAAAAUUCAACACCAAUUUUUUUUCUGUUACUAGUGGCGCACCUAGCAAACGGUGCGCCACUAGUAAGUUUGAAAUUUUUUGAAUUUUUUUGCCUCUAGAUCUUGAAAGCCCCGUAACUUUUUUUCUGUUAGGUUUUUGAGGAUUUUGAAAAUGUUUAACGGGGUUCCCCCGAUUAAAUUCGGAUGUAACUUUUCGAGUAGAUGAUUUUUCAUACAAAAAACUUUUUAAUCCGAGUUCGUAUGCAAAAGUUAUGCCCAUUUUACAAAUUCCAGAGAGAUUUUGCAAAUAAAGUUGAAAUUCAUAUUUGUAAAUUUUCCCAACAACUAGACCACAUAUCACAUGGGAAACUUAUUUUCUUUUAUUUUUUUAACAUUUCCAUUAUUUUCUUUUAUUUUUUUAAAACUGAAAAGGCGGUCCAUGAGGGGGUGCAUUCGGUGGAAUUUUUGGGUCAAGUUAGUAAUGGCGCACCGUGGGAGUGGUGCGCCAUUACUAGUUCAACUAGUAAUGGCGCAACACUCCCAUGGUGCGCCAUUACUAGUUUUGAAAAAAAAUAAAAAAAAUUUGAAAAAAAAUUUGAAUUUUUUUUACUAGUGGCGCACCGUGGAUGUGGUGCGCCAUUACUAGUUUAACUAGUAAUGGCGCACUAUCCCCUGGUGCGCCAUUACUAGUUUUGGAAAAAAAAUAAAAAAAUUUGAAAAAAAAAUUACUAGUGGCGCACCGUGGAUGUGGUGCGCCAUUACUAGUUUAACUAGUAAUGGCGCACUAUCCCCUGGUGCGCCAUUACUAGUUUUGAAAAAAAAUAAAAAAAAUGUUACUAGUGGCGCACAGUGGAUGUGGUGCGCCAUUAGUAUUUGGACACUAAUGGUGCGCCAUUAGUAUAUAGUAGUGGUGCACCACAUGUCUGGUGCGCCAUUAGUGUCCAUAUGAUCUAUAGCCCUUUUCCUAGUAGUGUUAGGGGUAUGAUCAGUAAUGUCAUAAUGAUGAUAAUAAUCUAUCGACUAGCCUGGCCUCGGCUUAUAUAAUGUACCAGAGGCCUAUGAUAACAAGACUCCUAGUUGGCUAUGUUGGUGGAGAGGAGUCCUUGUCUUGAUCAUCAAGUCUUGUGGAAUCUUCCCUGUAUAUGUCAUCGGUUGUCCGAACUGGCCCAUUAGUGAGGUCCUCGGCCCGACCCACUGGUCGGGAGACAACGUGGUGAGUACCCCCUAGUUCAGGACACCGUCAGCGGAUGCUUGCGAGAGGGGGUAAUCAUAAGUGGGAGGCUUGUUCAAGUAAGAACAACACCCAAGCACCGGUCCACCCACAUAUCAAAUCAUCAAAGUAGCGAAAGCGAACCGAAUGAACAUGAUGAAAGUGACUAGAUGAAAUUCCCGUGUGUCCUCAAGAACGCUUUUCUCAUUAUAAGUACUAGUUCUGGCCUGUCCUUUGCACUAAAAAGGAUUGGGAUAUCUUGCUGCACUUUAUUUACAUUUGUCACUUGCUACUCGUUACCAAUUAUCUUGCUAUCAGACUACUCGCUACCGCUUGUUUCAGUGUUUGCAAAAAUAUCGUUAUUGAAAACCGCAAGUCAUUUCCUUCUGCUGCUCGUUGGGUUCGACACUCUUACUUAUCGAAAGGACUAUGAUUGAUCCCCUAUACUUGUGUGUCAUCACGGGGCCACCCACCUGGGGUGCUCCCUCCCUAGCUUAUCACUCCCUCGAGACUCCUCGGGUCUUCCCCGAAGCUUCCAGGGUCUCUUUUGGUCCAGAAAACUUAAUCCAAUGUUUUUCUGUGUUUGUACCUUUUUUAUAAUGAUAUUAUAAAAUGAUAAAAACAAGCAAAAAAAUAACAACUGGCACUAGGCACUACGUUAAUAGGUUAGUCCCAAAAAAUGAUACAAAAAUAGCACAAAGUUGCAUAUAAAACAUCAAAGAUUGCUAAUAUAAUAGCACGAAACAAUAAAACAUUACAGAUAGGAGGCGUAUCAAGCAUCCCCAAGCUUAAUUCUUGCUCUUCCUCGAGUAGGUAAAUGAUAAAAACAAAAAAUUUGAUGUGGAAUGCUACCUAACAUGUUUCAUCAUGUAAUCUCUCUUACGGUAUGAAUAAUAAGAUCCGAAUGAUUCAAAGCAAUAGUCUAUAAUUUGAUAUAAAGACAUCAAUACUCAGGCAUACUAACAAACAAUCAUGCCUUUCAAAAUAACGAUGCUAACCCAAGUUAUCCCUACAAAAUCAUAUAAUCCUAUCAUGCUCCAUCUUCUUAACACAAAGUAUUUAUGAUGCACUACCCCAAUGACAAUCCAGGCAAUUGGUUCAUACUUCUUAACGUGCUUCAGCUUUUUCAACCCCCACGCAAUACAUGACGGCAAGCCAAGGACAUAACACUAUGGAUGGAAUAGAACAUGAUGAUAGAGAUCAAUAAGGGGAAAUCAAAAAUAAGAAGAUGGUCUCACAUCAAUGCGGCUAACAAACGGGCUAUAGAGAUGCCCAUCAAUUGAUGUCAAUGCAAGGAGUAGGGAUUGCCAUGCAACGAAUGCACUAAGAAGGCACCCAAGGUAAUAUCCAAGGAGACUCAAGCGUCGAAGCCUGGGGAUGCCCCGGAAGGCAUCCCCUCUUUCUUCUAAUGACUAUCGGUAACGCACUUGAGGCUACAUUUUUAUUCAUCACAUGAUAUGAGUUUUUCUUGGAGCGUCUUGUAUGAUAUGAGUCUUUGCUUUGUUUAUUUUUAGUAUAUCACAAUCAUCACCUCUGAACGCAUUUGCUUGAGAUAGCUUCAUGUCAUCAUGAUUUGCUUGAAUUGCCCUUUGUGCUUCACUUAAAUUUGUUGAGCUAGGUGGUUGCUCUAGUGCUUCAUUUAUAUCUUUUUUUAACACGGUGGUGCUUUUGUUUUGAAGAAACUUGUUCUCAUGCUUCACUUAUAUCUUUUUGAGAAUGCUAGAAAUUUUAUAAAAAUAUUAGUCUCAUGCUUCACUUAUAUCUUUUUGAGAGUUUGAAAUUAGUUAUGGUAAAAUGUACAGCUAUAAGCUUGGUCUCCAUAUGAUGAAUAUUCAAGAAGGAUAAUGAUAACUAGUAUAAAAAAUUUAUGGGACUUCAAAAACUUGAUUCUUUGCAACAAUUUUGAGAUAUGUAGAUGAUAAUACGUGAGUUAUGUUCAUGAAUAAUUAUACUCUAGUAUGAAUAUUGAUGUUAAGGUUUAUGAUUCCCUAUGCAAGCACGUAAAGUCAAUAGUUAUGCAAUGAAGUUACAUCCUACUUGUGGUGCAUUAUUCGGUGUUGGUUAUGUUUUCUGUAUGCAUGUGCAUCAUUACAAUUUCUUAGUUGGUCGCUUCUCAACCAUUUUGCUAGCCUCCAUUCGUACUAAGCGGGAAUACUGCUUGUGCAUCCAUUACCUUAAACUUGUUUUGCCAAUUGUGUCCAUCAUACCUACAUAUAUACGGUAUUUCAUUGCCGUCCCAAGUAAAUUUGCAUGUGCCAUCUCUAAUAAUUUUCAAAAUAAACUUCUCUUUUGUGUGCCUGUAUUGCUCAUGAAGUGAUAAGGGGUGGACGAUGAAUUCCGUGUUGUAUAUGUCAUUUUCAUGAUGAGUGUUUAUUCACUUGUCAUUGCACGAGAGUGUGGCGGUAAUAAAAGGGAUGCCCAGUCCCAAAAAUAAAUUGAAUUUCCUGGAAUAUGUUGUUAUGGAGGGCACCCGUGAAUACGGCUAGACAUGGAUUGUGAAAGGAAAGGUGGAAAAACUAACUCCUUCGGAUGUGAAUGGAAAAAAGGGACAAAAGUCUCAAAACCAUGGAACGAUGACAGGGAGCAAAAAAUUUCUUUUCAGUUUGGGAGCCGCCUAUGAUGUAUAUAACGUGGAAGGUAAGGAAAGCCUUGAGUCGCUGUCGUUGACGAGAAAACCAGGCCUCCCAAAAUAAAUUUUUUAUCUCUUUUUAAAACUUGAGGUCUGGCACCACUGUAAAUCAAUGCUUCCCUCUGCGAAGGUCGUUCUAUUUAUUUUUAUGUUGAGUCUCAUCCUUCUCAUUAAAAACCAACUAGGGGGUCAUGUGAUCAUGUGUGUGCAUGGAGUAUGAUUGACACUCGACUGUGUUUCAUAAAUCGAUCAAUGGUUGAGCAUAAUGGGCUAGGGAUAAUUUUCUUUAGCAUUGUUAUUUUGAAAGGCAUGGUUGCGUGUUAGCAUUGGAGGGGGUAUAUAUAGCCACAUCAUUGGUCCCGGUUCGUGGCUGGAACCGGGACUAAAGGCCACCCUUCUGUCCUGGUUCUAGGCACGAACCGGGACCAAUGGCUGUGGGCUAGGAGCGAGGACCAUUGGUCCCAUUCGUGCCUAGAACCGGGACAAAUGGGUCCACACGAACCGGGACAAAUGCCUCCCGAGGCCCGGCCGGCCCCCUGGGCGCACGAACCGGGACGUAUGACCCCCAUGGGUCCCGGUUCGUGACUGAACCGGGACUAAUGGGCUGGCCAGGCCCCAACCAAAGCCCUGUUUUCUACUAGUGAGGGGCGAUGCUCUGCGGAGUUCUCCCUCUUGGGGGCGUUGUCGUGGAGCUUAGGUGUGCUAGGUCGUAGCGUGAGCAUGUUUUGUUCUUCUGGUACUUGUUGUUGGUAGCGUAGAAGCAUGCGUUUUGCAUGUGCCGGAUAUCUCAGGAUCGACUUUGUAAGGGCUACCAAACCAUAUUGUAUCAUUUGACCAUGUACAUCUUUGGAUAUUGCUUUGUUUAUAAAGCGGGGAAAAGCCUAUUUCGAGAACAACGAAAACAACAACAACAACAGCAAACAGAUCAACAACUUCAGAAUAGUUUUUCUUUUAAAAUUUCACUUGCUUAAUUAACUACAUGCAUAGGACUUUCUACAGUGUUUUAGAGAACAACAACUACGAUUUGCCUGCUAGCUAGCUAGUUAGGUAUUUCAACACAACAUCAACAGCAAGGAGAAGGAGAAGAACUGUUAACAACCAGGCAGGCAGGUGGAGAGUGAGUGUGUGAGAGUGAGGUCUCUCUGGCUCUUUCCUGUAUGGCUACUCCUACUUCCUUCGCUGACAAAGUCCUGUUCUGAAUCCGUAAUACUGAUUCACAGUAAUGAUGGUGGAUCGACUAUACCUUGACUAAUCCAUGUACAACAAAAAUUACUACGUACAUGAUUAAAAAUCCAAGGGUCAAAUCCUGAUCAAUCGAUCUGGCAAAUUCUGCAUGAAUCUAGCAUGACAUCAAGUGUGAUUAACAGGAGUUUCAAUUAUAAUUAGCCUCCGAGAAGCUACAUGGAGGAGGAUGUAGUCGUGUUUUGUGGCCUUGUCAGAAACUUCGCUUUCCUUCAAUCUGAAAACAAGUGGUAGAGGGUAAAAGAAUGAAAAAAAACAUGUGUAGAGGAUAAGCAACACAUAAAGGCCACACACACAAAAACAGGGGUAUGCUAGCUGGUCCAUGACAUUGACAAGUCAAUUGAUUUGCUGCAACCAUAUAUAUGAAGUGUAGUAUUAUGAACAUGUGUGUGAAACUUGGUUCAAAUUGAUGUACUAUUAACUCGGGAGUAAGGAUUAAUGACAAUUUAAUAUUUCAAUGGAGAGCCACAUGAGUUGUGCAACCUUCUUAUCUGACAUGGAUCUACAUCAAACUAGGUGUUAAUGUUCUCCACAAACUCCAUGUCAGAUUUCAUUGUUCAUUUAUAGUGAGAAUAAUUGAUUACUUAUGCACUUUUCGCCUUUGAUGUUCCACUCACAAAAUAAGUUUAACUACCAACUAUCUCCAAAAACAAUCUUAGCGGGACAAAAAGUAUCCUCUGACAAAUCACGACCCAUCAAACAAGGUUCAAAUUUGAAGGAAAAUGACCCCUUCAACUUGAGUCAAACAAAUAAUUUGCAUACAAUCAACCGAAAUCAUUAUGGGCUUCUUCAGCCCUCCACUCGAUACACACCUACGCAGGGAGUCCACCAUUGUCGCUACCGAACAACAUUUUUGGAGGCGCACAUUAUCACCCAUAAACACAAAAUAAAUCAAAACGCAAUACAAGCCUAAAAGCGGUCAGUUCCUAGGGCCAGAAAAAGCUUGUUGACCUGCAAUUGCACAUGGUUUAUUUUUCACCUAUUUAAGUAUGAGUAUAAAUCCCACAGGGAAUACAUGAAUUGGACUUUGUCCCUAAGAGACACUUAUGGUAAUGUGCCUGCAUAUUAGUUUUCGACACAAAGCAAAGUGAACGCCAAAGAUUAUAAUGACUUUUGAGUUUAGUGCGAACAAAAGUAAAUAAUGCAAAAGAAUUAAAAGAGUGCAGCGGAACGAAUAAAGCAGGGAAACCGGUGGAGGAUUGAAGCAUUCUCAAGGACUCCAUAAUUCCCAUUGCAGUGUGUCUAAGGUAACAUAUGCCACUUCAUAAUUCUAAGCUAGAUACUUGAGUCACUCUUGAAAUUUGUUAUUGGGCGUAUCUGGGUACAAAAUACGUUCUACUCGAGGUGUACUCCGUACCACGAAGGCCACCACGGAAGCUUCCCCACUCUGGUUCUCACUGCGGUAAUUAAGGGUUUCCCCGUGGAAGCGGCCUUAUCAAGGGUUCUCCGUUAUGCCCCUAUCAGUUGCAAAGGCGAGGUAGAGAGUCUUUUACACUCACCUUGAAUUACCUCAACAUCCUAACCUUUACAACCAUGGUAAUAUGCCUCGUGUCCUUGCGACAGAAAUGGUGAGUGGGGCACCUUCACAAAAUUCAUGAAGGCUAUUGAAAAAACAUUCAACAGAGAAUAUCACAUCCUUAUUAACAUUUCAGCCUCCUAUACAUACCAUGGUUCAUCCAUAUCCCUGAGAACUGAGGAAACUACUCACACGUUGAGACAUGGAUGAAACAUCGGAUAAUACAUGUAUGGAUCGUACGAAUAGUGGAUAUAGCGGUGGUAAACAUGGUUUAAACACACGGAUAAUACAUGUAUGGAUCCACAAGGUUUUGGUAUUACAAUGGGAAGGAGAUGGAUGAUGCUGACGUCCCCUUGCACGAGCUGGUGGUGAUAGUGAUCUCCUCCUUUCCUUAAAUCUGCAAGCACAUUUAAAACAACAUCUUGGAGAGAACAGGAAAAAAGAAUUGUGCAGACGCGGUAAAAGCUAGCAAAUUUUACUGUGUAGGCGGGCUUGUGAUGGCUGUGGCAGUGUGGAUCUGACUACCGAGUUGUGACAAGCUGUGUGGGGCGAUGGUGGCGGUCCUCCCUCUUCUGAGCGUGAUAGCUGGCGACGGUGGGUUUCGACAGUCCCUCUCACGGGUGUGGAGGCGGGUCAAGGGGCGGUGAGUGUUGGCCGUGGUUUAGGCUGGCACUGGCGGAUCUGGGCAGGGGGAUUCAAUGGAGAGGCGGGGCUGGCAUUGGUGCGACUUCUCAGCGAGUAGAGUUGCCGGCUGUUCGGAGCGCCCCCACACAAGUUUUAGUGCUUAGUCGCCUUGGAUUAGGGUUUUUUGACUCUGGGUCGUUGUCGGUCAAGCCAAGGUGAAUGCUUGCAGCUCGGUUGGGGGAGGCACCUCCACACAUUGUAGUGUCGGUGAUGAUUGGUAGAUGUGGUGGUCAGGGCUAUGAUAUGCCGGCUGGUGGACCAGUGCCACAGUUCGCAGACUUGGCAUCUACGCACUGAUGCCAGGCUUUACUUGCUGCGAUUUGUGCAUUGUGAAGCGAGCGGGUCUAGGUGGUGCUCAGUGGUGAUGGUUGUGUUAGCAUUGCAUUCGUGCGCGGAUCAGUGCCGGUGAUCGCAAACAUGGCGUGGUGCGAGCUCGCCUGGCCAAGGGCUCGGUGCUGGCUCGCCGGCGGUCCCCCUACUCCACCGACCAUUGGCUGGGGAUGCAGGUGUGGGUGCGUCCUACGGUGGAGGUGCCCAACCAAACUCUUGGACCGAGUCUGGGCUAGGAGUAGAUGGAGUGUUGUCGCUCUUCCUACCAUGGUUGGCUACGUUGUCAUGUGAGCGGCGUAUGGUAUUUCGCGACAAGGAUGCCGGGUUGGCGGCCCCUGAUGGCGGGCCGCAUGAUUGCUCUUUGGCAGGCAUUAUUUCGUUGGUGGUGGCUCCCCUCCUGGGUUGUGGGGGCAACGGGAGGUGUUGCGGUUAGUAGCUCAGACGUGCCCUCUCUCUAGGAGGGGCAGUGUCCUGAUCAAGAUCUGGGGAUCUAACAUCAACGCGCUAGUCCUGAGGACCUCGUGGUGGCACAGGUGAGUUCUCGAGCAAAAGCUCCGUGCCUUGGCGUCGCCGCCAACGACACUCAUGGGUGCCGCACUCUUCUUGAAGACGUCGUUGUGGUUCUUCUCUCCGUGUCAGGGCUCCGGGUGUAGACCUUUGUCUGGUGUGGACUCAGCAGGGGCGACGCUGUGCAGAGUUCUCCCUCUUGGGGCCGUUGUCGUGGAGCUUAGGUGUGCUAGGUCGUAGCGUGAGGAUGUUUUGUUCUUCCGGUGCUUGUUGCCGGUAGCGUAGAAGCGUGCGUUUUGCAUGUGCCGAACAACUCAGGACCGACUUUGUAAGGUCUACGUGACCAUAUUGUAUCAUUUGGCCGUGUGCAUCUUUGGAUGUUGCUUUGUUUAUAAAGCGGGGCAAAAGCCUAUUUCGACAACAACGAAAACAACAGCAACAACAAACAAAUCAACAACUUCAGAAUAGUUUAUCUUUUAAAAUUUCACUUGCUUAAUUAACAACAUGCAUAGGACUUUCUAAAGUGUUUUAGAGAAGGACAACUACGAUUUGCUAGCUAGCUAGUUAGGUAUUUCAACACACCAUUAACAGCAAGGAGAAGGAGAAGAACUGUUAACUGCCAGGCAGGCAGGUGGAGAGUGGGUGUGUGAGAGUAAGUCUCUCUGGCUUUUUCCUGUAUGGCUACUCCUACUUCCAUCGCUGACAAAGACCUGUUCUGAAUCUGUAAUACUGAUUCACAGUAAUGAUGGUGGAUCGACUAUAUCUUGACUAAUCCAUGUACAACGAAAAUUACUACGUACAUGAUUAAAAAUCCAAGGGUCAAAUCCUGCUCAAUCGAUCCGGCAAAUUCUGCACGAAUCUAGCAUGACAUCAUGUGUGAUUAACAGGAGUUUCAAUUAUAAUUAGCCUCCGAGAAGCUACAUGGAGGAGGAUGUUGUCGUGUUUUUGGCCUUGUCAGAAACUUCGCUUUCCAUCAAUCUGAAAACAAGUGGUAGAGGGCAAAAAAAAAUAAAAAAACAUGUGUAGAGGAUACCGCAACACAUAAAGCCACACACACAAAAACAGCAGUAUGCUAGCUGGUCCAUGACAUUGACAAAUCAAUUGAUUUGCUGCAACCAUAUGUACGAAUAAUAUCGCCAAGGAUAAGAGAAGGAGAAAAAAAUAUAAAUAUACCGAUAGGCUCUUCUUUUGUUCAUGGAUGCAUGUUGCAUGAGCCAAGUGUAUUGGCAGUAUGGCUUGUGUUUGCUGCAUGAUGGCGGCAGGUUCCCAUUCAGUUAGGCAUGCUAAGUCCUAAAUUCAUUUAUUCACGUAUCGGGUAGAAGGAGAACAAAUUUCAUUUCUUUUCUGUAGGUUCCUUGCUUAAAAGAAAAUAGAAAAAAAGACACUUCUAUAAUUACCAGAAAAAAUCAACUGUAUGUCGCUCAGUCUUCCCUUUUUGUUCGGUAUCAGUACCAACAAUCAUAGUACUAAUAGCUUUCUAUACUGGCGGUAGUAAAUUCAAUAAAAGAAACCUGGAGACUAUCUGAACAAUUUGAAACAAUAUGUACAAACUGAGAUCAACUAACGACAGAAAUCCAAAAGAAAUGUUCAUGUCUACGUGGAGUGAAUCGAUCAAGCCGUGCAAAGCCCUAACAAUUCGUUUUGUAUUAAUAACUCAUAUGACAAUACAACCGCUCCAUAUGAAAAGGUAAUAUGAUGAUUCAUGAAUGCUUAUCCAUCUUAUAAAUAUAUUGUGCAAAAAAUAUCGAGUUAGUUCAGAGAAAACGAUGUCUAGAACAAUCUUCACAUUAAUAGUGUGAUCUAUCUCAAUGACUCACACAAGAUUACAUAGUUUGUUCCCUUAAGUAUGGCAAUCUGGAUACGCCUAACAAUAUGUAGAACAUGACAAACUAAAUCAGAACAAGGGACAAAAUCCAGAUCAAUGUUUGAAGUGUAAAGUGAAUACGAUGAGUCAUUUGUCGUUAUCAAGCAUUCCAUACACCUAGAUGAUAUGUGCAAGAACAAUCAACUAUGACGAACAAUCCAAAAUCAUGAUAGUAAGUAGUACCAUAAAACACGACAUACCAAAUUAUUGUAAAUGAUAAGCUUAAGAGCACUUUUUCAAGAAGCACGUGUGAAGAUUACAAACUUAGUUCCCUUAAGUUAUGCCAAUCUGGAUACACCUAACAACAUGUAGAACAUGACAAACUAAAUCGGAAAGACGGACAAAAUCUAGAUCAAUGUUUGAAGUGUAAAGUGAAUACGAUGAGUCAUUCGUCAUGAUCAAGCAUUCGAUACAGCCAGAUGAUAUGUGCAAGAACAAUCAACUAUGAUGAACAAUCGAAAAUCAUGCUAGGAAGUAGUGCCACCAAACACAACAUACCAAAUUAUUAGGUCGAUAGUCUUAAGUGCACUUUUUCAAGAAAGGAGUGGGAAGAUGAAAACAAAAUAUGUCAUGCCUGCUAUAAUUACGACUACACCAUGUGGGUCUCUUCCAUCAUCUAACCUUCAAGAACCUAGAGCAAAAACACCAAAGCCAAGUGAGCAAUAGUAAACACAAAUCAAACAUGAAGACCUUCAUCAUAUUUGUCCUCCUUGCUAUGGUGAUGAGCAUCGCCAGUGCCACUAGGCAACUAAGCCCUAGAGGCAAGGAGUUGCAAACACCACAAGAACAAUUCCCCCAACAGCAAUUCCCUCAACCACAACAAAUCCUCCAACAACAAUUCCCCCAACAACAACAAAUCCCCCAGCAACCGCAACAAUUCCCCCAACAGCAAAUCCCACAACAGCAAAUCCCGCAACAACAAUUCCCCCAACCACNNNNNNNNNNNNNNNNNNNNNNNNNNNNNNNNNNNNNNNNNNNNNNNNNNNNNNNNNNNNNNNNNNNNNNNNNNNNNNNNNNNNNNNNNNNNNNNNNNNNNNNNNNNNNNNNNNNNNNNNNNNNNNNNNNNNNNNNNNNNNNNNNNNNNNNNNNNNNNNNNNNNNNNNNNNNNNNNNNNNNNNNNNNNNNNNNNNNNNNNNNNNNNNNNNNNNNNNNNNNNNNNNNNNNNNNNNNNNNNNNNNNNNNNNNNNNNNNNNNNNNNNNNNNNNNNNNNNNNNNNNNNNNNNNNNNNNNNNNNNNNNNNNNNNNNNNNNNNNNNNNNNNNNNNNNNNNNNNNNNNNNNNNNNNNNNNNNNNNNNNNNNNNNNNNNNNNNNNNNNNNNNNNNNNNNNNNNNNNNNNNNNNNNNNNNNNNNNNNNNNNNNNNNNNNNNNNNNNNNNNNNNNNNNNNNNNNNNNNNNNNNNNNNNNNNNNNNNNNNNNNNNNNNNNNNNNNNNNNNNNNNNNNNNNNNNNNNNNNNNNNNNNNNNNNNNNNNNNNNNNNNNNNNNNNNNNNNNNNNNNNNNNNNNNNNNNNNNNNNNNNNNNNNNNNNNNNNNNNNNNNNNNNNNNNNNNNNNNAACAACAAUUCCCCCAACAACAAUUCCCCCAGCAACCACAACAACAAUUCCCCCAACAACAAUUUCCCAUACCAUACCCACCCCAACAACAAUCACAAGAAGCUUCCCCAUACCAACAAUACCACAACAACACCUAUCUGGGAACGACGUUAUAAGUAUCAGUGGCCGAUGAAAUAAAGAGAUGUACUACUAGACAGGUGAAUCAUCGUUGUUAGUCAAUGGAGCAUAAUGUAACGGGUAUAAAUAAAAUGAUGUGCACCAUCAUGUGUAACCCCGACAUGUACUAGUUCAAACAUGGGAAUAAAAGACAAAUAAGUUCUUUUCUGAAGCACAUUGCUGGCAAUCGUUAUAUUCAUGCCAUAUUUCGAUUUCCAUCGGUAACUCCAAUCUCAAUGUUAUGGUCUAUCUACUUAUUUAUGAAGUGUAGUAUUAUGAACAUAACAUAAUUAACAUGUCUGAAAAUUGGCUCAAAUUGAAGUACUACUAAUUCAAGAGUAAGGAGUAAUUACAAUUUAACAUUUCAAUGGAGAGCUCUAAUUGUAGACUGCGUUGUUAAUUCCCCGAAGAGGAAAGGAUGAUGUAGUAUAGUAGAGAUAAGUGUUUCCCUCAGCUAAGAACCAAGGUUAUCAAUCCAGUAGGAGAACCGCACAAAACCUCGUUAGCAGCACCUGCACACACAAAAGCAAACACUUGCACCGAACGCAAAUAAGAGGGUUGUCAAUCCUCUUAGCGAUUAUUUGCAAGGAUUAGUUCUGACAGUGAUACAUAGAUAAAAUAAAUUACUAAAUAAAAUAAAAAUAAAUAAAUUGCAGCAAUGUAUUUUUGUGCUUUUAUAUAUGAUAAAAGUAGACCCGGGGGGGGCAUAGUUUUCACUAGAGGAUUCUCUCUUGAUCAUAAAACAUAUGGUGGGUAAACACAUUACUGUUGGGCAAGCUAUUAUAUACUAAAAGGAAAAUACUGGUCCAAAAUAGAGAAUAGGCUAGAAAAUCUGGCGUUAAUUAGAAAAUAUGAACCCUUGAUCCGUUUAAUUUUAAAAAUUAUAAAUCUAUGACCGUUCAAUAUACGUAACAAGGUCGGGCGUGGAUAACUUCCCGCGUAACGUGACACAUGUAAGAAACACAAACAUGAGUCCAGUUAAGGCAAACACGUAGAUGUGUUGAAGUGGGAAUGAAUAGAAUUGCUACGUCCGAAUAUGCAAGAGAUAGAAAAGAUGAAGAAAACUAAAGAACAUGUCGUGUUCAGAUUGGACUAAACGUAUGUGCGUAUACAACCACAACCACAAUCCGAAAGAUCCAGCCAUUAAUCCCGUGGGUCCAUCCAAAACAAAAGGUGGAUAUCCAUCUAAUUGCCCCACGUCCAUGGAACAUACUUAUUAGAGUCCACAAACAGUAGCCGCUGGUCUCUUUUACGUGAUCCUCCUUGCACUGUUAGGACUUUGCCGUCGGACAUCCUUAAGUUCUUGUGAAGUUCACAUCUAAAAAUACUAUCAUAGUAAAAAAAUCCAUUUCAUACUCCAAGAAAGAUAUCACCAUCCCAAAGUUUCAAUUGCAAUCUAAGUUUUGCCACAACUGGGUAUUUAAAACUUAUUUUACCACAGCUCGGCAAUUUCAGCCACUAAGGUUUUUGUGGCAGAUGAAGCAUCUUCCCAUUGGAAACUCCCAACUGUAAAAAGACUAGCAAAUUAGCAAUCAUUGGCAAAUCAGCAAUCUUAUAGCGGCAGCAGCUCCCAUCAAUCAGGUAACUCAUCUUCCAAAAAUCAGAGACAAUAAGCAACCAUACACAUCAUGCACAUAUGAUAUUAACAUAAUUACAUAUGUGAUUUCUGUGUUGAAUUUCGUACAACAUUACCAUGAAGAGAAGCGCAUCCACAUGGCAAGUAAUUUCCAAAAGCCGCCAAAAAGGUGAAAAGCAAUCAAAUAUGCAAUCCAACAAGUUAAUUAUUAAGCUAUAGACCAUGCAUGUUUCAGUGGUGCAUACAAGAUCAGUAGAACAAAUUCCUAGCCGUUACGACAUUCAUCAGGGAGGCGAGGACUAUGAAGCGACGGGUUGCGAGCUGGAGGGAAUGGCGGCGCACCCCGUGUCUCAGCCGAGAGAGGAGAGGCCGGGGAUAGAAUUAAGAGAGACACGAGUGAUGUCAGAUGAUAGGCUAGGGAUCGUUGGGCGUUCUCACAUAUUGCGUGGAGGAGGUUAGCUAAAUGGGCCAGCACAAAGGCCCAGUCAACCGCAGGUGGCAGAGUUUUCUCCCAGUGCAGCAGCCCUUUAGGACAGUUGAGCCAAGAAAUAUAGUUACAAAAUUAGGAAUUCAUCCAACAGUCAGAAAUGAUCUAUACAAGUGAUCUGAUAGUUACAAAUGUUGAAUGCUUGAGAGAGCUGGGAUAAGGCUAAGUUUUACUGUCCUAAAUGUAUUAGAUAUGUAGAAUCUGACAGUUAUUAAAGUUUAAUUGUCCUUCAGAAAAAACUAUGGCUAAUCACCACUACGCUAAUUACUUUUUACAAUUGUUGUACAUGAAUGGGGGUUAGGCAAGCGUAACACUGCUGAUGAGGGUCCCAAACCCGAUAAAGGUGGAGGGUGCAUAAUCAAAUUAACAUCUAACACUAACAUGCAAUACCUUUUAAGUUCAUAUAUUGAUUCAAUCGCAAAAGGGAAAAAUGAAACAAAAGUAGGCAGCGGGACCUGGAAGUCAACAGAGGAAACAGAAGGGUAUGCUCAUCGUGUGGAAUCGUUUGUGGGGGGCGAGCUGAGUAAACAGAGGAAGGUGAUCGAACGACGUCUCAGGUUUAUUUGUUUACUGAACAGACAGACAUGUGUAAGUUUUUUUUCCCUUUGAGGGGAAAGACGUGUGUAACUAGGGAGGGAUGAUUUUGCACGUUCUGUAUUUUUUUCCACCAGAAAACAGAUACUACUUUAACAAAUAAAUCCUACACUAAAUAUUUUAUAUGCUGCAAAUUAUAGGCCACAUACGCAUGAGCCUAAAUUAUAGGCGACUAUUUCAUAGGGUGAAAGUAAACAAAAUAGAAAAUCUUAUAGGCGACAUGAGCAUGAACCUAAAUUAUAUAUUUUAUAUGCUGCAAAUUAUUUUAAAAACAUGUGAAAAUAUAGUGCAUGAUCAUCAGACCAAAAACUCUAGCCUGUACAAAACACUCAUAUUUAGACGUAUAUUUCAUAUGGAGCUGCCAAUUCAUAUCAAUCCGGCACUACAACAGUAACACUAUCGUGCAGCCGCUUAAGUCAAAUCUAAAGUUAAAGCUAAUCAACACAAAAUAUCCAAUGUAAAAGGAAUUACUUAUACUAAAAAUAUAAAAUAUACCUAAGAGUGCGAAAGAUGACGAAUAUUUACUAUAAGAGUGCUAGCCCUCGCAUUUGCGAGGGCCACCUUGCUAGUUGAUAAAAAACAAAUAAUUAUGAUGGAUUCAUGGCAAUGAUCAUGUAUAUAGGCAUCACGUUCGAGACAAGUAGACCGACUCCCGUCUGCAUCUACUACUAUUACUCCACCCAUCGACCGCUAUCCAGCAUGCAUCCAGAGUAUUAGGUAUAAAACAGAGUGACGCCUUAAGUACGAUGACAUGAUAUAGAUAAAGUAAAUUCAAGAAAUAUGAUUAAACCCCAUCUUUUUAUCCUUAAUUGUCAGCCCAUUGGCUGUUAUUUUCCCCGAUCUGACCAUCCGUGACGCUCCUGUUGUUCGCAACGCUACCGCUACGACUGCGGGAGCAUGUCAUUUUCGUUAUACAUGUAACCCAAAAAUAUCUCUAACAUUAAUGACAACAAUACAAAUACGUGUUAUGUCCCUUUUUGUCACUGGGAUUGAGCAAUGCAAGAUUGAAUCCAUCACAAAGCACCUCUCCCCAUUGCAAGAUAAACCAAUCUAGUUGGCCAAACCAAAUCGAUAGAUCAGGGAGAAAUAUAAAGCUAAAAUAAUCACGCAUAAAAGAGCUCAGAGAAGACUCAAAUAUUUCUCAUGAAUCAUAUGAUCAUAAACUCACGAUUCAUUGGAUCCCAACAAACACACCGGAAAAGAAGAUUACAUCGGAUAGAAAUCCAAGAACAUCGGGGAUAACUUUGUAUUGAAUAUCAAAGAGAGAGAAGAAGCCAUUUAGCUACUGGCUAUGGACCCAUAGGUGUGUGGUAAAAUACUCACACAUCAUCGGAAGGGCAGCAUGGUUUAUGUGGAAGCCCUUCGUGAUCGAUUCCCCCUCCGGCAGAGUACUGGAAAAGGCCUCCCGACGGGAUCGCGGAAAAACAGAGGCUUGCGGCGGAGAAAAAGUUUUCUCAUCUAUCUCUCUGGUGGUUAUGGAAUAUUUGUGAUUUAUAGUGGAAGAAUUAGGUCAGGAGGUGCCACGAGGGGGCCAUAAGCCUAGGGGCGCGGUGAUACGUCCAUUUUGCAUCAUGUUUUAUUACAGUUAUUUAUUAAGUUUUGAGCUAAUAUAACACUUCAUGGAGUAUUUCUAAUGCAUUUUCUCUCUUAAUAUGCAAGGUUUACACAAAGAGGGAGAAUACCGGCAGCUGGAUUUCAGGGCCUGAAAAAGCUACAUCAGAGAUCCCUAUUCUGCACAUCUCCAAAUGGGCUGAAAAUUCACGAAGAUUUAUUUUAGAAUAUAAAAAAAUACUGGGCCAAAGAUCCACGGGAGGAGGCCACCCAGGUGCCCACACAGCAAUAGGGCGCGCCCCACCCCUAGGGCGCGCCCUGAUGCUGUAUGAGGCCCCUGGCCCAAUUCAGGCCCCCUCCUUCUGGUAUAUAAGUCAUUUUACCAUAAAAUAUUUAUGGGGAGACUUUCAGGACGAGGCGCCGCUGCCACGAGGCGGAACUAGAGCAGGAGAAAUUUGGCUCUCCGGCGUGCAGAUUCCGCCGGGGAUACUUCCCUCCGGGUGGUGGAAAUCGAAGCUUACGUCAUCACUAACAACCCUCUCAUCGUGGGAGGACCAAUCUUCAUCAUCAUAAACCACAACACCAUCUCAUCUCUAUCCCUAGUUCAUAUCUUGUAUUCGAUCUCUGUGUCAAAACAUUAGAUUGGUACUUGUGUUUGACUAGUAGUGUUGAUUACUUAUCGUAGUUGAUGCUAGUGGAUUUGUUUGGUGAAUUACCAAAUGUUCUGAUCGUGCAUCCAAAUUAUAUUCUCUCUGAUCAUGAACAUGAUGAUGAUGUGUGAGUAGUUACUUUUAUUCUUGAGGACAUGGGAGAAGUCUUGUCAUUAGUAAUCAUGUGAUUCCGGUAUUCGUUCAAUAUUUUGAUGAUAUGUAUGUUGUGAUUCUCUUAGUGGUGUCAUAUGAACGUCGACUACAUGACACUUCACCAUUGAUGGGCCUAAGGGAACUCAUUGUGGAGUAGUAAUUAGAUGAUGGGUUGCUAGAGUGACAGAAGCUUAAACCCCAGUUUAUGCACUAUUCCGUAAGGGGCUGAUUUGGAUCCACUAGUUUAAUGCUAUGGUUAGACUUUGUCUUAAUUCUUUUUUCUUAGUUGCGGAUGUCGGUGUCAAAACCGACAGAUCUCGGGUAGGGGGUCCCAAGCUGUGGGUCUAGGAUCAAUAGGUAACAGUGACGAUGAACACGGUGUUUUACCCAGGUUCGGGCCCUCUGGAUGGAGGUAAAACCCUAUGUCCUGCUCUUGUUUGUAUUGAUGAAGUAUCAAGGUACAGAGUUGAUCUACCUCGAGAUCAUAUGUUCUGGUCUAAACCCUAGGGGUAUGAUCAGUAAUGUCAUAAUGAUGAUAAUAAUCUAUCGACUAGCCUGGCCUCGGCUUAUAUAAUGUACCAGAGGCCUAGGAUAACAAGACACCUAGUUAGCUAUGUUGGUGGAGAGGAGUCCUUGUCUUGGUCACCAAGUCUUGUGGAAUCUUUCCUGUAUAUGUCAUCGGUUGUCCGAACUGGCCCAUUAGUGAGGUCCUCGGUCCGACCCACUGGUCGGGAGACAACGUGGUGAGUACCCCCUAGUCCAGGACACCGUCAGCGGAUGCUUGCGAGAGGGGGUAAUCAUAAGUGGGAGGCUUGUUCAAGUAAGAACAGCACCCAAGCACCGGUCCACCCACAUAUCAAAUCAUCAAAGUAGCGAAAGCGAAUCGAAUGAACAUGAUGAAAGUGACUAGAUGAAAUUCCCGUGUGUCCUCAAGAACGCUUUUCUCAUUAUAAGUACUAGUUCUGGCCUGUCCUUUGCACUAAAAAGGAUUGGGAUAUCUUGCUGCACUUUAUUUACAUUUGUCACUUGCUACUCGUUACCAAUUAUCUUGCUAUCAGACUACUCGCUACCGCUUGUUUCAGUGUUUGCAAAAAUAUCGUUAUUGAAAACCGCAAGUCAUUUCCUUUUUCUUCUCGUUGGGUUCGACACUCUUACUUAUCGAAAGGACUAUGAUUGAUCCCCUAUACUUGUGGGUCAUCACGCGGCCACCCACCUGGGGCGCUCCGUCCCUAGCUUAUCACUCCCUCGAGACUCCUCGGGUCUUCCCCGAAGCUUCCAGGGUCUCUUUUGGUCCAGAAAACUUAAUCCAAUGUUUUUCUGUGUUUGUACCUUUUUUAUAAUGAUAUUAUAAAAUGAUAAAAACAAGCAAAAAAUAACAACUGGCACUAGGCACUACGUUAAUAGGUUAGUCCCAAAAAAUGAUACAAAAAUAGCAAAAAGUUGCAUAUAAAACAUCCAAGAAUGAUAAUAUAAUGGCACGAAACAAUAAAACAUUACAGAUAGGAGGCGUAUCAAGCAUCCCCAAGCUUAUUUCUUGCUCGUCCUCGAGUAGGUAAAUGAUAAAAACAAAAUUUUUGAUGUGGAAUGCUACCUAACAUGUUUCAUCAUGUAAUCUCUCUUACGGUAUGAAUAAUAAGAUCCGAAUGAUUCAAAGCAAUAGUCUAUAAUUUGAUAUAAAGACAUCAAUACUCAGGCAUACUAACAAACAAUCAUGCCUUUCAAAAUAACGAUGCUAACCCAAGUUAUCCCUACAAAAUCAUAUAAUCCUAUCAUGCUCCAUCUUCUUAACACAAAGUAUUUAUGAUGCACUACCCCAAUGACAAUCCAGGCAAUUGGUUCAUACUUCUUAACGUGCUUCAGCUUCAACCCCCGCGCAAUACAUGAUGGCAAGCCAAGGACAUAACACUAUGGAUGGAAUAGAACAUGAUGAUAGAGAUCAAUAAGGGGAAAUCCAAAAUAAGAAGAUAGUCUCACAUCAAUGCGGCUAACAAACGGGCUAUAGAGAUGCCCAAAAAUUGAUGUCAAUGCAAGGAGUAGGGAUUCCCAUGCAACGGAUGCACUAAGAAGGCACCCAAGGUAAUAUCCAAGGAGACUCCAGCGUCGAAGCUUGGGGAUGCCCCGGAAGGCAUCCCCUCUUAAUUCUAAUGACUAUCAGUAACGCACUUGAGGCAACAUUUUUACUCAUCACAUGAUAUGAGUUUUUCUUGGAGCGUCUUGUAUGAUAUGAGUCUUUGCUUUGUUUAUUUUUAGUUUAUCACAAUCAUCACCUCUGAACGCAUUUGCUUGAGAUAGCUUCACGUCAUCAUGAUUUACUUGAAUUGCCCUUUGUGCUUCACUUAAAUUUGUUGAGCUAGGUGGUUGCUCUAGUGCUUCAUUUAUAUCUUUUUUAACACGGUGGUGCUUUUGUUUUGAAGAAACUUGUUCUCAUGCUUCACUUAUAUCUUUUUGAGAAUGCUAGAAAUUUUAUAAAAAUAUUAGUCUCAUGCUUCACUUAUAUCUUUUUGAGAGUUCGAAAUUAGUUAUGGUAAAAUGUACAAGCUAUAAGCUUGGUCUCCAUAUGAUGAAUAUUCAAGAAGGAUAAUGAUAACUAGUAUAAAAAAUUUAUGGGACAUGAAUAACUUGAUUCUUUGCAACAAUUUUGAGAUAUGUAGAUGAUAAUACGUGAGUUAUGUUCAUGAAUAAUUAUACUCUAGUAUGAAUAUUGAUGUUAAGGUUUAUGAUUCCCUAUGCAAGCACGUAAAGUCAAUAGUUAUGCAAUGAAGUUACAUCCUACUUGUGGUGCAUUAUUCGGUGUUGGUUAUGUUUUAUGUAUGCAUGUGCAUCAUUACAGUUUCUUAGUUGGUCGCUUCUCAACCAUUUUGCUAGCCUCCAUUCGUACUAAGCGGGAAUACUGCUUGUGCAUCCAUUACCUUAAACUUGUUUUGCCAAUUGUGUCCAUCAUACCUACAUAUAUACGGUAUUUCAUUGCCGUCCCAAGUAAAUUUGCAUGUGCCAUCUCUAAUAAUUUUCAAAAUAAACUUCUCUUUUGUGUGCCUGUGUUGCUCAUGAAGUGAUAAGGGGUGGACGAUGAAUUUCGUGUUGUAUAUGUCAUUUUCAUGAUGAGUGUUUAUUCACUUGUCAUUGCACGAGAGUGUGGCGGUAAUAAAAGGGAUGCCCAGUCCCAAAAAUAAAUUGAAUUUCCUGGAAUGUGUUGUUAUGGAGGGCACCCGUGAAUACGGCUAGACAUGGAUUGUGAAAGGAAAGGUGGAAAAACUAACUCCUUCGGAUGUGAAUGGAAAAAAGGGACAAAAGUCUCAAAACCAUGGAACGAUGACAGGGAGCAAACAAUUUCUUUUCAGUUUGGGAGCCGCCUUUGAUGUAUAUAACUUGGAUGGUAUCGAAAGCCUUGAGUCGUUGUCGUUGACGAGAAAAGCAGGCCUCCCAAAAUAAUUUUUUAUCUCUUUUUAAAACUUGAGGUCUGGCACCACUGUAAAUCAAUGCUUCCCUCUGCGAAGGUCGUUCUAUUUAUUUUUAUGUUGAGUCUCAUCCUUCUCAUUAAAAAACCAACUAGGGGGUCAUGUGAUCAUGUGUGCGCAUGGAGUAUGAUUGACAUUCGACUGUGUUUCAUAAAUGGAUCAAUGGUUGAGCAUAAUGGGCUAGGGAUAAUUUUCUUUAGCAUUGUUAUUUUGAAAGGCAUGGUUGCGUGUUAGCAUUGGAGGGGGUAUAUAUAGCCACCUCAUCGGUCCCGGUUUGUGGCUGGAACCGGGACUAAAGGCCACCCUUCUGUCCUGGUUCUAGGCACGAACCGGGACCAAUGGCUGUGGGCUAGGAACGAGGACCAUUGGUCCCAUUCGUGCCUAGAACCGGGACAAAUGGGUACACACGAACCGGGACAAAUGCCUGCCGAGGACCGGCCGGCCCCCUGGGCGCACGAACCGGGACGUAUGACCCCCAUGGGUCCCGGUUCGUGACUGAACCGGGACUAAUGGGCUGGCCAGGCCCCAACCAAAGCCCUGUUUUCUACUAGUGAGGGGCGACGCUCUGCGGAGUUCUCCCUCUUGGGGGCGUUGUCGUGGAGCUUAGGUGUGCUAGGUCGUAGCGUGAGCAUGUUUUGUUCUUCUGGUACUUGUUGCUGGUAGCAUAGAAGCAUGCGUUUUGCAUGUGCCGGAUAUCUCAGGAUCGACUUUGUAAGGGCUACCAAACCAUAUUGUAUCGUUUGACCAUGUACAGCUUUGGAUGUUGCUUUGUUUAUAAAGCAGGGCAAAAUCCUAUUUCGAGAAUAAAGAAAACAACAGCAACAGCAAACAGGUCAACAACUUCAGAAUAGUUUUUCUUUUAAAAUUUCACUUGCUUAAUUAACUACAUGCAUAGGACUUUCUACAGUGUUUUAGAGAAGGACAACUAUGAUUUGCUAGCUAGUUAGGUAUUUCAACAGAACAUUAACAGCAAGGAGAAGGAGAAGAACUGUUAACAACCAGGCAGGCAGGUGGAGAGUGAGUGUGUGAGAGUGAGGUCUCUCUGGCUUUUUCCUGUAUGGCUACUCCUACUUCCUUCGCUGACAAAGACCUGUUCUGAAUCCGUAAUACUGAUUCAUAGUAAUGAUGGUGGAUCGACUAUACCUUGACUUAUCCAUGUACAACAAAAAUUACUACGUACAUGAUUAAAAAUCCAAGGGUCAAAUCCUGAUCAAUUGAUCCAGCAAAUUCUUCAUGAAUCUAGCAUGACAUCAAGUGUGAUUAAUAGGAGUUUCAAUUAUAAUUAGCCUCCGAGAAGCUACAUGGAGGAGGAUGUAGUCGUGUUUUGUGGCCUUGUCAGAAACUUCGCUUUCCAUCAAUCUGAAAACAAGUGGUAGAGGGCAAAAGAAUGAAAAAAAACAUGUGUAGAGGAUACGCAACACAUAAAGGCCACACACACAAAAACAGCGGUAUGGUAGCUGGUCCAUGACAUUGACAAGUCAAUUGAUUUGCUGCAACCAUAUAUAUGUACGAAUAAUAUCGCCAAGGAUAAGAGAAGGAAAAAAUAUAAAUAUACCGAUAGGCUCUUAUUUAGUUCCUGGAUGCAUGUUGCAUGAGCCAAGUGUAUCGGCAGUAUGGCUUGUGUUUGCUGCAUGAUGGCGGCAGGUUCCCAUUCAGUUAGGCAUGCUAAGUCCUAAAUUCAUUUAUUCACGUAUCGGGUAGAAGGAGAACAAAUUUCAUUUCUUUUCUGUAGGUUCCUUGCUUAAAAGAAAAUAGAAAAUAUACACUUAUAUAAUUACGAGAAAAAAUCAACUGUAUGUCGCUCAGUCUUCCCUUUUUGUUCCGUAUCAGUAUCAACAAUCAUAGUACUAAUAGCUUUCUAUACUGGCGCUAGUAAAUUCAAUAAAAGAAACAUGGAGACUAUCUGAACAAUUUGAAACAAUAUAGACAAACUGAGAUCAACUAACAACAGAAAUCCAAAAGAAAUGUUCAUGUCUACGUGGAGUGAAUCGAUCAAGCCGUGCAAAGCCCUAACAAUUUGUUUUGUAUUAAUAACUCAUAUGAUAAUACAACUCCUCCAUAUGAAAAGGUAAUAUGAUGAUUCAUGAAUGCUUAUCCAUCUUAUAAAUAUAUUGUGCACAAAAUAUCGAGUUAGUUCAGAGAAAACGGUGUCUAGAACAAUCUUCACAUUAAUAGUGUGAUCUAUCUCAAUGACUCACACAAGAUUACAAAGUUUGUUCCCUUAAGUAUGCCAAUCUGGAUACGCCUAACAAUAUGUAGAACAUGACAAACUAAAUCAGAACAAGGGACAAAAUCUAGAUCAAUGUUUGAAGUGUAAAGUGAAUACGAUGAGUCAUUUGUCGUUAUCAAGCAUUCCAUACACCUAGAUGAUAUGUGCAAGAACAAUCAACUAUGACGAACAAUCCAAAAUCACGAUAGUAAGUAGUACCAUAAUACACAACAUACCAAAUUAUUGUAAAUGAUAAGCUUAAGAGCACUUUUUCAAGAAGCAAGUGUGAAGAUUACAAACUUAGUUCCCUUAAGUUAUGCCAAUCUGGAUACACCUAACAACAUGUAGAACAUCACAAACUAAAUCGAAAGACGGACAAAAUCUAGAUCAAUGUUUGAAGUGUAAAGUGAAUACGAUGAGUCAUUAGUCGUGAUCAAGCAUUCGAUACAGCCAGAUGAUAUUUGCAAGAACACAACAUACCAAAUUAUUAGGUCGAUAAUCUUAAGUGCACUUUUUCAAGAAAAGAGUGGGAAGAUGAAAACAAAAUAUGUCAUGCCUGCUAUAAAUACGACUACACCAUGUGGGUCUCUUCCAUCAUCUAACCUUCAAGCACCUAGAGUAAAAACACCAAAGCCAAGUGAGCAAUAGUAAACACAAAUCAAACAUGAAGACCUUCAUCAUAUUUGUCCUCCUUGCUAUGGUGAUGAGCAUCGCCAGUGCCACUAGGCAACUAAGCCCUAGAGGCAAGGAGUUGCAAACACCACAAGAACAAUUCCCCCAACAGCAAUUCCCUCAACCACAACAAAUCCUCCAACAACAAUUCCCCCAACGACAACAAAUCCCCCAGCAACCGCAACAAUUCCCCCAACAGCAAUUCCCGCAACAGCAAAUCCCACAACAGCAAAUCCCGCAACAACAAUUCCCCCAACCACANNNNNNNNNNNNNNNNNNNNNNNNNNNNNNNNNNNNNNNNNNNNNNNNNNNNNNNNNNNNNNNNNNNNNNNNNNNNNNNNNNNNNNNNNNNNNNNNNNNNNNNNNNNNNNNNNNNNNNNNNNNNNNNNNNNNNNNNNNNNNNNNNNNNNNNNNNNNNNNNNNNNNNNNNNNNNNNNNNNNNNNNNNNNNNNNNNNNNNNNNNNNNNNNNNNNNNNNNNNNNNNNNNNNNNNNNNNNNNNNNNNNNNNNNNNNNNNNNNNNNNNNNNNNNNNNNNNNNNNNNNNNNNNNNNNNNNNNNNNNNNNNNNNNNNNNNNNNNNNNNNNNNNNNNNNNNNNNNNNNNNNNNNNNNNNNNNNNNNNNNNNNNNNNNNNNNNNNNNNNNNNNNNNNNNNNNNNNNNNNNNNNNNNNNNNNNNNNNNNNNNNNNNNNNNNNNNNNNNNNNNNNNNNNNNNNNNNNNNNNNNNNNNNNNNNNNNNNNNNNNNUUCCCCCAACAACAACAAUUCCCGCAACAACAAUUCCCCCAGCAACCACAACAACAAUUCCCAAAACAACAAUUUCCCAUACCAUACCCACCCCAACAACAAUCGCAAGAAGCUUCCCCAUACCAACAAUACCACAACAACAACUAUCUGGGAGCGACAUUAUAAGUAUCAGUGGCCGAUGAAAUGAAGAGAUGUAAUACUAGACAGGUGAAUCAUCGUUGUUAGUCAAUGGAGCAUAAUGUAACGGGUAUAAAUAAAAUGAUGUGCACCAUCAUGUGUAACCCAGAC
rnacentral:lncRNA from 1 species